UCCUUCUCCACCUCUUAUAUUCAUUUCUUUAAAAAAAUAUUAAUUUGUAACUCAAAGAAAACAAAUCAUUUAGACAUUUAAAUCCAAAUUAAGAGUAGGAAACCCAUAAAAUUAAACUUCGCAAAGUGAAACAUAUUUUAGAAUAUUUAAAAGUUCAAAAUCUUUGAGCAUUAUAGCUCAUUGAUAAUAUAUAAAAUUAAGACUUUCUGCGAUCAAGACACAUAUCCACAGUCCGACUAAGCCCUUGCAAUUAAAGAAAACCAGUCUCGAUGAGGGAUGGGCAAGUUGAACACGACUGGUUUCGACUAGAGGAUAAAUAUAAACCUUCAAUGCGAUGGUUUGCUCCAUUAAUCCAUGUUGAGGUCAUAAAUGUGCGUGUUAUGAAUCAAACUGAUGUGACGCGGGUGAAAGGACAGAGUAUGUAUUAACCGAUUCCGUAUUUAUUAGUCGUCUGACCACCAUUAAUGAGUCGCCUAACACACCUCCUAAAGAAUAUCCUCAUUCGAUCAGAUGGGAUAUGAUACAGGGGUAUUAGGAUGAUCAGGGUAUAUAUAUCUAUGAACCAACUCCAAUUCGACAUUCUUAACAUCCCUUGUAGAACUUAGCGCUUUCGCUCCUUUUGAACCCUUACCUACCCGGGUCAAUACACUCAGCUCUAUCAAUUCUCAACCCACCGAUCCAUUGAGUUCCCUGUGAGAUCGAACCCUUGUCCAAGUGUCUUCAUCCGACAAUCUCACUGGAUCUCAGUUCAUCAAUUGGCGUCGUUUGUAGAAACGAAAGAAAUUAUCCUAUCACUGAAGUUUCUAAACAAAAUCCAUUGAGAUCCACAUAGCCAACCAAGAAAACAACUCAUCAAUACCUGUUAGAAAUGAAAACUAAAUCCCUAAAACUCCCAACUUCAAGGAUUUCCCAUAACCUUAUUCUCGCUUUCCUCCACCCAAACAAUUUCCAACAUACCUUCUGCUAAUAACCCCAUAUUAAUAAACACCAUCCCACAAACUCCUUCAUGAAUCCAACACUUACAAACUAUACCAUUGCAACUACAGCAACCCAUUAUUUGGAUGAACCAGAUCAUGCAGCAAAGAGGUCUCACCUUGCCAAUGAUCCAAACCCAAUACCUACUGUGACUCUCAGCCAAUUACCCACACCCACAUUCAUUCCUGAGACAGAAAACUAUGAGCCACUGACCACUCCACUGCUCAUGUAACCAGAAGAAGAAGGGAGGACAAACCAAUCAGGGAACCCCAGCUAAGUUCAGAAAUCAUGCAGUAAGAAGCUUAAUAGAAGGGGAUGUUGAUGUGAGCAGGAGUGCAACGUUAAGAGGAUAUGAGACGGAGAGCGAAGGGGAAGGAACUAGUUCAAGAUCCUAGGAUAACGUCAAAAGGCUCUAUUCGAGGGAUGAAGGAGUAGAAAAGAGUUUGAAAAGGCUGAAAGAAGAACUAUUGGCUGAGCUGAAAAGCCAAGCUGGAGCGCAAACAAGUUUGAGGAUGUCCUCCCCUUUUGUAACUGGCAUCCAAGAACAAACCAUCCCUAAAAAAUUUCUAAUGCCGACCAUGGGAGCAUACAACGACAUAGGAAACUUCAGAGACCAUGUAAUCAACUAUAAGAUUUUUAUGGAGCUGCAAACCCAUUCUGAUACCUUGCUCAGCAAGGUAUUGCCAACUACCCUAACUGGAGCAGCCCUGACAUGGUUUAACAACUUAAAAGCAGAAAUCAUCAAAAACUUUUAUGAUUUGGCCAACUCAUUCAUAGAAAGAUUUAUAACUAGUGUCCCAGCUCAUAAUCAACGCACUAAAUGAAGUUGCCAAAGCAAUUUAUGCUCUAAUGAAAUGAUAAUGUAUAAAGAAAAUGUGUAAGGAACCUUGUUGCAUGAACAUGGCCUGCAGAUACAUUCACCAAAUCAUGGACAUUUAUAAUCCACAGUGUCCCAACUCUCUCCACCAUCACCGCUGAUAUUUGUAAGAACUCCCAUGUAACCAAACCUAAGGUCCUCUCUCUCCUUAUCCAUUUUCAUGCUGAUGCUUAUGUGCUCAUCUUGUUGCUUCGCUUUUUAUCUAUUAGAAUUUAUUUUGAAAUUUGUAUUGAAUUUUGGCUCCUUUUUAUUUCUGGUUGGUAAUUUAUCAUAUUAAAAAAAUCAUAAUUACAAUAAUCAUCAAAUAAAAUUUUCAAAUCAGAAAAUGUGCAAGUAACCUUGAUGUGAGGAAUUACCAACCCCUUCCUAGCGAGCCACCUAUGAUCAUCAAGGUUACUUGCACUUUUUUUUAUUUGAAAAUUUCAUUUGAUGAUUAUUAUAAUUAUGAUUUUUUUAAUAUGAUAAAUUACCAACUAGAAAUGAAAAGGAGCCGGAAUUCAAUAAAAAUUUCAAAAUCGGUUCUAAUUGAUAAAAAGUGAAGCAACAAGAUGAGCACAUAAGCAUCAGCAUGAAAAUGGACAAGGCGAGAGAGGACCUUAGAUUUGGUUACAUGGGAGUUCCUACAAAUGUUAGAGGCGAUGGUGGAGAGAGUUAGGACACUGUGGGUUAUAGAUGUCUAUGAUUUGGUGAAUGUAUCUGUAGGCCAUGUUCAAGCAACAAGGUUCCUUACACAUUUUCUUUACACAUUAUCACUUCAUUAGUGGAUGAAUUGCUUUAGCAACUUCAUUUUAUGCCUUGAUUAUAAGUUGGGACACUGGCUAUAAAUCUUUCCGUGAAUUAGUUGGUCAAAUCAUAAAAAGUUUUGAUACAUUCUGCUUUCAAGUUGUUAAACCAUGUUAGGGCUGCUUCGGUUAGGGUAGUUGGGAAUACCUUACUAAGAAAGACAUCAAAAUGGGUUUGCAGCUCCAUAAAAGUCUUGUAAUUAAUUUCAUGGUCUUUAGGGUUUCUUGUGCCGCUGUAUGCUCCCAAGGUAGACAUUAGGAAUUUUUUAGGGAUGGUUUUUUCUUGGAUGCGAGUUACAAAAGGGGAGCAUGUUCUCAAAAUUGUUUGUGCUCUGGCUUGGCUUUUCAGCUUAGCCAAUAGUUCUUAUUUCAGCCUUUCCAGUCUCUUGUCUACUCCUUCAUCCCUCGCAUCAUGCUUUUUGAUGUUAUCCGAGGAUCUUGAACUAGUUCCUUCCCCUUCGCUCUCCAUCUCAUGUCCUCCUAGCCCUGCACUCCUACUCACAUCAACAUCCCCUUCUAUUAAGCUUCUUACAACAUGACUUUUGGACUUAGCCAAGGGUUCCCUGAAUAGUUUUUCCUCCCUUCUUCUUCUGGUUACAUGGACGCUGGUCACUGGCUCGUGGUUUUCUAUCUCGAGAAUGAAUAUAGGUGAGGUAAUUGCCUAGGAGUCAUGGUAGGUAUUGGGUUUGUGAUCAUUGGCAGGGUGAGACCUCUUUGCUGCAUGAUCUAGUUCAUUCAAAUCAUAGUUUGUUGCAGUUGCUGUACAUGGUUUGUAGGUCUUGGUUUAAUGAAGGAGUUUGUGGAAUGGUGUUUAUUGGCAUUGAGUUACUAGCAGAAGUUAUGUUGGACAUUGUUUGGGUGGAGGAAAGCGAGAAUAAGAUUAUGGGAAAUCCUUGAAGGCUGUGAAUUUCAGGGAUUUGAUUUUCAUUUCCAACAGGUGUUGAUGAGUUGUUUUCUUGGUUUUCCAUGUGGAUCUCAAUGAGUUUUUUUUUUUAAAACUCCGAUGAUAGGAUAAUCUACUUCGUUCCCACAAAUGACGCCAAUUGAUGAACUGAAAUCCAGUAGGAUUAUUGAAUAAAGACACCUAGAUAAGGGUUCGACCUUACGGGGAAUUCAAUGGAUCGAGAUUGGUGGUUAGAGAGUUAAUAAAGCUGAGUGUAUUGACCCGGGUAGGUUAAGGUUUAAAAGUAGCGAAAGUGAUACGUUCUACAAGGGAAGUUAAGAAUGUCGAAAUUGGAGUUGGUUCAGGAGUAUAUAUAUCCUAAUCAUCCUGACAGCCACUAUAUCAUGUUCCAUCCAAUUGGAUGGGGAUAUCUUUUAACAGGUGUCAGGCGGCUCCUUAAUGGUGGGCAGUCGGCUAAUAAAUGCAUAGUCGGUUAAUCCAUGCCCUAUCCGCUGAAUAGAAACAUUAAACUAAAAGCCCAUACAAAAUGAGCACCUAGGAAAAAAAGGCCAUACGCAGAUAAUGAAGAACCAUAGGACUGAAUUACCUGGGAUGCCUAUGCCCAUUGGUCCAAGUGGAGAGAAAAAAAAAAUGGAACUUAAAAUCUUUUCUAGAGAUAUCCAUUUUCCGGGAGAGACAGAUAAAAUAUCUCGACACAGUGAUAUCUUAAUACCACCAGGAACGGUAAAAACAAAUUCUAAGGAAUUAAAAAAAGUGAAAAAUUGGAUCUAUAUCCAACGAAUCACACCUACCAAGAAAAAAUAUUUUGUUUUGGUUCGAUCAGUAAUCAUAUAUGAGAUAGCGAACGGUAUAAAUUUAGAAACACUUUUCCCCCAGGUUCUAUUGCAAGAAAAGGAUAAUAUGAAAUUUCGAGUUGUCAAUUAUAUUCUUUAUGGGACUGGUAAACCAUUCGGGGGAAUUUCUGACACAAGUAUUACCUUGGGCAGAUAGCGGGAAUCUAACCCGCGUCUUCUCAUUGGCAAAGAGAAAUUUUACCAUUCGACUAUAUCCGCAUUUUUUUCGUUCUUGAUACAUGAUGUCUGGAUCAUAUUUAUGAACAGCUAUGCUAGAUAUUUUUUUCAGGACGAUUCUUAUUAUAUUUUAUAUUAUUAAAUAUUAUUAAUAUUAUUAAUAUAUUAUUAUAUCUUAGAUUAUUAUUAAUUAUUAUUAUAUCUUACAUUAUUAUAUCUUAUUUAUCUUAUUAUUAUUAUAUUUUUUAUAUUAUUAUUUUUAUAUUAUUUUAGUACAUUAUUAGUAUAAUUUGUAUAAUUUUGAUUUAAUAAUAUAUUUUUGGGCCGCGUCACAUCAGUCUGAUUCAUAACAUGCCAUUUAUAAUAUCAGCAUGGAUUAAUGGAGCCGACCAUCGCGUUGAAGGUUUAUAUUUAUUCCCUAGUCGUAACAGGUCGUGUUCAGCCUACCCGGCCCUCAUCGAGGUUGGUUUUCUUCGAUUGCCAGGGCCUAGUCGUACCGUGGACAUGUGUCCUGAUCGCAAAAGGUCUUAUAUUUUAUAUAUUAUCAGUGACCUAUAAUGCUUAAUUAUUUUGAGCUUUUAAAUAUUCUAAAAUAUGUUUCACUUUGCGAAGUUUAAUAUUAUGGUUUCCUACUCUUAAUUUGAUUUUGAAUGUCUAAAUGAUUGAUUUUUUUCGAGUCACGCAUUGAUAUUUUUUAAAAGAAAUUAAAGGAAAAAAUGAAAAUAGGAGAAGGAGAAGGAAAUAUUAAAACUCCGAGAGUCAGUAAAAAAAGAUUAAAGAUGAGAAAGAAAAAUUAAUAUAGAAUAUGUUGAUGUGGAUUUUUACAUCAACAUUUUUUUUUUGUUACAGGAGGAAGAGCUAAAGCUCUGCAACAUAAUGCACAUGUUUGCUAAUCCCUUGACUCAUAUAAAAGCAAGUGAUGCAAGUCUUGGGGGGAGUAGAGAGGACAUGAACACCAACCAGGAAAGAAGAUGCUUCCUUACCUAUCCAGUCAGCAUAAGAGGUUGCUUCUCGGUAGACAUGUCUGAAAGUUAUUGACAAUUCAGGUAUAAUCAAUAUUUGGAUAACUAGUACCAUGUGUCAGAGUUCAAUUGGUAUUGCUCUUUUGCCUUGUAGCAUAUUUACUACCUCGUUGUUAUCACUUUCAAGGAUAAAACAUUUUGAACCCAGAUUAACAGCUAACUUGAUGCCCUCAUAGGCUACCUUCAACUCCACUCCAAGAACACUCAUUUUACCAAAAUUUGCUGCAAAGCCCUUGAUCCAACCCCCAUUGUGGUCCCUUAUAAGGCCUCCCCUGUAAAUCAUACUUGUCUCCAAAUGACACGAGUUGUCUACAUUGACUUUCCACAUGUGCUCCCUUGGCUUCUCCCAAGAAGCCCAUAUAAUUCCUUCAUUCUCAGCUCUAUCUGCUCUUGGGACCUUUAUACAGACUCGACAAAAAUCCUUAGCUCGACUAACUGCUACUUGUAUGACAAAUUGGAUAUCUCUAGCUUUUUCUUGAAAAAUAACUUCAUUUCUUUUGUGCUAGAGACCCCAACGAAUCGCUCCAAACGUUAAUUGCCAUUGCAACCCAUUAGAAUCUAGAUGGAGGCUCCACAAGUUGGUAUUUAACCAACCACGAAUAUCAAUAUUAAGGGUGAAGAAGCUAUCCUAAUGAUGUCGUAGAACUAGGCUCUUCCACACAUUCUUAGCAAAGCCACAGUCACGCAAUAUGUGUAUUCUAGUCUCAGCAUCCCUACGGCAAGUUUCACAGGUGGUUGUAUUAUUGAUAUGCUGCCUGAGCCUUUCCACAUCUGUUAAGAGCUUGUUGUGCUUGGCUAGCCAUAGAAAUAUCUUCACUGUCUGCAGUCUAAGCCAUCGCCAUACAGUUUUUCAACUUCCAUGGCUUCUAUCCAUGUUAAUAUCUGCAAGAUAAAUAUAAGCAGAUUUAAGGUUAAACAUACCUGAACUUGAGAAUUUCCAGAUCAUUGUGUCAGUUUCCAUGCGCAGCGCAAAAGGAGAGACAUUUGCAAUCUGUAAAAUCACCAAGGCUGGUAGAUAGCUACUGAAACUAGGCUAAUGCCAUGUUCCUUCAGGAGUUAUAUAAUAGCUUACACAUUGUUGCCUCAGGUUAUUAGGCACCUCAUACAUCCAAAAGCUUCAUACCACUUGGUAGCCACUCAUCUUCACAGAAUUUGAUCCUUCUCCUAUCACCCAAAGACCAAGCAAUGGCUUCCCUAAACUUGUCCCAGAUCUUCAUAAUUCCCCUCUAGACAUUAGAGGCCUUUUUUAUUUUAACAUGUUCUGGUAAUAGUUCUAUUAUUUUGUAUUUAGUCCUCAAUAUGCAGACCCAAAGACCUUCAAGACUGCUCACCACACCCCAUGCUAACUUGAGUAAAAAGGCCAUAUUCAUUGUUUUAGCAUCCCUAAAUCAUGAUUCACCCAUUUCCUUUGAAAGCAGAACUUGACUCCAAGGGAUAAAGUUGACUUUCCUACAGUUGUCAUUGCUGCCCCAGAUGAAAUUCCUGGAUAAUUUGUCAAUAGUAGCACAGAUGGAUUCAGUCAGAUACGAAGUUUUCAUGGUAUAAGUAGGGAUUAACAAAAGAGUAGAUUGGGCUAAAGUUCCUCUUCCAACUAAAGAAAAUUUGCUAGCGUCCCAAUUAUUAUGCUUCGUUCUAAUUUUGUCAAUCAGGUAUUGAUAAGUUCUCUUGGUGACACAAUUACGCAAAAGUGGGACUCCUAAAUAUUUGCCAAGAUCAUUAAUUUCCUGUACUCCAAGCUCCUCACAAAUUGCUUAUCUAGUCAGCCUACUCAUAUUUUUAAAGAAAAAAAAUACGAGUUUUGUUUCUAUUAACUCGUUGACCAGAGCUGCUACAAAAAUCUUCAAGCACUUUGUUGAUUUCUUCUACUUGAUCACUUGAAGCCUCUGCAAAUAAGACAAGAUUGUCAGUGAAAAAUAAAUGGGAGAUUAAAGGUCCUUCCUCAUUAAUGCAAAACGGUUUCCAGCUUUGUUGAGCUAUAGCCUUGUUAAUCCUAUGUGCCAACAUUUCCAUGCAGAGCACAAAAAGAUAUGGGGAUAGAGGAUCCCCCUGUCUAAUACCUUGAGUUGGGAAAAAGGGAUUAGUGAGGGUACCAUUCUAGAGAACCUGCAUAGUAGAAGAUGUCACACAAUUCAUAAUAAACUGUAUAAUACUAGCCGGGAAGCCAGCAUCAGAUAGCGUAUCCUCUAAAUAUACCCACUUAACUCUAUCAUAAGCUUUCUCCAAGUCAACUUUAAUAGCAAAAAAACCUUUCUUGCCCAUUCUGGAUCUCAUCGAGUGGAUCACUACUUGUGCAACGAUUAUAUUAUCAACUAUUUUCCUACUAGGCACAAAGCUAGUAUGAUUAGGAUGAAUUAUAAUAGGUAAGACAUGCUUACUACUGUUGGCAAGUACCUUAAUAAUGAUUUUAUAAAUGACACUACAAAGAGAGAUGAGUCUGAAAUUAGAGAUUAAUAGCAGAUUUGCUACUUUAGGGAUAAAAUUUAUGAAGGUAUGAUUUAUUCUUCUUAUAAUAGGAUGACCUGCAAAAGCACGACGAACCUUAUCACAAACUUGAUUCCUCACAACCUCCCAAUUUUUUUGAAACAAGCUGGCAUGGAAUCCAUCUGGCCUUGGGGCUUUCUAUGGCUUCAUCUCAAAGAGAGUGCCUUGAAUCUCAUCUUUGGGCACAUGAGCAGAAAGAUUAGUUAGAACCACAUCCGGUAUAAGGGCGAAUUUACCUCUUAUAUUGUACACUGGGUAUCUGCGCAAUCAUCCAAAUAAAGAUUUUUGAAAAAAGUACAAGCCAAAUCUUGUAAGGACUGUUGAUCAAUGACCCGAGCAUUCUUAUCAUUUCUCAACAUCUCGAUCUAGUUUUGCUUCCUUUUCAUCAUAGUCUUUGCAUGAAAAUAGAAUGUAUUCCUAUCCCGUAGUUUAUCCAUUCUGAACGAGCUUUUUGAAACCAAAUUAGCUCCUCUCUUUGUAAAAUGAUAUCUAGCUCAUGUUGAAGUUUCUUUUCGAGGGUGUAAAGAGACUUGGACCAUUUUGUUUCCAGACUGCGUUGAAUGGCAUCAAUCUCGUCAAGAAGAGUUCUUUUCUAGUAAAACACAUUCUCGAAGACUUCUCUAUUGCAACUUCUGAGAUCAUUUGAUAACAACUUUAGGUUAUCUAUAAAAUUACCACUAGUUCUCCACCUAUCUUUCAACAUAUGCAUAAGGGACGCAUGGGUCAAACAUGUGGCCUGAAAGCGAAAAGGCUUCUCCCUAUUUUGUUCCUGGCGGAAGCUUUUUAAACCAAUAAGGAGUGGCCAAUGAUCAAAGUGGGUCCAUUGCAGGUGAAACACACAGCUCACAGGAUAUUGGGAUUGCCAAAGAUUAUUCCUAACCGCUCUGUCCAAUCUUUCAAAAAGAUUACCCCUUCUCCAGGUAAAAUCAGGCGCUUUAUAGCCAAGAUCAUACAUGCAUGUAUCUUCCAUCCGAGAUAAAAUCAGAAGAGACAUCCAACCAAUGAGCAACUCCCCCUUUCUUCUCAUCAGCUACAAGCAAAGUGUUGAAAUCCCCUGUAAGGAGCCAAGCUUCAUCUGGACGUACUCGUAGUGCAGCCAACUUUCUCUAGAGGGUCUUCCGAAUACUAAUUACUGGACUUCCGUACACUUCUGCAAACCAGAAAGGGGAGAAAUUAGCACCCGUAAUAUGAAAAUGAAUAAAUUGUUUAUUGUUUACACAAAAGGAAAGGUUCUAGUCUGAGUUCCAUAAACCCAUAUGCCUCCCCAGAAAUCGUUAGCUUUGACUUUGUGCGAUCCAGCAAAAUUCAACUUCUUAAUAAUGUUAUUUGCUCGAGCGCCACUAAUACGAGUUUCCAAUAGCACCACUAAGCUCGGAUUGUGUUCCUGCAAAAGCAAUUUAAAAUAUCUAAGGAAAUCGGAGCCUUCGGCUCCUUAGCAAUUCUAGAUGAAAAUUGAUAUUAAAAAAAGAGGAAGAGAAAGGAUACAAGUACACCUUAAACUCGUAAGUAGGAGUCACAAUAUGCUACCUCUUCAAAAGAGCUGUUACUCUUAAUCUCCUUAUCCUCUAACAUGUCAUCCACUGGUUUCUUGUUCGUCAGGAGGCCUUCCAAUAUACUACAAGAGCAUUCAAGUUGUCCUAGAUCUCUUCCCAACUGCAAGCUCUGCUUAAAUGGACUAAUAGGGACGUCAGGUGGUCGUGCAUGUGGGGAGAGAAAAUCUUUCAUCUGUGCAUGAAAAUUUACGUCAUUUUCCAUUUGCAUGGUUUGUGACAUGGUGUUGGGCCCCACUUCUUCCUAUGAAUUAAUUACAAUCAUAGAAUGUUUUCUCGGAUUCGGAGAAGAUGGCAAAGCGAUUUUCUCGGAUUCGGAGUAGAUGGCAAAGCGAAAUACUUUUGGCAGCAGAGACUUAAGGGUGAACCUUGGGUAUCUAUUCAAUAUUUUCUACUAUGAUUCCCACAUUUGAAACCUCCUUUUGAUUAAUCAACUUAUUUGGCCCUUUUUUACGCGAUGAGAUAUCUUUUUGGUCACCCCUCUAUUACUCCUGUUUUUUUUUUCUUUAGGUUGGCCCUCUUGCCCGUUCGUGGCAACUUCCUGCAGAUCUGCAUUUUCCAUUUCUGUAUUAACUUCACUUUCAUUUCUAAGGAUUUCAAAACGUGAUCCAGCCCUCUCCAUUUUAUCCAGUUUUUCCAUAUUCUCCUUUCGUGGUCGUUCGUUACGCCGUGAGACUUGAAUCCAUUUCCCAAAAAAAAUUUAUUUCUCCGGCUCUGUUCUAGUUUGCUCAGGGUUAGGCAUUCCAUCAUUACUGGAGACACCUUUGAAAAAAUAGAAAUUACUCCAAUGACUAAUUCGUCCAUACUCAAAAUAGAUUUGUGGCAAAAUUUUGUAUUCAACCUGUUGAACUCUAUUUUUAACACUAACUUGCGCAACAAUUUGAGUAAAUUUUUUCUGGAGCACAUCAGCAGUAUUAUAAUCAACCUUUAUUACUUUACCCAUGGAAGAGGCAAUUCUAUUUAGCAUCCUUUCAUGCUAUAAAUGCACUNNNNNNNNNNNNNNNNNNNNNNNNNNNNNNNNNNNNNNNNNNNNNNNNNNNNNNNNNNNNNNNNNNNNNNNNNNNNNNNNNNNNNNNNNNNNNNNNNNNNNNNNNNNNNNNNNNNNNNNNNNNNNNNNNNNNNNNNNNNNNNNNNNCUCUAUUUGGCAACAAUGCUCCCGUUUAUGUCUCUCAAUUCUCCUCUAAUUCCUCUUCCUCUUCAUCUCCUGGUAAGUUUGCUUUCUUUUAGUAUGUACAGAAUCUAUUUCACGAUCUUCCUUUCUUUUACAUAUAUUCUUUCUCUUUUUGGAGCUGGGUUUCGGAUGGAAGAUUUUAUUGUUAUAAUUAUUUGCUUUAGUAUAGUUGAUUACUUUACUAGUCUAACUUGAUCUCAAUUUUAUUUAUUUUCUUUCUAUGUUUGGUAUUGCAAUUUGCUGAUUAAUUGGAAAUUCUAGUUUACUUCGUUUCUAUUUUCAAUAACCCAUUGCAAUUGUAGAGAAUGUCAAAGUUAUAGGGUAGGGAAAUUUUGUGGAUCGCAUGGGCAGCUCUCCCUGCCCUUUGUCACUGCUUUCGUAUUGCUAAUAACCAUUUACAUGCACUUAUUAAUACUGAAGAUUACUUCUAGUAUUAGAAUAAUGAUUUGGGACAUCAUUGAUUAAAAUCUUUAAGAGUGAUAGGAAUGCUGGAGCAGUUUCAAUAAGAUUCUAGAAAUCUGGCAUUGUCCUUCACAACAAAGAUUAUUAAUGGAAAUGCAUUUGGAAUUGAUUGACCUUUUCUUAGCUGAGAGUAUUGAACAAAAUAGCUUACCACCAAUGAAAUUGAAUGAGAUCACCUUGAAGGGGAGCUUUAUGUAAUUCUUUUUUUGGAUCAAGCAUUAUUUGAUUUGUGAUUAAAUGAAGUUUUUGAGUCUCAUUGCGUUAGUUGACUUGCAGACAUUUUUUCUGGGAUCAGCUUUUAUACUUUCGUAUUCCAGAUUUGCCAGUCCUAUGCAGCUUCAGAUAUCAAACUACAUUUUACACAUGCACAUAUAUUAUUAUUCAAUACCAGGUUAGUUAAUGUUGAUAAAAACAUGUCACUUAGAAUGUGCACGUGAAUUGUUUUAUGGGUCUUUUCUUUUCACCUAAACCCCAAUUCAUUUCUGUUUCUCAUGAAUGAUAUUUCCCUUGAUUUCAGUUAGAAUAAAAAAACUGCAAUUUAAUUUGUUUUGGCCUCCUAGGAAUGAUUGUUAUGAAGUUCUUCACUUUAUGUGUAAUAUUGACUUUUAACUUCUUUUGUGCUUACUGAAAUAUUUUAUCUUGGAAACUUUCAGAUAUGUUCACAUUUAGCAACAAAAUUGCUCGCUUUUAACUGAAAAUGGGAUGAAUAUAUGCCCCAUGAAGUUUAAUGAGUAAAUCCCUUGCCAUGAUGUUCUCCAAGUGAAAAGUCUACUCCCAAGCUUAGAUCUUUCUUGAAAAGAAGAGCUGGAGAGGCGUUGCCCUCCACCUGAAAAGCGUCUACUUGUGCUCGGUGCCACCCCAGAAGAUUAUAAAUUGCCAACCAGCAGGAAUCAUGUUUGGCAAAGCAAUGUGAAUCAGACACGUCUUGCUGCAGUCAAAGGAAUUGGGUGCAUGAAAAGGAUCAAUUACGGUGGUUUGCAGGAGGCGAUGAUCAUUUCAAAAUUCAAAGCACGGGGCACCGGAGUGCAUUUGGAGGUAACUUAGAUGAUCUUUUUCUUACAUAUCUUAAUACCUUUGAGCUGGUUUUGUCAUUUGAUGUUAUUUCACUACCCAAGCAAGCGAUUGGUCUCACAUUACGUAUAAUUAGUUAAAUACCAUUCUGUUUCCUUUUCAAUUCUAAAUGCAGGUUGGAACUGUGACGACUAAUGAAACAUCUGCUGUCAGCUGGGGUUGUUGAAGUUCUGGAUGUUGGGCUGCGUGUUUGCUAGCUUCUCUGGUUGUCUCCUUCCCUUGGAAAUACAAACAUGUCUUCUUCUCCCAAAGGUGAUUCUUAUUUUUGUUUCGUUUUGGAAUUGAAGCAACUGCAGUCCGAACUGAUUGUACCUUAGAUGUAGGGUUUUUAAGAGUUUGGUUAUGUUGGACAUCACCGUUUUAGUGAGUUUGAAAGGAAUCAUUUAGAGUUGCAUAUUGUUUUGAGGACUCUCUUUAAUUAUAUGUGGAGAGAUAAUUAGGUAAGGUCGACUCGAAAUUUGAAAAAUAAAAAAUCGAAUUGAUAAAAAAUACUAUUAGAAAACGAAUUGAAAUAUGGAGAUGAUUAGGUCAGGUUAGGUUGGUUGAAAAAUUAAAAUUAAAAAAUCAAAUUGAUAAAAAAUACUAUUAGAAAAUGAAUUGAAAUACGAAAAAAAUCAAAUCGUAUGGAAUUAAAUAUUUUCGGUUUGAUUUGUUUAUUCUUUACAACAGCAUAAAACAGCAAUAAAUUUUGUCCAAAAUAAAAAUCAAUACCUUCGAGAACAAAAAAUCACAUAUACAUCUAAAUCAAACAAUAAAAUCACAUAUACAUUUUCUAAAUCAAACAAUAAGAAAUAAAAUGUUCCAAAAAUAGGAACUGAAGUAAAAAAAUUCAUUCAAAAUCAACAUAGCAAACACAAGGAAUCCAUAAGCCAAUCCAAAAAUCAAAACCUCAAACACCCAAUUGAAGAAAUUGAAUCAAAACCUUAAACAUCCAAUUGAAGAAAUUGCAAUCUGCAUCGUGAUUUGUGGACCCUUUGCAAUUGUCUUUGCGCCCAAGACAAAUUCAUAUACGCUUGUUUGUAGAUCUUCCUCAAGAAUCAUCUAAACAAGAAGACACCUAGGAAAAAUUAUUUUCAACUCUUUCUCUUCGUUCGCAAUGUCGAAAUUUGAGCCUUCAAGAAAAAGCAAUCCAUCAUGCAUAUGGAUGAAUGAGAUGAGAAAUUGUAAAAAUGAGAGGAAGGCCAAUGAAGUAUGUGAUUUUUUGAUGGUCAUGCGAGUUUAGUGAUCUUUGCCACUUAGAUUUCAGCUUUGUGCAUGAGUUUUAGAUGAAGACUUAAUGGUAGAUGAAAGAAGAAGAGACAACGAUAGAGAAGAGAAAUUGAGAAAUUAGCAAUUUUAAACACUUAGACUUUAACCAUAGAGAUGAGAAAGGUAUAUAAAAAAAAAAGGUCUUGUGGACAGAGAAUGUGAAAUAUAGGAAAAGAAGAAAGAAUUGUAGAAAUGAAGCCUUUUAAUUCUUCGGCUGGUACAGUUUUUUCCAUUAAUUUCAGAUAUUAAAUCAAACCAAAAAUUAAAAAUUUAACUAAUCAAACUAAAUAGAUUAAUUUAAUUUUAUUUAAUUUAAUUUUUUUUAUUAUAACGGAAAAGUAUUCCCGCCGGCAAAUGGUAUGAUUGCAUUUUUUUUAAAAUAAAAAUCGAAAAAGUAAAAUCAAACCUUUUAAAUUUAAUUACAUAUAUUUAACAACCGAUUAAACAUGUGAUUUUUUUUUUUUCAGCUUACAUUUUUUAAAUUACUGUAAAAAAGGAUUAAUUACCUGUCAAAUUCAAGUCACUUUCCAUGUAUUAUUUUUAAUUAUUAACUUUUAAAAUAGUUAAAUUUAAUUUAUUUAUUUAUCUCCUAAUUCAAAAUUUAUGUUAAUUGUAUCAAUCAUAAGAGAUUAUUGAAUUAAUUUUUUAUUAAAUUAUUAUUUUAUAGAUUAUUUGAAUUUAAAUCAUUUCAGUUUUUGAAUAAGUUAAAAUGUUAUGAAUCACAUUGGAUCCAAUAGACAUUGAUCAAAGCGAUUGGUUAGUCAAACCAAAAUUUUUCUCCUCCGUAAUGUAUAUUUAUCCCUUGUCUGAAAAUUUUAAAAAAAAAACAAAGAAAGAAAGAAAGAGGAAGAGGGAAGAGGGAAGAGAGAAGAGAGAAGAGAGUCACCGUGAAGUGCUUUUUCGCAGGAGGUGAUGGCAUCAUCACUUUGAUGGCGAGUUAUCAGCCCCUCUAUGGCUACGGGGAGAUUGAGAUUGUUGUUGAUCUGCUCUUUCUUUGCCCUUACUGUAAAAUUUCUACUGUUUGUGGAGUUUCUGAUUUUGUGCUUCUUCAUUUUUUUUUGGUGUUUUUUAUUUUCCUAUUUUACAGGAUGCUGAGUUCUAGGGAAUAGUAAUUCACAGUUUUCUACCAUUGCCCUGUGGUAGUGGUGGUGGAGGUGGUGGCGGCUAGCGGCGUUGGACUGUUUUAUCUUUCUUUGAUUAGGGUUUCAAUUUUGAGAGAUGUGGGUGGGUUGGGUUGAUGGACUGCUCUCUAACAAAUAGGCUUAGGCUUGUUUAAAUUGAGUUGUUGGGUUUCGAUUGCUAUUUCUAUCACUUUGACCCUCGAGGGGUUUUAUAAUAUUGCCUGUUGGACUUUCAAUGCAAUAUUUUGUAACCGUUGCAGGCAUUUGUGAUUUGUUAAUUAUUUUGUAACCGUUGCCAAUAAAAUUUUGUAUUUUUUUUAUAAGUAAAACUAUUUAUUGUAUUAAUAAAAUUUUAUCAAACAAAAUAAAAUAUCAUCCCAAAUAGACAAUUAUAUCUAAUAGAUUUUUUAGAUAAACUAUAAGCAGUUAUAGUAUUACGAUAAAUUAUUUAACAGAAAUAUCAAUUCAGAAUCUAACAAAAAUUUAUAAUCAUUCAAAUCAAAUCCCUAUAUAAAAUAAUUUGAUAAAAAUGCUUUUCAAGUGUUUAUUUAAAAUUUUGUAUUGAAUAUUUAUUUGUUAUUAAUUUGAUAAAAAUUAUAUAAGUGAUAAAAAAUAAAAAUAAUUAAAUAGAAUAAAAAGAAUAAAAUGAGAGAAUAUAAAAAAAAUAUAACAAGAGGAGAACAGAGAAAACAUGAUUAAAUAAAUGAGUAAUUAUAUAAAUAUAUAAAUUAUUAAUGAAUUAACAACGUAAUUUACAAUAUGGUCUUAAAUGUUUUUUAAAAAAUAGUAUUUUUAUCUAAAUUUUAAUAAUAAGCUUUGAAAUUCGUUAUUAAAUUUGUAUAAAAUUUUAGUACUUCAUAAUUUAAUAAUAGUUUAUGAAUCCAUUGCAAAAUUCAAUAAUAGUUUUUGAAAGCAGUUAAAAAAAAUAUAUUACGAUUUUAUUUUUUUUUUUGAAAUAGGGGGGUGGGGGAGUCGAACCUUUGACCUCACAAGACUACAAGGAUGCACUUUCCACCAGGCUAAGCCUCGGAGUGCAAAAUAAUGCUUUACUAAAUUUACAUUUAAUUUUAAUAUUUUAUAAUUUAAUAAUAAAUUUUAUUAUUAAUUGUUAAUUAGUAUUGAUACGCUUAAAUUUACAUUUAAUUUUAAUAUUUCAUAAUUUAAUAAUAAAUUUUUUAUUAAUUAUUAAUUAAUAUUGAUAUAAUUGAAAUAAAAUUAUAUUGUAAUUUCUAUAAUAAAAAGUAUGUGAAGGCAGGUGAAUGUCAUUGACAUUUAUAACAGUUAAUUCAAUAUUUAAGUAAAUUUAUUAAAAAAAAUAAAUAUAAAAAUUUCUUUAAAAGUCAAAAGUAAUUGUAUAAAAAUAUUUAUCUUGAUUUUUAAUAUUAUUAAUUUUUAUAUUAUAAAAAAAAUAGAGUGCAUUAUCACAUCCACUUAAAAUUUAAUUAGUCAAUCCACUGAAAAUCCAAUUAGUCAAUACAUUGAAAAUCUCGUAAUUAUGGAAUAAUAUUUUAGAAGUAUAAACUUAUGAAUUUUGAUAUUUAACCGACGUGAUAAUCAAAUAUUACAUAUUAAACAUGAAGUCAUUAAUAAUUUAUUUGUGAAUAAAAUAAUCAAAAUACAAGAUAAUUAUACAAUAUAUGUUUUUAAAUUUAUUUAUAUAAUAUUAAUUUAGACUUUUUAAAAUAGUGUAUAUCGUCUGUAAAUAUAAAGUUAUAUGUGAUGUAAUUGUACAAUAUAUGUUUUUAAAUUUAUUUAUAUAAUAUUAAUUUAGAUUUUUUAAAAUAAUAUAUAUAAUCUAUAUAAAUAUAAACUUAUAUAUGAUGUAAAACAACAAUCAUUUAAAAUAAAUUAUAAUUAUAAGUUAUCAUUAUAAAAUAAAAUAAUAUUAAAAGUCUAAUAACAUCAAAUGACAAAACCAGCUCAAAGGUAUUAAGAUAUGUAAGAAAAAGAUCAUCAAAGUUACCUCCGAAUGUACUCAGGUGCCCCGUGCUUUGAAUUUUGAAAUGAUUAUCGCCUCCUGCGAACCACCAUAAUUGAUCCUUUUCAUGCACCCAAUUCCUUUGACUGCAGCAAGACGUGUCUGAUUCACUUUGCUUUGCCAAACAUGAUUCCUGCUGGUUGGCAAUUUAUAAUCUUCUGGGUUGGCACCAAGCAGAAGUAGACGCUUUUCAGGUGGAGGGCAACGCCUCUCCAGCUCUUCUUUUCAAGAAAUAUCUAAGCUUGGGAGUAGACUUUUCACUUGGAGAACAUUAUGGCAAGGGAUUUACUCAUUAAACUUCAGGGGGCAUAUAUUCAUCCCAUUUUCAGUUAAGAGCGAGCAAUUUUGUUGCUAAAUGUGAACAUAUCUAAAAGUUUCCAAGAUAAUCUAUUUCAGUAAGCACAAAAGAAGUUAAAAAGUCAAUAUUACACAUAAAGUGAAGAACUUCAUAACAAUCAAUGGCCACAGUUUCCUACGAGGCCAAAACAAAUUAAAUUGCAGUUUUUUUUUUUUUUUUUUAACUGAAAUCAAGGGAAAUAUCAUUCAUGAGAAACAGAAAUGAAUUGGGGUUUAGGUGAAAAGAAAAGACCCAUAAAACAAUUCACGUGCAUAUUCUAAGUGACAUGUUUUUAUCAACAUUAACUAACCUGGUAUUGAAUAAUAAUAUAUGUGCAUGUGUAAAAUGUAGUUUGAUAUCUGAAGCUACAUAGGACUGGCAAAUCUGGAAUACGAAAGUAUAAAAGCUGAUCCCAGAAAAAAUGUCUGCAAGUCAACUAAUGCAAUGAGACUCAAAAACUUCAUUUAAUCACAAAUCAAAUGCCUAUAUAAUGAUCAAAUAAUGCUUGAUCCAAAAAAAGAAUUACAUAAAGCUCCCCCUUCAAGGUGAUCUCAUUCAAUUUCAUUGGUGGUAAGCUAUUUUGUUUAAUACUCUCAGCUAAGAAAGGGUCAAUCAAUUCCAAAUGCAUUUCCAUUAAUAAUCUUUGUGGUGAAGGACAAUGCCAGAUUUCUAGAAUCUUAUUGAAACUGCUCCAGCAUUCCUAUCACUCUUAAAGAUUUUAAUCAAUGAUGUUCCAAAUCAUUAUUCUAAUACUAGAAGUAAUCUUCAGUAUUAAUAAGUGCAUGUAAAUGGUUAUUAGCAAUACGAAAGCAGUGACAAAGGGCAGGGAGAGCUGCCCAUGCGAUCCACAAAAUUUCCCUACCCUAUAACUUUGACAUUCUCUACAAUUGCAAUGGGUUAUUGAAAAUAGAAACGAAGUAAACUAGAAUUUCCAAUUAAACAACAAAUUGCAAUACCAAACAUAGAAAGAAAAUAAAUAAAAUUGAGCUCAAGUUAGACUAGUAAAGUAAUAAACUAUACUAAAGCAAAUAAUUAUAAUAAUAAAAUCUUCCAUCCGAGACCCAGCUCAAAAAAGAGAAAGAAAAUAUGUAAAAGAAAGGAAGAUCAUGAAAUAGAUUCUGUACAUACUAAAAGAAAGCAAACUUACCAGGAGAUGAAGAGGAAGAGGAAUUAGAGGAGAAUUGAGGGACAUAAACGGGAGCAUUGUUACCAAAUAGAGUGCCCAAGUAGAAAGAACCCACCAUUAAUAAUAAAGCCACCAUUAUCAUCUGCCCUGAUUUCAAAUCAAAAGCCGACCCCAAAGCAUACCCUCCCAUUCUCUCUCUCUCUCUGUGUCGGUGAUCUAAAUUUGAUUCACGCUUAACCUUAGAGUAACCAGAGGAACCUAAUCGGAUCUCUCUAACAAGCACGAAGAAGAAGAAGAAGAAUAUCUCCAGAACCAGCUUGCUUGCUCUCUCGGGACUGGGAAUCUGUGCUGCUAUUUUAUUUUUGGAAGCUUGAUAAUUGAAUUAUUUAUCAAAUAGUGAUAUCGCCGGCUUUUGUCAUGUGAGAGACGCGUGCCACAAUCGCCUUUACGUGUCGAAAAGACGAUUUAAGCCCUGAAGGAGGCGAGUUACAAUCCCACAUCGAAAGGUUGAAAGAACGAAGCAGCCCAUCUAAUUGCUGAGGUUAGGAAACGAGUGCACGACCUUACUUGAACAGGAUCUGUUCUAUAGGAUCGUACUUCUGUGUCCUUUAGCACAAAGGAGACAGGAACCACAGUCUGGAAGAUGAAGCAUGGCCGUACGAUCAGAGCGUGAUUAACGGCUAAGGAUUCUUUGGGUCCGUGAGCUUGUAGAGGAUCGUUCUCAGCCAUACGUGGCUGAGGUGGUCGCACGGUUGCCUGACAGACUCCAAUAUUUUUCAUUUUUCUAUUUAUUGUUUUAUUUUCCUUUUCUCUAUGAACAUUUAAAGAUUGAAUUGUAAACUUUAAAAAUCAAAUUACAAUUUAUAAUCUUUAUUCAAUGAAAAUAUUAUAAUUUGAUUUUUUAUAUUUUUAUAUAUAGUUACUAAACAGUUGUAUUUUUUUAGUAAUUUUAAAAUCGUUCCAUUUUCUUUUAUCGAUUUGAUAAUUAUGUAUAAAUUUAUUAUGGCAAGGAAGUAGACUUUUCAUGAAAGAUCUAAGCUUGGGAGUAGACUUUUCACAUACAGAACAUCAUGGCAAGGGAUUUCCUCAUUAAAUUUCAGGGGACACAUAAUAAAAAUCUUGCAUCCAAAACCCAGCUCCAAAAAGAGAAAGAAUUUUUUUGAAAAAAUGAAGAUGAUGAAAUAGAUUCUGUAGAUACUAAAAGAAAGCAAACGUACCAGGAGAUGAAGAGGAAUAGAGGAGAAUUGAGAAACAUAAAUGGUAGAGUGCCCAAGUAGAAAGAAUCCACCAUUAUCGUCUGCCCUGAUUUCAAAUCAAAAGCCGACCCCAAAGCAUACCCUCCCAUUCUCUCUCUCUCUCUCUCUGAUCAAAAUUGGAUUCACACUUAACGUAGAGUAACCAGAGGCACUUAAUCGGAUCGUUCUAACGAGCACUAUGAAGGAGAGGAAGAAGAAGAAGAAGAAGCGGCAGCUUGCUUUGCCCUCUCAGGGAUCUGUGGUGCUAUUUUAUAUUUGGAAGCUUUGAUAAUUGAAUAAUUUAAUGAAUAGUGAUAUCGCCGGCUUUUGUCAUGUGAGAGACGCGUGCCACAAUCUCCUUUACGUGUUGAGAAGACAGAUUAAGCCCCGAGGGAAGCGAGACAAUCCCACGUCGAAACAUGACACCACGACCUUGCUUGAACAGGGUCUCACGUUUAAAUUAAUCUUUUGGCCGAGUCCAACUGGUAAAAUCAACUUGAAGUUCUGAAAUUUAAGAUUGGCCAGGUCAAACAUGGGUUGCAACGAAGCAAUCCUCUUGUUUAAUUCGCCAACCAGCUAUUGUCUAUCACACAAAUAUCAAAUCUUAUAAUAAUAAAUAAUUAACAUUGAAAAUAUCCAUAGAACGUAUCGAUACUUGUCCAUUGACGCAUAUACCAAAGCAUUGUUUUAGGUUUUAUAUCCUUGGCCUCCUUCAAAUCCUAAUCUUAGCUCUGCAAUUGCAAAUGCAAUGCCGAGUCCAGCAAUCCCUCGUUCAACUUCUGAGAUUUUAAUCUCCUCUUCCUCUUCAUCCAAGAUUCGCCUUCCAUCUUCCACUCGCUCUACUAGCUCAUCUUCUCGAUCUAACAAGUCCUCCUACUGGCUUGCUUGGAGCAACGUUAACAAGCUUGGAAACUUCAUCACCAUUGGAAGAAAGAGCAGUGAGUUAUCUCAUUCUGAUUUGACAGAGGAAAGCCUUGAAGCUCAUAAUAGAAGACAAGAAGCUUUCAUAUUACAGAAUCAAAGGGUUGAUUAUAAGAACGCUAAGUGCAGCCCUUAUUAUAAAGGACUUACUGAUUAUUCACUUGAUAUAAACCGUGAGAAGCAUCAUUUGAAUCAGUCUUCUAGCCCUGGACGUGAAAGCCAUGCUACUACUUUUGUUUCCAAUUCAAGUUCUAUUUCCUCUUUCGUUCUUGUUAAGAUUCAAGAAUGGACUGCUUGCUUCUCUUCCCUCAAGUAUUCUUCUACUAAGGACAAGCAAAAUCAUGUUCCUGCUCCGGCUCCGGCUGCUGCUCUGGCUUCAGCUCCUGCUCCUCCUGUUCCUGUUCCUGUGCCUGAACAUCCAGUAGAAAGUACGCCCUUGGAGACUGAUAAAAUUGUUUCAUCGGUUAUUCAAGAGGAGAAGCCAUUGAGGGAGAGAGUAUUGCCAUCAGAACCUGAACCACCAUCAUCAUCACCACCACCACCACCACCACCACCACCACCACCACCGUCACCACCAUCCAUAAAGGCUGAGGCGCCUGCAAAAGUUGAUGAGAAAAAUGAUACAGCCAUUGACAUGUUGGAUGGGAGGAAGCAGUUUACUUGGGCAGACAAGUAUCGUCCCAAAGCUUUGAAAGAUUUUAUCUGCAAUCAAGCUACUGCCACUAGGGUGCAGGGUCUGGUAGGAUUUUUCAUUCAAUUUCUUGAUUUUCUUUCAUCAUACUGCUUUAUUUGAGAAGGAUUUGAGCUAAGAUGUGCCGUGGCUUUGCAUCACUUUACAGAUAAAAGGCGAAGAGUGUAAUCACUUCAUAUUCGAGGGACCUACUGGUGUGGGAAAAAGAACCAUGAUCUCGGCUAUGCUUCGAGAAGCAUAUGGGCCCGACAGAGUGAAGGUUUUUAUUUCUUUUUGUUCAUAUUCGUAAUGAUCUGCUACUUUUAUUUAGCAAAGCUUUUCAAUAGAACAUGAGAUUAAAGCGUUGGUAAUAAUUAAUAUAAAUUUAUGAAUAACUAGAUUCUUGAACCUCCAAUUGAAUUUCUUAUGUGAUCAUCACUGCUUUUACGACUUCAAUUUACAAACUUUUAAAGAAGUAUUGAUGCCUGCAUAUUUUUUCUGUUGAUUUUACAGACUAGGGAAGAGUCCAAAGCAUUUUACUUGAAGGUAAUUUUCAACCCAUUUUACUAUUGUUAGAAUAUAAUAUCACCUCCCUUCUGCUGUGUGCUUUAAAUACUAAUUUGAGAAAAUUUAAAAAAAAAAAAUAAAAAACUAUAAAAGAUAACUCCAAUUUCAUCACUUCUUUGAAUGUUGAUCACAGGGAGAAUCAGUUGGGAGUAUAGAAGUAAAAAUUAAGGUAUCUUCUCAACAUGUAGAAGUCAAUCUCUCUGAUCUGAAAGGCUAUGAGAAACAUGUCAUCGUGGACCUUAUCAAAGAAACCAGUAAUGGGAUGUCGAAGAAAGGUUUGCAGUCGAAAACUGACAGUUGCCGAGGUAUAUAUAGCGUUUUAUUUCAACAAUGAUUUAAGACAUAAAUCUUUUCCUUGAAACAAACACACAAUCCUAGAGAAAAAACGUGGUUCGACCUUACGUUCUACAUACACAGAUAAGGCAGCUCUCAAAUCUCCCAAAACCCUAACCCUAAUGUAUUUCCCUCCCAACACAGAUUCUCAUUUUUAUCCAAUUCAAGUUACAGGCAAUAACAAAAUAUACCCAAAAUUGAAACCACAUAAUUAACACCUCUGCUAAUAAUUUCCAGGAAAAUGCAAUGCCUGAAACAGUACAACAACGACUAAUUAUUUUUGUGCAGCAAUCAUUUUAUACAAUGCAGACAAGCUAUCUGCAGAUGCUGUCCUGUACAUUAAGUGGCUAUUGGAAAGAAAUAAAGGGUCCAGUAUGUUUUUCUUCUGCUGCUCUGAUGUCUCAAAGCUUCAGCCGGUCAAGGAACUCUGCACAUUUGUUCAGCUUCACCUGCCUUCAAACGAAGAGGUGGGAAUGCUAUAUAUGACAGGAUUUACAGUAAUGGUUAAUCUGAAACCAGAAAUAUUAUAUAUCUCUCCAGGGUUUUUAAUAGACUGCUAUUUUUCUAUGUCAACUUUUUCCAUGUUUAGAUUGUUGAAGUUUUAGAAUUUAUAGCAGAACAAGAAGGCAUAGAUUUGCCACGGGAAUUCGCUGAAACUAUAGCUAUAAACUCUAAGAAUAAUCUGCGUCAAGCCAUUCGAUCUUUAGAGGCCUCCUGGGAGAGAAGGUAUGAUUUGGUUCAUAUCAUUCAAUAUCAUAUAAAUGUCUGCUUUACGAAAAUUUAUUCUAUAUAACUAUUGCAUGUAAUAAAACUGCUUUGACGUCCUCUCACCUUGUGACCUUCUAACGAUCUUUGCCUUGGCAGUUAUCCAUUUACAGAAGAUCAAAAAUUCUUGACCGGGUGGGAAGAUGAUAUUGCAAAUAUUGCCAAGGACAUGGUCCAAGAACAAAGUCCCAAACAGUAAGUUAUAUCCGACCACAAUACUAUGUAAACAUUUUUAUAAUAUUAUAAUAUUUAUAAACUUUACAAGAUAUAUAUUAUGAUUUUUAUAAUAAAAUAUAAACAUUAAAAUAUUUUUUAUAAUAUAAUUUUAUAUUAUAUUUAAAAGUAAUAUAACAAAUAUAAAAACAUACAAAACAUUAAAUAAAAUUAGUAUAUAUAAAUCUAGGUGAAAAAUCUUGUGAUUUUCACUAUUUUUUUUUAUUUUCUUGCAGUGUAUGUUUUGGAUGAAAUUUACUAUAAUUUUAAAUAAUAUAUCAAUUUUAGAUUAGAUGAGUGCAUAAGUUCAAUUUUGUGUGCUUACAAGAAUUUUCCAGUUCUCCUAACCCUAAUAUAUGGCAGUCUCAGACUAUGAACGCCCUUUAAUAUAGCUAGGAUUAUAAAGGCUUCAAAAUACAGUUGCAUCAUUUUUGCAAAGUAGGAUUCGCCCGAGUACCCGUCCGCAGAUUUCUCCCUAUUGAGUGUACAGUAGAUUAUGGAAUGUCUGCCAUUAACAGCAUCUCAUACUGUGAAACAUGAUCCAUAAAUUUAAGUUGUAAUUUACUUGUGCUUUGCAGGCUAUAUAUCAUACGUGGGAAGCUUCAAAACCUAAUAGAGCAUGAUGUAUCACCUUCCUUUAUUUUCAAAGUAGGAGCUUCACAGUCCUUGUACUCUCUUUUAUAAGUUUUCUUCAACAGAUUCAGAGAGCCUCUAACGUUUGAAUACUGGAUUGAAUCAUGAUGAUACAGGCUCUGGUUGAAGAACUGAAAGGCAAUUUGGAUACUUUCUGCCAACUGCAACUUGACAACUUGUACAAGGAUUACAUUUUAAGAGAAAAACUCUCGUUAGAAGAUGGUAAAAGGCCUCAUGAUUCUGCCAAACACAAAUUUCAGAAAUACAUGAACAUUGAAGGUAAAAUACAAGCUCAAAAAUACAGAAAUUCUUCAACCUUAGAUAAUGAGAUAAUAUUAUAUGCCCAUGAAAACACAUGCAUGCCAAUAUUGCUCUAUGUUAAUAAAAGGCUUAUUGGCUCAAAAAGACCGCAAUUUUAUGAGUUUUCAUAUUUAUAGCUAAAACUUUUAAUUUUAUAUUAAAAAUUUCAACUUUCAAAUUUAUUAUAAUUAUAAUAACUUUUUAAAUUAAUUUUGAUCAGAUUUAAAUCUUAGAUCAUAUGACAUUCCAUGAGUCAUUAUUUUUACUAUAUGAGUAAUUUUAUUAACUGAAAUUAAAUUUUGAUUAAGAUAUUAAACCCUUAAUUAUCUAAAAUUCUCAAUUAAAAUCCUUAUUUAAGUAAGAGAGAAUCAAGUAUUUCAAUUAUAUAAUUUGAAAAUUUCAUAUAAUUAAGGGUUUAAAUUCUUAAUUAAAGUUAAUUCCAGUUAAUCAAAUUGCUUAUAUAGUAAAAAAGAAUGUCAUCUAACAAUAUAAGUUAAUUUAAAUUUGAUUAAAAUUAAUUUAAAAAGUUUCUAUAAUAAUAACAAAUUCAAAAAUUGAGACUUUUUAAUUCAAAAUUAAAACUUUUGACUAUAUAAAAAAUCGUAAAAUUGUAGUCUUUUUAAACUAAUAGACCUAAUAAAAAUAAUUGGGUGUAAUUAAUAUAAACUCAGACUCUUAUGAAAAUGAGUUUUAUGAUUGUUAAAUUUUAGCAGAAAAGACUUGUAAUGUCCCUAAAUUAUUUAAGGAUGGAAUUAAGAGGAUAUUAUGAUUCUAAUCAUCAUGUAGUAUAAAUAUUCUGUAACAUCUUUAGACCAAUUUGAAUUCAAAAGAAAAAACAAACAACUCUUUAAGUCUAUAAAAUAUAGGAUGAGAGUCAAUUGAAAAUUCAUAUAUUAUGUAUGGAUAUAAAUAUUAGGUUACUGAAUACUAACGGUGAAAUUAAAUAUCCAUAUCGACCGCAUUUAUAAUUUAUGUUAUCUUAUACUAAAUACAAUAUUAGAUCUAACAAAUAUUAAACUCAUAAAAGUAAGAUAAUAGCUAACAACAAAAAUAACAAGAAUUACAUAGGGUUCCAUCUUCUUUUCAUAAUCUAAAAUUCAUCUUUGUUUCCCUCUGCAGAGUUCAUAGCAAAAUUUAUGAGCUUGUACAAGUUACACAUCACCACUUCCAAAAGCAUGGAACAUGAUAGUGAAGCAUGAGGGAAGUUGAUCAUUAACAACAAUCAACAUCUGUGGUUGCAGCAAAUUUGCAUAUCUGGUAUUGCUUGUAAAAUAAAUAUAAAAAUUUUACAAAGAAAAACAAAAGGAAAAAUACUUGGAAACUGAAAAUGGUAUAUGAAAUAUUAUAGAGAAGAAGAUGAUGAUGAUGCUGCUUAGGGUUAAGCCUUAUCAUAUGGAUAAGUGUUGUGGUUUGAAUAAAUGCUGUGUAUGCUAGUAGCUUAUAAAUGUUGAUCAUUUAAUAAAAUUUUCUAGCAGACAUGCACCAUUGGUAUUUCAAUGUCCAUUAAGAUUUUUAUUUAUUUUAAAUUUUUUUGGGGAAGGCCUAAUUAAUGCGUUGAAUAAUGAUAAUGGCUCACAAGAAAAUAUCUCUCCGAGGAGAAAUAUUUUUUAAUAUUUUUAAUUCUUUAUUGAUGAUAGUUUGAUUUUUAUUUAAUUCGAAUCGAACCUUUUUUUUAAUUCGAUUGUGGUUCAAUCUAAUUUGUUGAAAAAUAUUCUUGUUACUUAUGAAAAGCCGAGUGGUCAAAUUAUUAGUUUUUUAAGUUCUCUAUUUCUUUCGGUAAGAAUACUCCUCUGAUCAUCGAGAAUCAGCUUGCUCUUUGUUGGGUAUGGUCUAGAAAGAUUCUCUUGGUUCUUAUUUAGGUUUGUAGUUAUAUUUUGGGUGUAAUCGAAAAGUAAUUUUUAAGUUUAUAAAAGAUAGGUCUAGAAGAAAUUGAAUUUUUGAAAGCGGAAACCUUUGUCUCAAAUAGAUAAAAAAAUUAUGAUUAAAACUAUUUUACAGGAUCUCCCUAAUUAUAUUAUGAGCCUUUUCCUGUUACUGAAAACUUUGUGCUAUCUCAUUGAAUGGAUUGCGAAUGUUUUCUGGUGGAGUAAAUGGAAGCAUUUUACAAAAGGAAUUUAUUGGAUAGCCUGGGAUCGGAUGGCAAAGCACAAAGCAGUUGGUGGUUUGGAUUUUAAGCGGAUUUGUGAUUUCAAUCUGGCUUUACUAUGCAGUGCAAGCAGGGUUGGCGGGGCUGUUAUCUCAUCCUGACUCUUUGGUAGAUCGGGUCAUGAAGGCAAAAUACUUUCCUUCUUCCUCCUUUUCUUCUGCUUUGCUUGGUCAUAAUUUAAGCUACAUUUGGCGUUCCAUUUGGCAAUCUUAUAAUAUUGUUCAGGCUGGAGUUGUUUGGUGUGUGGGUUCAGGCAAGGACAUAUCAGUUUGGCACUCCCCUUGGCUUUAUGAUCAUGCUAAUUCUUUUGUUACUUCCUCUUUGCUUGUUAAUGGGGCUAAUCUGUUGGUUUUGGAUUAAUUUGAAGGCCGACCUUGGAACUUUCCUCUCACCUCAUCUCUUUUCAAUGAUAGAGAUAAGCAUAGUAUUCUUUCUAUCCCUUUAGGUUUAGCCUCUGGUCCUGAUUGCCUUAGUUGAAAAUUUGAGCAGAAUGGCUUAUACUUAGUUAAGAGUGCAUACAAGCUGCUUCAAUCUCACAACUCACCUAUGCCUUUGAUUUUGGAGUGUGGUCUAAGCUUUGGCAGUCUCCUGAUCCUCCUAAGGUUCUAAAUUUUGCUUGGCAUGCUCUUUCUCAUGUGCUUUGUGGUGUUUCUAUUUUGCAACACUGUCAGGUGCAGGUAUGUAAUCGAGGGAUCGAAACAAUUAUGCAUAUUUUAGUUCAAUAUUCUUUGCCCAGAAUGUUUGGAUGUUAAUUGAUUUGGGUCGGCAAGUUCCUGAUUUGCCUACUUUGACGGAUUGGUUUUGUGAAAUUUUUGUUCGAACUUCACCUGAUAUGAGCACCAUAAUUCUUACGGCUUGUUGGGCUCUUUGGACCAACUGCAAUUCUAUUGUCUGGGAUCACGCUGGUAAAAUUCCAGAUCAAAUAUUUCAUAUGACUAUUCAUUUUCUUCAGAAUUGGUCUACAAUUUCUUUUCUAGCCCAUCUUCAGCUUCUGCAAAUCCUUAUCGUUCUUGACAGCGACCACCUGAAGGUUGGAUGAAGAUUAAUAUUGAUGCUUCUACAGGUGCUGGUAUGAGUUUUAUUGGUUUUGGUGUUAUGGAACGUUGUUGCUCAUUUUAUUGCAACACAAACUUGGCCUCGAAUGGGCUUUUUUACUACAAAAUCUAUUGAAAUUAUUAUGUAUGUAUUUUUAUCAUAUGAAAAAUUAUAUUUUAUAUUAAUAAUAUUAAAUAAAAUAAAAUAUUAUAUAUUUUAUUAUAUAAAAUAAUUUUCUCUAUAAUUUUUAUAAAAAUUUAGAUAUAUUAAUCAUGUUUCUUAUAAGUUAUUUGAGAUAUUUAAUAUUUUUAUUUUACUCACCUAUAUAAUAAAUAAAUUUAUGAUAUAUAUUAAUUUAUUAAUUAAUGAGAUAAAAAGUUAUAUUUUAUAUUAAUAAUAUAAAAUAAAAUAUUAUAUAUUUUAUAAUAUAAUUUUUUUAUAUUUUAAAUUUUUGUUAAAUUAUAAUACGUGUAUAAUAAAGAAAAAUGAAAAGUAAAUAAGAAGAUUAAUAAAAAAAGAUAUUAUUGAAAUAAAAAUAUAUAUUUUAAGAAUUAUUUUAUUAGUUAAAUAAAAUUUUAGGGACUAUAUUAUAUUUUUUUAAUAAUAUUUAGAUUUAAUAUAAAUAUUAAAUGGUUCAUGCAUGGGAAAAUGGUUCAACCACCCCAAAUUCAAUAUUUGAGUAAACUCAUGAUCAUAUUUCCAUUUUGUCCAAACAUUAAAUUUUUUUUUUAAUUUGUUGCUUUUAUUUAUUUUAUUAUUUAAGAAGGAAAAACUUGGAAUUCAUUAAAUAAUAACAUAUGACCUUAGAAAUUUGAUUAAAUAAUUACUCAGUAAAAAAAACAAAUUUGAGCCUCUAAUAUGUAAAUUACAAUUUUAUUAAUGGAUGAACAUAUGGUAUACAUACCAUAAAUUAGAGACACCGUUUUAUAAUUUUUAUUUAUCUUUAUUUUUUUAAUUAUUUUAAAAUUAUUAUUCAAUUUUUUAUUAUAAUAAAAUAUAAAUGGAAUAUUAUAAUUCUAUUUUAUUUUAUUUUAUUUUUAAAUUUUUUUUAAAAAUAUCUCUUAAUAUUUAAUAAUAUAUAAUAUUUUUAAAAUAAAUAUAAUUAUAAAGAUAUUAAAAAAUAUUAUUUUUUUAAUAUGUAUAAAAUAGUAAAGUAAAUAAAAAUUAUAUAAAAAGGAAAUAUGAUAUAUUGAUAAUGACAUAAUGAUAAUAUUCUCAUAUAAUGUGUAUUAUAAUUAAAAUUUUAUUAUUUUAUUUUAUAAAGUUAUAGGAUAGGUAAAUAAUUAUGUGGUUUGAAUUAUUGAGAAUAUAUUUAAGGCCUAUUGAAUAAAUUUUUAUAAUUUAAAUAUUUACGUUAAUUUAUAUUUAUAUUUAAAAUUUAAAAUUUUUAUAAUAAAAUUAAUUUUUUUUCAAUUUAUCAUGAUAAUAAUCAAAAUAAGUAAAUUGAAUCUAAAAAAAUUAAUGAUAAAUUAUAAUGUAAUCCCUAAAAUUUUUUAUUAAUAAAUAUAUAGUCUUUUAUAUAAAAAUAAAUUUAUUUUAUAUUUAUCAUAUAUAAUAUUAAAUAAAUAUUUAUUAUAAAUAAAAUUUUCACUACAUAAAAUAUCAUAUAUGAAUAUUAUAUAUUAAAAUAUUUUAUGAAAGAUUUAUAUUUACCAUUAUAAAUUAUUAUGUAUGUAUUUUUAUCAUAUGAAAAAUUAUAUUUUAUAUUAAUAAUAUUAAAUAAAAUAAAAUAUUAUAUAUUUUAUUAUAUAAAAUAAUUUUCUCUAUAAUUUUUAUAAAAAUUUAGAUAUAUUAAUCAUGUUUCUUAUAAGUUAUUUGAGAUAUUUAAUAUUUUUAUUUUACUCACCUAUAUAAUAAAUAAAUUUAUAAUAUAUAUUAAUUUAUUAAUUAAUGAGAUAAAAAGAUAUAUUUUAUAUUAACAAUAUAAAAUAAAAUAUUAUAUAUUUUAUAAUAUAAUUCUUGUAUAUUUUAAACUUUUGUUAAAUUAUAAUACGUGUAUAAUAAAGAAAAAUGAAAAGUAAAUAAUAAGAUUAAUAAAAACAGAUAUUAUUGAAAUAAAAAUAUAUAUAUUAAGGAUUAUUUUAUUAGUUAAAUAAAAUUUUACGAAUUAUAUUAUAUUUUUUUAAUAAUAUUUAGAUUUAAUUUAUUUCUCUUUAUUAUAAUUAGAUAAAAUAAAAAAAAUUAAUUUUAUUAUUCAAAAUUUAAAAUUUUAGAUAUAAAUAUGAAUAAAUUUAAACUUCUUAAUUUUUUAUUUAAUAAAUCUUUUAAAUUUUAAACACAUGAAUAAAAAUAUUUUAUUAAAUUAAUUAAAAUAAAUAAUUAAAAUUAAAAUAAAUAUAAAAGAUUGAUUUUAUUAUUUAAAAUUUUAAAAUUAUGGUAUAAAUAUAAAAAAUAUAAAUAUUUAAUGACCAUAUAUUUAAUAUUAAUAAUAAAUAAUCUUUUUUUUAAAAAAAAAAACUAAUAAAAGUCGAGAAACAUGAAAGUGAUUGUAAUAAUAUUGUUGGGUAGUGGUUUGUGCUUUGCAUGUUUGUCAUGAUUCCACAUUUCCCAUGUUCCCAUGCCAUGAUGCUUCAUGCCAAACCGCCCAUUUCCAAUGACUUUCUUUAUCAAAAUUCCAGUUAAGAUAAUUAAAUACUCAAAUUUCCCAAUUAAUUAUUUAUUUAUUCCAUUCAAUUUCUUGAAUAAUUGUAAUGUGGGGAUAGCUACGCAAUUCUUCAAGUUGACAAAAGAUAUUGUUAGAAAUUUUUACUACAUUCACACUUAGGUUAGUACUUUUAUUAGUUUUCAUGUGAAUAGGAAAUAUAUUAUUUGAAAAAUUUUGAAAGAGGAUAAAGAUAUGAGGUAAAAGGGAAGCAAUCGAGCUUUGAAUAGUUUAAAUUUAAAUUGAAUUUGAUUUUAAAUUUAAUUAAUUUAAGUUAAAUAUUAAUAAUUUAUUUUUUUAAAGUAAAUUUAACACCAAAUAAAAAGAGAUAUCAUCUCAAAUAAAGAGAGAUAUCAUCUCAAAUAAAGAAACGAUAAUAUCUAAUAGAUUUUCUAGUUAAAGUAUGAGUAGUUAGAGUGGCAUGAUGACGAAACCAUCUAAUAGAAAUAUCAGUUCUAGAGUCUAACAAAUAUUUACAAUCAUUCAAAAUCAAACCCAGUUCAGAAAUGUCUAAAUGUAGAGACUGAAGAGCUUGAAUCACCUGCAAACCGUCCAUAAGAAUGCAGCUAUUAAAAGGCAAAAAUUUCAUCGCAAAGAGCAAACAGUGAUGGAGAGCUAAAGUUUCAACAAUUACCGGCGUACCAUUACCUUCUGAGAAACCAGAAACACCACGUUGAAAUAUACCCUCAGAGUUUUCCACAACAAAAUCGUAUCCAAUAAAAUGUUGAACUUGAAACAAAGCCCCAUCAACUUAACAAAGUCAACUGAAAUUGUCUAAACUUGAAGAUGACGCACGAAUUUGGAGAGGAAUGACUUCAGGAUCACAAGCAGGGUUGGAGGAAUAAAACAGAUUCCUACUCUGAUAUAAAGUAGCAGUGGUAUUUACAUGCAAAGCACCAGCAUGUUGAGCAGCUUCCAAAUCUGAAAUAUGAUGCAUGACAUCUUCCACAAGGUGAGCUGCUGAAUUCUGCACCUGGUUCCAUAAUAAUGAGUUCCUUGCUGACCAUAAUCUCCAUGCACAGACCAUUACAACUAUUUUUCGAACCUUAUUUUGGGACUUCAAAAUCUGCAGUAAAAAAUUAAAAAAAUUAUCAUUAGGCUGCAAAUCUCUCACUCCCACUAACCUCCAAACUUCCUUGGACACAGAACAAUGCAACAAAAUAUGAUUGACACUUUAAUCUUCAUGGCACCAAGGACAUCUAGUAUCCACAUCCACACCCUUUUACCUUAAGUUAUCCUUUGUAGGCAAUAUAUUUCUACAAACUCUCCAACAGAAAUCCUUCACUUUUGGAGGGACCGAAACAUUCCACAAAUUAGUCCACAACUCACCCCCCACAUUAAAAGAUGAUCUUCCUAACAAGUCCAUACAUACAAAGUAUGCGGACUUCACCGUAUACACACUUCUUUUAUCAAAGUGCCACAAAAAGGAAUUUUUCUUAUUAGUAAUACUAAUAGAAAUACUAAUAAUAACCCUGAUAUCUCUUGAAGAAAAAAGCUCUAUUAAAAUAGCAAUGUUUCAAACCCUCCCAUUACCUUCAAAAAGAUCACAAACACGCAAAUGUGGUUCAAUAAAAUCGUGGACAUCAUCCGCAAAAAAGGUAUUCUCCUUAGGAAUCCAGGAGCUGAAGCCACUAAAAUUUUCUCUCCAUUACCCACCCUCCACCUUGUACCCCUUUGAAUCAACUUCCUUGAUGCCACCACACUUUACCAAACAAAGCUAGCACCAUUACUUACAUUGGCAGAAAAUAAAUCACCAUUUGGGAAGUACUUUGCUUUAAAUACUCUAUAACAAAGAGUAUUAGGAUUUGUUAAGAACCUCCACAGUUGUUUGCCAAGUAAAGAUAAAUUAAAACUCCUAAAGUCCCGAAACCUCAUACCCCCCUCCUUCUUUCUACUACAUAUCUUCUCCUACGCUAGCCAAUUAAUACCCAUCCGCCCUUCUCUUUUACCUCCCCCACCAAAAGCCAUUGACUAUUCUAUGCACUUCAUUCAAAAUAGUAAUGGGAAUCAAAAAAAUAUUCAUGCAAUAUGCAAGUAUAGCCUGCAACACAGAUUUUAUGAGAACCUCCUUGCCUGCUCUAGAUAGGAAUCUACUGCUCCAUGAAUUUAUCCUCUUCCACAUUCUUUCUUUCAGAAAACCAAAAAUUACUUUUUUGUUCCUCCCAAUAAGAGAAGGUAACCCCAGAUAGGCACUAUGACUCAAUAGUGAAUGAACAUCCAAUAUAUUACUGAUAUUAGACUUUACAGAGGAGACCACAUUGAAACUGAAUAAAAUGUCAGAUUUGUUGAAGUUCACCACUUGUCCAGAAGCAGCCGCAUAAGUAUUGAGAAUAGAUUUAAUAUUAUCUGCUUCCUCCAGUCUAGCAUUAAAAAAUAUCAGAGAAUCAUCUGCAAAAAGUAAAUGUGAGAUCUUUGGGCAUCUAGCACCUGCCUUACAGCCCUGCAACCAGCCUCUAGAUUCAGCAUCUUUAAGUAGUAACGAUAAGCCUUCUGCACACACCAAAUAGAGAUAUGGAGAAAUAGAAUCCCCCUGUCGAAGACCUCUACCAGGCACAAUAGGACCAAUUCAAUCACUAUUAAAAUUGAUAUUGUAAGAAACUUCCGAAAAGCACAUAGUCAACCACCUAAUCCAUUGAGUAGGAAAACCAAAUCGUUCCAGCAUGCCUUUUAGAAACUCCCACUCUACCAUAUCAAUAUCAAUUUUAAGUGCACAAUUACCAUCAUUUCUGCCCUUAUUAGUUUUCAUAUUGUGUAUCAUUUCAAACACAACCAUAACAUUAUCGGUAAUCAACUGAUGAGGAAUAAAGACAGACUGAUUCUCAAAGAUAAUUAUAGGAAGGACCCUUUUAAAUCUGUUCGCUAAAACUUUAGCCACAAUCUUAUAUAACACAUUACAUAACGCAAUUGGACGAAAGUCUUUAAUAGUUUCAGAGCUAUCCACUUUAGGGAUCAAAACAAUCAAUAUUUCAGUAAGAGAAGAAGAAAAAGUACCAGGCGACAACCAUCGGAAACAUCAUUGCCAAUCAAGUGCCAAAAUCUUUAGUAAAAUGCAGGAUUUAACCCAUCCGGCCCAGGUGCCUUGUCUGGAUGCAUCUGAAAAAGAGCAGCUCUAAAUUCCUCAUUCAAAAAGGGAGCACAAAGUUCAGCAUUAUCAGCAUCACUAAUCAAGGGCGGCACCAACUCAAAAAACCAUUUACAAUCCACAGAACCGCCAUAAAAAAAUAGACCGAAAAUAAUGCAGAACAUGAUUUUUAAUUUCCUGCUCAUCGUCAAUAUAGGUACCCGACUACUCCUUUAAUUUAGUAAUACGGUUCAUUCUUCGUCUACCAUUAAUUUGUGCAUGAAAAAAUUUUGUAUUUCAAUCCUCAUUUUUAAGCCAAAAGCACUUUGCCUGCUGUUUAAGUCUAGCUUCUUCCUGUUCAAGGAGAUGAUUCCAAUCUUCCUUCAAAGUGGCGUGAGAAACAGUACUAGGCCCAUUAUCCAAUAAUCUCUGUAUAGUCUUCUUUUUUUGUCAAAACUCUCUAUUUCUACUCCUACCCCACAAUGAAAGAGCAGAAACUAAAUCAUCACAUUUCAUCAAAAGGUUGCGUGGUAUAGAAUUAACCCAAGUUCCUUUAACAACCUCAGCCAGAUCCUCAUCACAUAACCAUACAUUAUCAAAUCGAAAUCUCCUUCUAUCUCCCCUAUUAUCCUUAGGAACUGUAUUAAUCACCAACGGUUUGUGAUCCGAUCUAGGAACAUGAACAACCGAGCAGACAACAUUAGUGAAUUUAUGAGCCCAAUCCUCAGUAGCAAGGGCUCUAUCGAGCUUCUCUCUGACCAGAUUAUUCGACUCCCAGCCCUUCUCCCAUGUGAAGAAAGAGCCAACAGUGGGUAUUUGAACAAGAUUACUAUCCUCAAGUGCCUGUCUAAAGAUAAUUUGGCAAAGUUGCUUCUCCUUCUUUUUCAUCUCUCGAACAUAAAUCAUUAAAGUCUCUCGAACAAAGCCACGGAAGAGAGUUUCUACGAGAUAAGGCUCCAAUAAGGUUCUAAGAUUGACGCCGUCGUUGCAAUUCCGGAAAUCCAUUAUAACCAGUAAACCUCCAUUGGACAUUACCUUGCAAAACAACCGAAUCAAUAAAAUUUGAAGAAAAGCCAAUCAUAGAAAUAGAUACAUGACUCUUUCACAUUAACAAAAGGCCUCCUCCCAAUCCUUAUCUAUUAACUGAGAAACAAUCAUCAAAAUGUAAAAAAUUACGAAAAAAUUUCAUACGAGAACUAAGAGCUUUUGUUUCCAUCAAAAAUAAAAUGUCCAACUUGUAACUAAUAACCAAAUCUUUCAAUGCAUUAACUGUCCGAGAACUGCCGAGUACUCGGCAGUUUCAAUACAGGACGAUCAUUGCUUUCGACUAUUCUGACUUUUGACAUGAUGAGCCGCUUCGAUAGUCAGUUUCAAUACAGGACGAUUAUUGCUUUCGACUAUUUUGACUUUUGACGGGAUGAGCCGCUUCGAUAAUCAAUUGACGCAGAUCGUCUUUCAUGAGAAAAGAAAAAAUAAAUUAAAUUUAAAAGAAAAAAAUGAGAGUAUUAAACCACAAAUAGAAAUUUGGCCAAAAAGCAACAAACUCGAGUAAAUAUUAAUAAUUUAUAACAUUUUUAAAAUUAUAAAAUCAAUUUAUAAGUUAAAUACCUUUGCAAUUGCAAUUAUGAAAAAAAUCAACUAUUUAAAGUAGUAAUAAUAACAAUGCUGUGCAGAAGCAGAAAAGAGAGAGAGAAAAUAAGAAUUUAAAAUCAGGAUAAAAAUGAUGUUACAAGCUAUUCUGGAAGCAUCGCUUCCUAUUUAUACCAGACAGACCCACAUGCACAGCACGUGCAUAUAGACAACUCAGUUCAGACAAAACGACACAGUUUAGAUGUUCAACACAAAAUAACAACCACAAGCAUUAAAACGACGUAGCUUUAACACCCCCUCCUCAAGUUGAAGCUGGGAGAGGCAAAAGAUUCAACUUGCGGGUUAAUGUGCCAUGGCGGGAGGCUGGUAAGGCCUUGGUGAAUAAGUCAGCCAGCUGUUCUUCAAUAGUGACAUGGUGAGGUAAUAUAAAUCCCCGUUGAAGUUGAUCUCUCACCAGGUGGCAGUCUAUCUCGAUAUGCUUCGUGCGCUCAUGGAAAGCCGGAUUGGCGGCAAUGUGUAUGGCAGCUUUGUUAUCGCAGUGCAGUGGAAUGGGCAAUUGGAUAUGAACCUGCAAGUCCUGCAAAAUAUAGCUAAUCCAGAGGAGUUCACACACAGUGUUAGCCAUUGCACGAUACUCAGCCUCAGCUGAGGACUUAGAAACAGUAGGCUGUUUCUUUGUUUUCCAAGAGACAAGGCAAGGGCCCAAGUAUAUGCAAUAUCCAGAUAGUGACUUUCUGGAAUAAGUGCAAGCUGCCCAAUCAGAGUCACAGUAGGCAUUUAGAGAUAAAUCAGUACUUACAGGAAAAUAAAGGUUCUGAUGUAAGGAGCCCUUAAGAUAGCGAAGCACAUGUAAAGCAGCCUCCCAAUGAGGCUUUUGGGGCAUGCUCAUAAAUUGGCUCAAGUGUUGCACAGCAUAACAUAUAUCAGGCGUUGUGAGAUUAACAUAAAGGAGCCUCCCAAGAAGUCUCCUAUAUAAAUCAAGUUUAUCAAAAGGCUCUCCUGAAUCAGGAGAUAAAUGCAAGCCUUGAGGUAAAGGACAAGAGGCAGGUUUAUAAUGAAACAUGCCUGCAUAUUGCAAUAUGUCUGAAAUAUACUUAGUUUGACUAAGUAAAGUUGUUUGAGAGGAUCUAGCAACCUCCAGGCCCAAAAAAUAUUUCAGGGGUCCCAAAUCUUUGAUAGUAAAUUUUGAAUGUAAAGCAAGCUUGCAUUCAGUAAUAGCAUCAAUAGAGUUUCCAAUUAAAAUAACAUCAUCAACAUAUAUAAGCAAUAUCAAAGUUAAAACACCAGUGUGCUGUGUAAAGAGACAAUGAUCAUGGGGGGACUGCACAAAGCCUAAGCCCUUUAGAAAAGUGGUAAAUUCAAUGUUCCAUUGUCUGGAGGCUUGUUUAAGCCCAUAUAAGGACCUUUUAAGCAAGCAAACUUGCCCUGGCUGGGCUUUGUGAUAACCUUGGGGAGGUGUCAUGUACACCUCUUUAUCAAGAUAACCAUGUAAAAAAGCAUUAUUUAUAUCCAAUUGAAAAAUAGGCCACUGUUUGGAAGUAGCAAGAGCAAUCAAAAUUCUUACAGUUGUAAGUUUGGCCACAGGUGAAAACCUAUCCUUAUAAUCCAACCCCUCAAUCUGGUUGUAGCCUUUGGCCACCAACCGGGCCUUAUAUCUCUCUAUAUCCCCAUUUGUCUUAAAUUUCACUUUAUAGACCCAUUUACAGCCUAUUGCUUUCUUACCCCUAGGUAAAUUAGUGAGCACCCAAGUGUUGUUAUUUUCCAAGGCCUGAAGCUCUUACUUCAUGGCUUCAACCCAAUGUGCAUCCUUAGAUGCUUGAGUGUAAGUACAAGGUUCAGAAACCUUGUUGACAUUGCAAAUGUAAGAUUGAUGUAAGGGAUGGAAGGUCAGGAAGGAUAUUUGCUGGGAAUUAACAUAGUCUUGCAUCCAGAUAGGGGCUUGUCUAUGCCUUUGUGUCCUUCUAACUGAAGGACAUUUCUGUAGGUCAUCACUGGUGUGACCAGAUGGACAGGAUUCAACAACAGGGCAAUCAUUCUCAAUCACAGGAAUAGGAAUCACAUAGUUUUCAAUCAGAUUGCUAUCUUGGAAGGGAAAGAUAUUUUCAUGGAAGAUAACAUCCCUACUAAUAAAGAAGGUUUUAUCACUGAUGUUAUAAAGCUUAUAGGCUUUGUGUGUGCUGGCAUAGCCUAUCAUCACAGCUUUAAUGGCUCUUUCUUGAAAUUUGUCCUUCUGAGUUCCCACAGAAGUAGCAAAACACAAGCAACCAAACUUUCUCAAGUGAGAAUAGUCAGGUGAGGUCCCAUAGAGCCUCUCAUAAGGUGUGGACCAACCAAAAUGCUCCAUAGGCAUUCUGUUAAUUAGGUAGGUUGCAGUUAAAAUGCAUUCUGACAAAAAAUGAAUAGGGACUUGUGAUUGUAUUUUCAAAGCUCUAGCAGUGUCAAGUAUGUGUCUGUGUUUCCUUUCUACAACUCCAUUCUGUUGUGGAGUGUAGGGGCAGGAUCUUUGGUGCUUAAUUCCCUUGCUCAUAAGCAGAGAGCUAUAAUUAUGGCUUAGAAAGUCUCUUCCAUUGUCACUUCUAAUGACUUUGAUGGUAGUAUUAAACUGAUUUUCUACCAUGUGUAUAAAGUAUCUAGUCAAGCUAAAAGCCUGACCUUUUAAGUGCAUCAUAAAGGUCCAUACAGCCCUACUAUAGUCAUCAACAAUGGUGAGGAAGAACUUAGCUCCAGUGAUAGAGCUGGUCUUAUAUGGCCCCCAUAUGUCAAUGUGAAUCAAUUCAAAAGGUUUUAAGGCUAAGGUGUGGCUUCUGGGAAAAGGUAAUCUGGCUUGUUUAGCUAAGGGGCAAACAGGACAUCAUCUCAUAGCCUCAUUAUUGAUGUUCAUGCCUUUAAUAUGUUUGAGCUUACCUACUGAUGCAUGCCCUAGUCUAUCAUGCAUGUCAUUCAUGGUCACUACAUGCUUAUGUGUCUGUUCAAGUUGCAUGGAAUGUUCUUUAUUCAAAUCCAUUUGGGAGAAAGUGCUUGUAACAGCCCGGGAACCGGUACCCCUCUGUAACGGCUCCGACCUGCUCGGCGCUAGGAUUCAGAUCGGCUUAAGGCCGCCGGAACCCGUAGCAAGCCUCUAAACAUCCUGAAACUCUAGGUAUAAUCCCAUACAUGAUCACCAUUUUCAUAAAACUUAAGCUUUGGUCUCAUAAAAACCUUUAAACUUGUUUUCCUUACCUCAGCUUGACCUAUGCAUGCAAACAUAGAACCUCAUACCAGAUGGGUCAUCAAGCUUGCUUUAAAACAUAUCCGCUUUGGGGUCAAGGGAUUGGAACCCUUUCUUCCCUCACGGGCCAUCCAAAACUCAUAACAUUUAAAACAUUUUCUCAAGAUCAUGCAUAACAAAAAGGGAUUUACCAAACUCUAGGCAAAGCACAAUUCUAUACAUCUCAUGCUACAUCACAUGGCAUAUCUAUACUUUUCUUAACUUGGCUCUAUCUCUUUAUAACAUUACUCUUUCUAUUCUUUCAUAUUCUUUAUAUACAUAAGGACCAUACAUCAAGUCCAUCUAUCAUGUCCAUAUAUCAUCAUGCUCAUGUCCACCACUAAACUAUGCAAGCAACAAACAUACAUAGCAUUACAUAACAUAUCAUCUCUUUAGCAACUUACAUUACAUAACUAUCACUAUCUCCAUAACAUAUACAAUAAGCAUCUCUCCUUAUACAUAACCAUCAACAAAACAAGCUAAGCUAUUACAACCAAACAUGGUAACCCAUGCUUGAACCUCUUCUAUCCCAUAGCUUACUCUGACUGAACUCUGGCUUGACAUACUCUGGCCCUGCAAAACUGGGGGUAAGGGAAUGGGGUGAGCUACAAGAGCCCAGUGAGUAGAAACAGAGAAAAACAUUUGCUUUAGUUCCUCCAUUUUUAGGUAUAUUAUUAUUCAUUUUAAUGUUCCACCCUUUUUAUGUAUUUUAUUAUAAAGACAUUUUAUUCAAUUAUUCUUCUUAUUCAUGCAUUCAUGAAAUGCGUCACAUCACAACUAUAGCACAACAAACAUCUCACCCCCGCUUGAGUUCAUGCUAGCAAAUCUCUUCCUCUUGCGGGUGAUUUUAGAGGGUUCACGUAACGUCCUUCCCCUCAGGGUUAGACAUGACCCCAACAUUCCCUCUGUCAAAACUUGGCCCCGAAGGAGCUCUCAUGGGGCUUUCCUACAUGUACUCGCCCGAUUGACAAAGACUCAUUGACAGACUUGCAGGCUAUUGAGGUCGCCUUGGUCCACCCAUCUCAUCAUAUACAUAGCACAUUAUGCAAUGCGUCACCUUCGUGAAACUAGUGCAAUCAUCCUAUAACAUAUGAACAUGGUGCAUGGGCAUGGUGAACUAGUGCAAACAUCCUAUUACAUAACAUGAUGUAUGAGUAUGCUUUAGGCAUUAAAUUCUUAAAAUAAAACAUUAAGUUAGUUCUACUCACCUGAAGCCUCUGCUCAACAAACUCAGGGUCAACUAGCACUGAAGCUAGACACCUCUCCUCAGGUCCAAUCCUACACAGAUGGACUCACAUGAGGUACUAAACACAUGCUAACAACUCAUAAGAANNNNNNNNNNNNNNNNNNNNNNNNNNNNNNNNNNNNNNNNNNNNNNNNNNNNNNNNNNNNNNNNNNNNNNNNNNNNNNNNNNNNNNNNNNNNNNNNNNNNNNNNNNNNNNNNNNNNNNNNNNNNNNNNNNNNNNNNNNNNNNNNNNNNNNNNNNNNNNNNNNNNNNNNNNNNNNNNNNNNNNNNNNNNNNNNNNNNNNNNNNNNNNNNNNNNNNNNNNNNNNNNNNNNNNNNNNNNNNNNNNNNNNNNNNNNNNNNNNNNNNNNNNNNNNNNNNNNNNNNNNNNNNNNNNNNNNNNNNNNNNNNNNNNNNNNNNNNNNNNNNNNNNNNNNNNNNNNNNNNNNNNNNNNNNNNNNNNNNNNNNNNNNNNNNNNNNNNNNNNNNNNNNNNNNNNNNNNNNNNNNNNNNNNNNNNNNNNNNNNNNNNNNNNNNNNNNNNNNNNNNNNNNNNNNNNNNNNNNNNNNNNNNNNNNNNNNNNNNNNNNNNNNNNNNNNNNNNNNNNNNNNNNNNNNNNNNNNNNNNNNNNNNNNNNNNNNNNNNNNNNNNNNNNNNNNNNNNNNNNNNNNNNNNNNNNNNNNNNNNNNNNNNNNNNNNNNNNNNNNNNNNNNNNNNNNNNNNNNNNNNNNNNNNNNNNNNNNNNNNNNNNNNNNNNNNNNNNNNNNNNNNNNNNNNNNNNNNNNNNNNNNNNNNNNNNNNNNNNNNNNNNNNNNNNNNNNNNNNNNNNNNNNNNNNNNNNNNNNNNNNNNNNNNNNNNNNNNNNNNNNNNNNNNNNNNNNNNNNNNNNNNNNNNNNNNNNNNNNNNNNNNNNNNNNNNNNNNNNNNNNNNNNNNNNNNNNNNNNNNNNNNNNNNNNNNNNNNNNNNNNNNNNNNNNNNNNNNNNNNNNNNNNNNNNNNNNNNNNNNNNNNNNNNNNNNNNNNNNNNNNNNNNNNNNNNNNNNNNNNNNNNNNNNNNNNNNNNNNNNNNNNNNNNNNNNNNNNNNNNNNNNNNNNNNNNNNNNNNNNNNNNNNNNNNNNNNNNNNNNNNNNNNNNNNNNNNNNNNNNNNNNNNNNNNNNNNNNNNNNNNNNNNNNNNNNNNNNNNNNNNNNNNNNNNNNNNNNNNNNNAAAACACUUAAAAACAUUUUAGAAAACCUUUCCUUUACCCUUGCUCUACCCCCCAAAGAGGAUCCGACACCCGAGAUUCCACCGGACGGUAGGAAUUCUGAUGUCUGAACGAGCGGGGUCUUACAUUCUUCCCCCCUUACAGAACAUUCGUCCCCGAAUGUUCAAACAAAAACACAAACAAACAAACAAAACCUCAAACUUGGGCUUGAACGCCACAAGCUUCUGCUGCGCUACUCUGAUCCUUCUCUUCUUCUUCCUUCACUGAUCUUACUCUUCUCUUCUGCUUUCUAUUCUACUCUUACUCUUCUCUGCUAUACUCUUACUCUCUGCAGGUACCAUCCCGUGAGGAAAAAGAGAAAUGGUUAUGGGUACCAGGCACCACCUCUGAACCAAACUCUACCUCCCUGACCGAUGGUAAACCUGAUACUAGCCUGAAACCUUUGAACACUCGCUCUAUCUAUGGCACCAGGGCUGGUUCCUAAACCUGCCUGCUGCCCUCUCAAACUCAACUAAAACUCUCUACUAACCAUUCCUAUACACUCUACGAGCCUGACAGCUGACAUCAACCUUCUAGGCAUCCUACACGGUCCUCUCUGAAGCCUACCUCAGACCCACUCUGCAUUUCGAUCCUGACCACCUUGCGCUGCAGACGCAAGUAUUACCAGCUCCACAAGUAGAAAACCAAUCCAUCCCCCGGCUGACAUCCAGACACUCAAGUCUAGGACCUCAUGCACGGGUGGAAGGCAUCUACCCUCAUCGGACACUGGCCUGAAUCUCAGCCACAGAUGGAUCCUACCCGGUCUACUAACCCAAAGAGAACACUCUACACCCAGAAGCUAUCAACUCAACCUCUCAAAGGCUCCUAGAGCAACAACAGAAAAGGGAAACACACUAGUGCACAAACACACACAUCAGAACAUGAACAAGUGAGCGUACCUGGCAUCACUGCGUUCGAUGUGUCUGCUCCCCUUUCUCGAUCACUGGCCUGAGCCACAACACCUGCAGCUCGCUGCUGGGACCACACCCUCCUGGGCGCAGUAGGACAAUCACGUGCGAAGUGCCCUUCCUGUCCGCACCUGAAGCAUGCCGUUGUCCCAACUCGACAAGGCCCUCUGUGCAACCUUCCGCACCUCAAACAUCUUGUAGGACCUCGGCCAGAACUCGAACCAUCUUCAUCAUCUAGCCUAAACCUCUUCCACAAUCUACCCUUUCUAGUCUUGCCCCAUUGCUUAGGGGCUCUGGCUCUUCCCCACUUUCUACCUCUCUUGGUAGCUGUACUCAGCAUGGAGGGAUCAACUUCUCCUGAACUUGAACUCUUAGAAGCCUUAGACUUUUCCAUACUUUCCUCAUCCAUGUUCACUUGCAAACUAACAUCCCUCCUCUGCACCAUAACUUCUUUGCAGACUUCUACAGACCUUUCAGGGUCUCUUGCUCUGUCAUCUCCACCUGACCUUGCAAGGGGAAAAGGCUCGCUUUCCCACUCAGAUGGAUCUGACUCCAUAGAGCUCCUAGCACCUUGCAUCUCAGCUUGUCUGAAACACAACAGGCACACAAGCACACAUAAGCAUCACAUCAUAUCAUGUGGUCCAUGACAAACACAUGAACGCACCACACAUAGCAUAGCAUCAUAUCAUAUGGUCCAUGUGAUAAACACAUGACCCCUCAAGCAACAUAUAUCAUGGAUGAACCUGUCACCUACAGCCUACAACAUAGCAGAACAUGCCAUGACCAACUGGGCCAAGGGCCACUCUUGGUCGCUCAGCUCAUCUCAUAUCAGUACAUAUCAUGCCAUCUCGCAGCUAAGGGACUAUCAACAUCCAUAAUACAACAUAAAUGCACAUGCAUCACACAUGGCAUUACACAUCAGCAUGCAAGACAUGACUCCUCAUCCUAUCCUAGUGGACAUGAUCUUACUCUUAAUCUCUCUUAAUGUGCUUGCCCUCCUAACAUCUAGCACAACCUCUUUCCGAUGUCUGAGCAUCUUCGCAUCAAAACACCGUACUCUCGAGGAACCUAUGCUCUGAUACCAACUGUAACAGCCCGGGAACCGGUACCCCUCUGUAACGGCUCCGACCUGCUCGGCGCUAGGAUUCAGAUCGGCUUAAGGCCGCCGGAACCCGUAGCAAGCCUCUAAACAUCCUGAAACUCUAGGUAUAAUCCCAUACAUGAUCACCAUUUUCAUAAAACUUAAGCUUUGGUCUCAUAAAAACCUUUAANNNNNNNNNNNNNNNNNNNNNNNNNNNNNNNNNNNNNNNNNNNNNNNNNNNNNNNNNNNNNNNNNNNNNNNNNNNNNNNNNNNNNNNNNNNNNNNNNNNNNNNNNNNNNNNNNNNNNNNNNNNNNNNNNNNNNNNNNNNNNNNNNNNNNNNNNNNNNNNNNNNNNNNNNNNNNNNNNNNNNNNNNNNNNNNNNNNNNNNNNNNNNNNNNNNNNNNNNNNNNNNNNNNNNNNNNNNNNNNNNNNNNNNNNNNNNNNNNNNNNNNNNNNNNNNNNNNNNNNNNNNNNNNNNNNNNNNNNNNNNNNNNNNNNNNNNNNNNNNNNNNNNNNNNNNNNNNNNNNNNNNNNNNNNNNNNNNNNNNNNNNNNNNNNNNNNNNNNNNNNNNNNNNNNNNNNNNNNNNNNNNNNNNNNNNNNNNNNNNNNNNNNNNNNNNNNNNNNNNNNNNNNNNNNNNNNNNNNNNNNNNNNNNNNNNNNNNNNNNNNNNNNNNNNNNNNNNNNNNNNNNNNNNNNNNNNNNNNNNNNNNNNNNNNNNNNNNNNNNNNNNNNNNNNNNNNNNNNNNNNNNNNNNNNNNNNNNNNNNNNNNNNNNNNNNNNNNNNNNNNNNNNNNNNNNNNNNNNNNNNNNNNNNNNNNNNNNNNNNNNNNNNNNNNNNNNNNNNNNNNNNNNNNNNNNNNNNNNNNNNNNNNNNNNNNNNNNNNNNNNNNNNNNNNNNNNNNNNNNNNNNNNNNNNNNNNNNNNNNNNNNNNNNNNNNNNNNNNNNNNNNNNNNNNNNNNNNNNNNNNNNNNNNNNNNNNNNNNNNNNNNNNNNNNNNNNNNNNNNNNNNNNNNNNNNNNNNNNNNNNNNNNNNNNNNNNNNNNNNNNNNNNNNNNNNNNNNNNNNNNNNNNNNNNNNNNNNNNNNNNNNNNNNNNNNNNNNNNNNNNNNNNNNNNNNNNNNNNNNNNNNNNNNNNNNNNNNNNNNNNNNNNNNNNNNNNNNNNNNNNNNNNNNNNNNNNNNNNNNNNNNNNNNNNNNNNNNNNNNNNNNNNNNNNNNNNNNNNNNNNNNNNNNNNNNNNNNNNNNNNNNNNNNNNNNNNNNNNNNNNNNNNNNNNNNNNNNNNNNNNNNNNNNNNNNNNNNNNNNNNNNNNNNNNNNNNNNNNNNNNNNNNNNNNNNNNNNNNNNNNNNNNNNNNNNNNNNNNNNNNNNNNNNNNNNNNNNNNNNNNNNNNNNNNNNNNNNNNNNNNNNNNNNNNNNNNNNNNNNNNNNNNNNNNNNNNNNNNNNNNNNNNNNNNNNNNNNNNNNNNNNNNNNNNNNNNNNNNNNNNNNNNNNNNNNNNNNNNNNNNNNNNNNNNNNNNNNNNNNNNNNNNNNNNNNNNNNNNNNNNNNNNNNNNNNNNNNNNNNNNNNNNNNNNNNNNNNNNNNNNNNNNNNNNNNNNNNNNNNNNNNNNNNNNNNNNNNNNNNNNNNNNNNNNNNNNNNNNNNNNNNNNNNNNNNNNNNNNNNNNNNNNNNNNNNNNNNNNNNNNNNNNNNNNNNNNNNNNNNNNNNNNNNNNNNNNNNNNNNNNNNNNNNNNNNNNNNNNNNNNNNNNNNNNNNNNNNNNNNNNNNNNNNNNNNNNNNNNNNNNNNNNNNNNNNNNNNNNNNNNNNNNNNNNNNNNNNNNNNNNNNNNNNNNNNNNNNNNNNNNNNNNNNNNNNNNNNNNNNNNNNNNNNNNNNNNNNNNNNNNNNNNNNNNNNNNNNNNNNNNNNNNNNNNNNNNNNNNNNNNNNNNNNNNNNNNNNNNNNNNNNNNNNNNNNNNNNNNNNNNNNNNNNNNNNNNNNNNNNNNNNNNNNNNNNNNNNNNNNNNNNNNNNNNNNNNNNNNNNNNNNNNNNNNNNNNNNNNNNNNNNNNNNNNNNNNNNNNNNNNNNNNNNNNNNNNNNNNNNNNNNNNNNNNNNNNNNNNNNNNNNNNNNNNNNNNNNNNNNNNNNNNNNNNNNNNNNNNNNNNNNNNNNNNNNNNNNNNNNNNNNNNNNNNNNNNNNNNNNNNNNNNNNNNNNNNNNNNNNNNNNNNNNNNNNNNNNNNNNNNNNNNNNNNNNNNNNNNNNNNNNNNNNNNNNNNNNNNNNNNNNNNNNNNNNNNNNNNNNNNNNNNNNNNNNNNNNNNNNNNNNNNNNNNNNNNNNNNNNNNNNNNNNNNNNNNNNNNNNNNNNNNNNNNNNNNNNNNNNNNNNNNNNNNNNNNNNNNNNNNNNNNNNNNNNNNNNNNNNNNNNNNNNNNNNNNNNNNNNNNNNNNNNNNNNNNNNNNNNNNNNNNNNNNNNNNNNNNNNNNNNNNNNNNNNNNNNNNNNNNNNNNNNNNNNNNNNNNNNNNNNNNNNNNNNNNNNNNNNNNNNNNNNNNNNNNNNNNNNNNNNNNNNNNNNNNNNNNNNNNNNNNNNNNNNNNNNNNNNNNNNNNNNUGGCAAACGCCUCCUUGGUCUUUCUCUUCAAAAACUCAACUCUUUUCUAUUUAAAACCAUAAAACACUUAAAAACAUUUUAGAAAACCUUUCCUUUACCCUUGCUCUACCCCCCAAAGAGGAUCCGACACCCGAGAUUCCACCGGACGGUAGGAAUUCUGAUGUCUGAACGAGCGGGGUCUUACAGUGCUAUUUACAAAGCUGUGAAGAUCAGCAUUAGAGUUCAUGAUUUCAAACAAACAAUUCCUUACAUCAGAAUGAGAAAAACUCAUUUGGUUCAGCCUGAAGAGGCCUCUUUGUUUCUUGCCUAUGGCCACCACCUUCUUAUUCAGUGGGUCCUGUAUAAGGCAAUAAUCCUUCCACAUUACUAUACAGUAGCCAUGACUAUUCAUUAAUUGACCAACAGAAAUCAAGUUAUAUUGAAAGUGUGGAAUGUAAAGAACAUCAUCUAAAAUCAAUUUGCCAAAGAGAUUUAGCUUUUCAGAUUGAGUAACCUGAGUUGUUUUCCCAUCUGGAAAGCACACACAUAUGUGCUUGUGUAGUGGAUGUAAAGCGGUGAACAGAUUGCUGUCUGAACACAUGUGAUUUGUGGCUCCAGUGUCUAGGAUCCAAUUAGAGUCAGUUUGCAUUUGUGCAUUGCAAGUGUUAUAGACAGUAGACUUACCUGCAAAGUCCAUGAAAUGUGCCUCAGAUCCAUGAGAUGUGCUUGGAGCAAGAGUUCCUUUCCCUUUUACAAGCUGGGAGACUUCUUGUUUUAAAGAGCUCAGCAUGGAUGUCAAUUCAUGUAUUUUACUUGAUGUGUCUAAAUAUUCCAAAGGAUUAUCCUCUUCUAACUUGUUUCCCUCAAUAGCAGCCAUAAUUUCGGUGCUUCUAUUUCCUUUGAAAGAUUGGGUUCCUGCCUUGUUAUUACCCUUGAACCAAUCAGGAUACCCAAUCAGCUUAAAACACCCUUCUCGAGUGUGGCCAUCCAUGUUGCAGAAAGUGCAGUGGCCCUUCUUGACCUUAGACCUUUUUGGUCUGGACAGAUUCUGAGCUUGAGCCUUAUUUAAUAAGGCAAGAGAUUCUGAGUUGUCAUUCAUUGCCCCCAGAAUCUCCUUUUGAGACUCAAAUUUUACAACCAUUGAAUACGCCUUGUUUACUGUUGGUAAAGGGUCCAUCCCCAAUACCUGAUCUCUCACAGACCCAAAGGCCUCAUUCAAGCCCAUUAGGAAUUGCAUGAGCCUAUUCCUGUUUGUUAUUUCAGCUAUGUCCCUAGAGGCACCACAGGUGCAUGUUGGAAGAGGUUCGACUGACCCAAGCUCAUCCCACAGCCUCUUCAGCUUAGUGAAGUAGACAGAUACAGACCGAUUUUCUUGGGAGAUGAGAGAUAUUUUCCUGUGCAACUCAUAGAUCAUAGGACCAUUGCACUCUCCAAAUCUCUCGCAUAUCUCUUGCCAGAGAUCUCUGGCAGAGGCGGUAUAUAUGAAACCAUCGACUAACUCCUUAGAGAUGGAGUUGAGAAUCCAAGAUGUGACCAUGAAGUCACAUCUUUUCCACUGUUCAUAACCUUCACUGUCUUUACUAGGUGCCGAAGUAGUGCCUUCGACAAAACCUAAUUUCAUCUUGGCUCCUAAGGCUAUUCUAAUAGCCCUACUCCAAGAUCUGAAAUUAGUUCCUACAAGAGGUGCGAAAACUAGGCUCAUACCUGAAUGGUCAGAUGUUUGAAGACUCAGUGGGUCUCCCAUCCCCGCACUCGCGAUCGAUCCCCUUCUGUUCCUUACUACUGCUCGCCAUGACCAGAUCUUUCGAAAAAACCAAGGAUCUCUCAUAUGCAACCGGCGAUGCGCCGGUGUGAGUUAGGGUUCAGGCUCUCCAUAUACAGAAGCAAAAACGAGAGAGAAAACGAAAGCUCUUAUUAAAAUCAGGAUAAAAAUAACGUUACAAGCUGUUCUGAAAGCAUCACUUCCAUUAUUUAUACCAGAUAGACCCACAUAUACAGCACAUGCAUACAGACAACUCAAUUCAGACAAAACGAUACAGUUUAGACAAAACGAUACAUUUUAGAUGUUCAACACAAAAUUACAACCGCAAGCAACCACAAGCGCUUUAUUACAAAAAUAAUAAUAACAAUAACAAUGCUUUAUAUAAAAACCAAAAAUAUCCAGAAAUUAUCAAAUUAUAUUAUAUAUACGGCUGAGCAAGGCAAAAUUAUUUUGCCAGCGAGAUCGAGCAAUCAGGGCCGUUCCUGAUCUUUAUCUAUAUGAACAUCUUAUCUCUCUAGGCUACCCCUCCGCCCUAGAUCACUCGAUUCAGAAUAAAAAGUACAACCACAACUUAAAAUCCCACGUGAUCUAAAUAUAAAAAACCAUGGUCAUCUCUGAAGCUCCAUCAUGCGUGAAAAAUCCUCGAAGCAUACGAAUCCAUCCCCGUUCUUAUCAACCUCCGCUAUCAUACGCCGGCAAUCGUCUAACGUGCACUUCUCGUCCCCGAUAGCUUUGUAAACUCCAAGUAGCUCCUCUGCUGUUAUUUUCCCAUCCUGAUCCAUGUCGAAGAACUCGAAUGCCACUCUCAUCUCUUCGUCGGCGGCCGGCUCGCAGGCUGAACCAAUCCGGUUUAUUAGAGCCUCCACGCUUAUGCACCCAUCACCGUCGUGGUCCACCUCGCUCAACAUCGACUCCACCUCCUCUUGGCUCGGUGGCUGAGCUCCUAAUCGGCUCAACAGUGCCUCUAACUCGGUCCUCGAAACAAUCCCAUCAUUAUCCCUGUCUAUCAACUUAAAAGCCUGUACAAGCUCUGAAUAAAUAUCACAGGAGAUAUCGGACCAGUCACUCGAUAUUUCGGGAAGAACACUGGUAGGCGUUCCGACAUCAACCACACCGUCUCUUGAACCUCCCUUGUGGUUGGAAACGAAGGAGUCCGAGGAAGAAGACGACGUUGCACCAUAACUAUACGAUGAUGGAUCAGAUCUGCAGACAAUAGAUCGGUCCUUUUUGGAUCGAAAGAGACGUUUGGGAGUAAGAUUAAGGCGUUUGGGAUUGAUUAUCUUGAUGAACUGUUUCAUGGCGGAAAAUUUGAGCAACCCACAAACAGAUAAGAGAGGAUGAGGAGAAGAGGAAAGAAUUGAGGGGGUUUGUUGACGAGAAGAAGGGACGAAGGUGGUUCCCUUAAAUGGAGUGUAGGAGCAGUGAGCGCCAUGGCAACUUCUCGGAAGCUUCCUACGAAACAAGAAUUUUUCUUUUUCUAUCCUUUUUUCGGUGGAUGGGUGGUAUUUAUAUGUGUAAUUGUAAUUUGUAAUUGCUAUUUUGUGGGAAAGAUAAUAAUGUUUCGCGGCUAACUUUAGUGUAUGUGUUUGGUUCGUCCGAUUAUAAGUGUAUUAAUCGGACGGAUGUCGUUUUUUCUCGAGACCUGUGGGGUAACUUCGAAAUCGAAGCAAUCAGUCAAUCCUGAUCUGAAAAAUCUCGGCUUAAUUGGGUAUAUAAUUUAGUGAUGUAAAUGACUCUUAACUGUUUGCCAGCUACUUUGGAUUGAAUUCGACUUGUUCUUUUAAAAAUCAAUUUAAUUAAUGUGUAUAUAAUUAAUUUUUUCUAUAUAUUUCUAGAAAAUAUAAAACAAUUAUCUUAUAAUUUUAUCGAUAUUUUAUUUUAAAAUAUUGAAAUCAAUUUUUUAAUCUAAAAUAUACAAUUUAAUGAUAGUUUUUAAACAAAUGUAAAAAUUAUAUUGUGAAAUAUUACUUUGAAAUAAAUUAAAUAAUAAAUUUUAAAAUUAAGAUAAGUUAAAUUAUAUAUUAUUUUUUUAUAAUUUUUAUUUUUAAUUAAUAAUUAUAUUUUAUUUACUUCGUUAUUAUUUUUUAUUGAUGUUUAAAAAUUACUACCAUUUAUUAAAAGCCUGAUACUAUAAAAUAUUAUUUUGAUAUAAUUCUAAAUUAUAAAUUUUAAAUAAAGAAUAAAUAAAAUCACGUAAUGUGUUUAACAAGAUUUAAAAGGUAGAUAUAACUAGGAGUGAGCAGUAUUUGGUUUAAAUCAAAAAAAUCGAUUGAAUCGAAUUGAAUUGAAAAUUUAAUUCGAUUUUUUAUAUAUUUCGGUUCGGUUAGAUUUUUAAUUUCAAAAAUUUCAAUUAUUUCGAUUCGGUUCGAUUUUGAUCAGAAAAAAAUAAAAAAAAUUGAAUCGAACCAAUUAGUGAUAAUAAUAUGUUUUUUCAAUAAUAUAGGGAAAUUAAAUUAUAUUAAGAUUAAAAUAUUUUAAUUAAAUUUUAAAAUACUAAAAAUAAAGUGUAAAAAAUAAAAAAAUUAUUAAAAAUUGAAAUCGAUCAAACCGAAUCAGACCAGUUCGAUUUGAUUUGAUUUUUUAUCAAAAUCAAUUCGGUUCGAUUUUUAUAAACACUAAAAUUUUAAUUUUUGAUUUAUUCGAUUCGAUUUAAUUUAAAAUCGAACCGACCGAAUGAUCACCCCGUAGAUAUAACAAUACAAGGGCGAGUCCAAUCUAAUUGACUCUAAGCAAAUUAGUGUUAUCACAGUUCAAUCCAUACUCAAAGCAAGAACAUCUAAUUCAGAAUUUAGAAAAUUUAAUUUGAAACUCACAAUCGACUAAAAUGCUAGACUGAUCUAAUACAUUUGAAUUAGUAAUUUAUAAUUUGAGAAAUCAUGUAAGAAAACAGAAAAAAAAGUUAUCGAUAAAACAAAAACAACAACCAAAUUCGAUAUCACAAUAACAUCAUAAAUGAAAAUAAUAGGAGGCUCAAUUAUAGGCUUCAUUCAACUAUUUUUAAAAAGAAAAAUCUCAAAUGAAUUAAAGCGUUUCCAACAUAAUAAAUAGACACAAAUGGAAAAAGUGUAACAAAUUUCAGCUAUUGUAAAAAAUUCACCCAACGCAGCAGUAUAAUUUCGAGGUGCAAAUGCUACAAAACUGUAAGUCCUUUUGACAACUAGCAAUAGAGCCAUGAGCCCUCGUCAACUCUCAAAUCCUAAAAAAUAAACCCUCAACACCGAAAGCCAUGAAUUUGAAAAAGAAAGAAAAGAAAAGAAAAGAAAAUCAAUCUAUCAAAAUUUCAAAAUAAAAUAAUUUAUUUCUACAUCUAUGAAAAUUUAUCAAAAAUUUGAUUGAGUCUGUCAGGCCACCGUGCGACCACCCCCAGCCACGUGUGGCUGAGAACGAUCCUCUACAACUCACGGACCCCUAAGGAUCCUCAGACGUUAAUCACGCUCUGAUCGUACGGCCAUGCUUCAUCUUCCAGACUGUGGUACCUGUCUCCUUAGUGCUAAAGGACACAGAGGUACGAUCCUAUAGAACAGAUCCUGUUCAAGUAAGGUCGUGCACCGGCUUCCUUACCUCAGCAAUUAGAUGGGCUGCUUCAUUGUUUCAACUUUUCGAUGUGGGAUUGUAACUCGCUUCCUUCAGGGCUUAAAUCGUCUUUUCGACACGUAAAGGCGAUUGUGGCACGCGUCUCUCACAUGACAAAAGCCGGCGAUAUCACUAUUUGUUAAAUAAUUCAAUUAUCAAGCUUCCAAAAAUAAAAUAGCAGCACAGACUCCCAGUCCCGAGAAAGCAAGCAAGCUGGUUCAGGAGAUUAUAAUUAUUAUAUUACAUAAAUAAUUAUAGACAAUUUUUAUACUAUCAUUAUUUUUUAUUUAACUAUCUUUUCUUGAUAACUUUAAUUAUAAAAAUAAUGAAUCAUUUUUAUCAUUCUUAGUCACAAGUGUGUUACAAUAUUUAUAAUAUAUUUAAUAAUUUAUUUUAUAUAUAUAACCUAUAAUUAAAUAAUAUAUAAUAAAAAAUAAAAAUAUAUAUUAAAUAAUAUAUUAAUAUUAUUUUCAUGGUUAAUUUCAUAUGCAUAUCAUUUAUAUAGAUGCAUAUUAUAUAUUAUGUAUAUUUUUUAUAUUAAUAACUAACUUUAAAAUUUAAAUGAUAGUUUAAGAAUGAUUUGUUUUGAAAAAAAUAUAUAAAUUUUAUUUUAAGAGCUGAAAAUUGAGUAUCAAAAUUGAAAUUAUACUAAAUUGAAUCAGAAUAAAAAAAUAAAAAAACCUAAAUUAGAAAAAAAAAAAUCAAACCAACUACAAUUCAACCCUAAAAUUCAUGACUCAGCCCAACUCAAAUCAUUCGGUUCAGCCAAAUCCAGUCAUAGAACAUGAAGCAUGCUUAAGACUAGCACAGGAAACAAUAUAUUGCUAGGAGACGGAUCACCAUCACGAAUCAAAGACAACAACAAUCAGCAUCAUCACCAAUCUAAUUGUUUUUUUAUUUUAUUUUUUUAAAAAAACAUCCAAGUAUGUUUUCUUUUGUACCUUUUACAUGCAUCCAUUGAUCUUUUUCGUUUUCAUCCUACUAAUUUAAUCUUAUGUAAUGCAUUUUAGGAUUCCACUUGAUCCAGUUCUCUGGUUUAUCAGAACCAUGUUAUACAUUGGAUAAUUCUGAUAUAGGAGUAUUAUUUAUUUAUUUAUUUAUUUUUCUGAACGGUGGGAAUUCAUUGGAUAAAAGCCUCACUAGGCCAAAGUGCAGAUACAAAAGCAAAUUGACUCAAGGGAUUCACCCCAAAAGAGUCAUCAGCGUAUUCAUUACAAAGGUUUAUUUCCCACGAGGCCUUGAGCUUCCCUAUGCUUCUUUAGAGGGAAACUACCAAAACCUUUCAAAAAAUUGCUGGAAGCUUUCCGAGAUGCUGAAGAAAAUUAGAAACUUUAUCAAGGAUUUGAUGGUUGUUGGCUCUCCUUCGGCUGUUGUGUACUGCUUUUGUAUGUUUCUAUUUUUUGGCAGCAGUGGGUAGGUUGGUCUCUUUCUGUCAUCCUUUUCCUCUGUUAGGGAUGUGCUCUGUCAUCCUUUUCCUCUGUUAGGGAUGUGCUUACUAGAACUCCCUCUUGUCAAUCUUGAACAGUAACUGUUUCCUUAGACAUGUUCGUCACAGUGACAUUAUUGUCAUCAUCAUCAGAUUCAGAUGCUGAGCUUGCAUCAAUAUCCCUCUCCGGACAGUCCAGCUGAACACAUUCAGGAACUUCUUUAUUGUAGUUCAAGUCUUGGGUCCUGUUUGAGAGUGCUAGAUUUUCUUUCUUUACAACAUUCAACACAAACCCAUUGCGGAUCCUUUCAGGCUGCAGAACGUCACCUUCAGUGACUGUAAUACUAGAACUAUUCCCAGAUGAUCUACUGCUAAAAUCCACCGGUUCAAAUUCGCUUUCCGAAUUUCUUUCUGGUGUUGUCAGCCUAGACAUCUGAUUAUAAGCUUCCGUGAUUCCCAUCUGAGCCACUGGAGAGUUUGGAUGCGUCAUGAAGCCUUUGGUCAGUUCAGCAUCAACAUCCAGAUUUCGGACAAAGUCGAUAAAUUGAUUCGCAGAGCUACUUCUCAUCAAUGGCCCACCAGAUCUCGUCCAAGAACUUAAAUCUACAGUAUCAGGUUCACUAUCGCUUCCGUCAUGAAUGUUACGAUGUGUCCGCACAUUUCUACCAGAAGGAACUCCCCAUCCAGAUACACCAACACCUUGAUGGAAAGUUGAAGCAAAAUCAGCAGGGUCUUCUUCAAGCGAACCUGUUGAGUUCUCUCGAGCAAUGCAGUUCCAAGAUGGAAUUCUUUUAGAAGCACUGAAUUUGACAGUGCUGGCUGCGCCAUGAGAAGCAGCAGCAGCCCUCUCAGCACUCCUUUUGAGUCUACGCAUGUGGUUGAGAAUCACAACACAUUCAUCAAGACAAAGCUCAAUGCCACAGUUAGCUUUUAUGGCUGAAAGUUUCUCCCACGUACACCUUCUCCCUUGGUUGAUUGCCUUUUGAAGCUCCAGAGAAGUUGGAUUUUGUAUAAUUUUUGAUAUCUGCAUUCCAGAAAAAUGUCAUUUAAUUCUCAUGUGAAGUAUUCAGAAACAUUGCAAAUUAUUAACAGACAAUAUAAAGAGAAACAUAACAAAAAGAGAAGGAACCGAGUAAGAAAAGUGAACUGUCAGAACUUUUUAUUUUAGCAAGUUCUACACAAUUCCAAACCAAAAAGGAAAAAGAAAAAAAAAGGGAAGCCAUUUCUACAUUCAUCUCAGGGGCUUACCAAAUUCUUUGAACUAAUUAAACCCGUGAUUCAAAUUGCUGCCCAAUUAGCGUAAAUUUUUUAUUUAGCAUAUACCUGAGCAAGUGUAGCAGGCAUUACAACAGUGAUAUCACCCUCCCAAUCUUGAGCAAAAAGCUUAGCAACUCCUCCCAAUGGAAAACCAAGUUCCAGUGCCUGAUUGAAUCUAUGUUUUACCUCCAUCUCGGUGAGAUGAGCAAGCUACGAAGUUAAAUACCAAAAUAUAUCAGUUUCACGACAUUAAGGCAUUAAAUGAGAAACAAACAGAAAUAUUACCUCCAACAAAAUAGUUACAAAGAAGAGGUCUUAAAGAUGUGAACUACAUUAGUAACAUUAAAAAUAAGGUCUCACACUAUGAGGUGAGUGCUGCAUGGAGAUUCUUGGUUGCCACUUAAAUAACAUGAGUUGUGCAGAAAAAAAACAUCUGCUCGUUUUGCCUCCAUAUCUCUUAGCACUAAGCCUUGCCACUUAUGUUUUUUCAUAUCAACAUAAAACAGCUCUUGAAAUCAUAAACAAGAUAACACAGAUGAAAAACCAAAGCCAUAGUGGUGAAAAAGAAGUAAAUAAAGGCUAAGUGGCAUGUCAGAAUUUACUAAACCAUGUUCUAAAUAAUUUAUAUAUGCAAAACACAUUUAAGCAACACUAAAAGUCUAGGCAAGGGAACUCAAAUGAUCCAUUCCAUAGAAAGAAACGAGAAAACUGAGAAAAUAGAGCCAGAAUAAACUUCAGAAGAUUUUCUGUACAGGCAUAAGCAGAUGUGCAAAUUAAGACUAUUAGGACAAGGAGAAAUCUAUGUUAAUUUCAAGCAUUGUAUACAUACCUUUGCAGCAAAAUUACCACCAUAAACUCUCACCAAUUCCUUCAUUCUCAAUAGUGGAACGAUGUGAGGAUUUGCCUGACUAACAAUAAAAUGAUUGACAUUGAACAGUUCCUUCAAUUGCAUCAUUGGUAAAUCAAUUUCCAAGCUACCAUCUCUCCACCGGCGUGCAGAUGUGCUUGAUCCUUCCUCUGGAUCUAGAUUAAAAGGUGGAUGAUAUGGAACAAUUUCCCCACUCCUGUCCUUAGCCAUCAGUUCCUGAGCUUCAAAAAGGCCAGGAAAGGCACAGGAAGCAGUGACUGCACUCCAUAUGACAACAUGAGGUGAAGUCAAGUAGUUAAGGCACCUAGGAGGCUCAUGCUUCCUUGGAGAGCAAACUGUGAUCCCAAGAAUUCGACCUGUCAUGUCAUAAGCUUCUUGAAAUGUAAGAUUACUGGUGAGAUUCCUUAACAUCCAUUGCAAGUACCGGAUAUCAUGCACAGCUCCUUGUGUCCUAACCCUCUUCACAACAGUAAGAAGCCCACCCAUCUGAUCAAAAAACUGCAAUGAGUGCAAAGAAUCCUCAAAAAAGCUUUGUAGCUCAGGCCAUGAUCUAGUGGCAACAACAGAACACAUGAUGGAUCCAACACUAGAACCAGCAAUUACUCUUGGUAAAAGCUUAUGCUCCACCAGUGCUUUAACCACACCCACAUGAAAUGCUCCAAGUGAAGCACCACCACUCAAAAGCAAAGCAGUUCUCCCGAAUGCAUGUCUUGUCUCAUGCAUGAAAGAAAGCUUCUCUUCCAAUAUAACAUCCUGCGAAUCUGAAUCACAAACCAUUCUCAACUGAGUUGAGACCUCAUCAAUAUACUCCUUUAUGAGCUUGGGCACUUGAAGCCUCUCCUUAUGAAGCUCUGGGUUACACAUAUUGCCAAGAUUUCUAAUAAGAUCUGCUCGCAUGCAAAAGAUGAUGUCUCUAAGAGAUCCCUCUUGUCGACGGUGUCUUAGCUCCUGAAGCUUAUUUCUCACUAGUUCUUCAUCAUAAAGGUCUGACUCAUUCAUCUUUGGUGUCUCUUUGUCAAGCAUCUUUGCAGCAUGUGCCCACUCUUCAUAUGUCAAUGCAGUUCUCAUCAUAUUCCUCCAAAAUUUCCUCCGGUAAGCCAUCUCAGCUCUCAACUUCACAUUGGUGUAUCGUUUCAAAAGAAAAGCAAUUACAGUCACCAUGGCCAGUAUUCCUUGAGGAUUCCGAGGAUGCAGCCAUGAAAGUGAGGAUGCAGAAGCAUCUCUACAUCUAUAAAAGUACUUCAAUAACACAUGAUAGAUUUUACGCCUCAAAUGUGAUAUUGACUUGCAGAAUAAGACUCUGAAAGCAAUCGUCCUACCAAUGAUCGUUGAGGGUCCAAUUGUAAAGGGAUCAACAUAGGCCUCAGUACUUAUAUCCAUAUCUUGGCUAAAGAAAGACUAGCUCGUCGAAUUCCUGUAACUCAACAACAAGAUUUGUUCAUAGGAACAAAUCUUAUGAAAGAAUAAAAGAAUAAAGAGUUCAGAAUUAAAUUAAACUUAACAAUUUUAUAAGGAUGCACAAAGCAAGACAGCUGAAUAAAUUUGUUCCUAAAAUUGUACAUCUCGCAAUCAAUUAAUCAAGAAAAUAAUAGCACUACUGGACUCAAAAAUUCUAUUGCGUGCUCUAGGAGAAAAGAAGCUUCUGUUGGAGAAAGUGAAUAGAUUACGAAUAAAAAUUGUAAAUUUAUAGUAGAGAGAGAUGCGUAACAGUAACCAAAUCCAACCUCUUGAUCAGGCACAGGAGUCUAAAUUCAGCAAGAAAGCACACCCAACAAUAAUUAAACCUUCAAAUCUUGAAUUCCCUAGUGCCACCAUGCAAAGAAGCCAAAUGGGUCAUCAACUUGCAACGAUCUCCCCGGAUUCUGCCAACCAAACCCUUAAAUGUGAGAGGAAAAAUAGCCCUCAAACGCAAAACCACGAAUAAUUACUAAAAUGUCAGAUGGGGGUUUCAUAUCACCAACAGAAAAUUUUACAACAUCAAAGAAAAGAAGGAAAGAAACAACUAACCCAGAGAAUUGAAGAAAAAGAAGAAGAACCCAGAAAGCCAGAGGUGAUAUUCCCGGAAAAAGAAGCAAAAACUCGUAAAUAUAUCAAGAGAAUGGAAUUAAAAAGAAGAAGGGAUACAUUGGGAUACGUGAAGCAGAUAAAGAAAGCGAUAUGGUGACGCAAAUUUGAAUAGGCAGACAUCUUGGAUUAUGGAGUUACGUGCAAAGUCUCUGUUUUUGCUUGUUCGUCUAGUCGGUGUUGUCGCAGCUUUGCUUUACUUGCGCCUUCCGGACGCCAUUCAACUCCAAACGCGACAAUGACACGAAACAAGAUUAAGAUAUACUGAUCAAGGAAGAAACAGAAAAUGAUUGUGAAGGGAGAGAAAGGGAGGGAAAAGAAAAAUCUUAUUUCCAAUAUUAGAAUUUAGUCCAUUAAUAUUACUUUAAAAAAAUAAUUAAAUUUACAAUGUACUUAAUUUUUUUUAAUUUAGCUAUUAUAUAUAAUUUAUAUUAAUUAAAUAUUUUAUUUUUAUUAUUAUUAAUUUUUUUUAAAAUAAUAAUCAAAAAUUAAAAAUUAAAAAAAUAAAAUUUAAAAUUUCUUAAAUUUAUUUAAAUAUAUUUAUCAUAAAAUUAAGUACGUGUUAUUAUUAUUAUUAUUAUUAAAAGUAAAAAAUAAAAGUUUAAAUCUCUAAUUUACAUGAAUAGAUUUUAUUCUUUUGUGUUUCUAAAUUGAAAAUGUUUUGUACAAAUUUAAUUUUUUUUAAUAAGAAUAUUAAUUUACUUAUCUGAUAAAGUUCAACAAAGUUUCUCAAAAUCAAAAAAUAAUGUAUUUUUAAUUAAUAUAAAAUUAAUUGAGUAAAUAAGAAAUUAUUUUAUAAAAAGAAUUUAAAAUGUUUUUCUUCAAAAAAUAGUGUAAACCCUCAAUUUAAACUUGUACUAGAAGCAAUAACGUGUUAAAAAUCAGUUGAAAAAUAGAAUAGUAGACAAAUUCAUUAGGUAUGAGCUGUCACACACACAAGUUUUGCUGUUGAGAAUACUGAGUUCUGAAAACAUAUGUAACACCAAUAAUGAGUAAUUUAUGAUUUGUGGCUUCAACAGUAGUUAUCAGGAUCUAUGCAGCAACGGGGAAGAAAAUUAAAAAUACAAUUAAAUAUAGAUCGAUUUAUCCAAAAAUUUAAAAUUUGUGUGUAUUUAUAUUUUAAUUUUAAUUUAAUUGGUUUAAUUUUUAUAUUUUAAUAUAAUUUAAUCAAUUGAUGAUAGUUUAAUUUGUAUAUGUAUUAUUAUUAUUAUUAUUUUUAGUUCAUUAAUUGACAGAAAAUAUCUAAUAUUUAAAUAUUUUAUAAUAAAUAUAUUAUUUAAUUUAAAAUGACAGUAUAUAAAAAAUAAUUAAAAAUAAUAUAUUAAUUAUAAAAUUUUUAUAAUUAUUAAUACAAAACAACAUUUAUUACUGUUUAAAUAACAUCAGUUAAAUUAUUAUUCUUUCUAGAAUUCAAUAUAUUAUUUAAUUAUAGUUACAUAUAAAUUAAUAUUAUUUUAUUUAGUUUAUAUUUAAAAAAUAAUAAAAUAUUAUAUUUUAUCUAAAAUUACACUCAAAGGUAAAUAUUGAGAUAAUCCUUCCAAAAUUUAUACAUUUGACUUAAAACCCAAAAUAAUAUAAAUGUUAGACUCUUUUCAGUUUUUUAGUUAGUAAUUUAAUAAACAAUAAUAAUAAUAAUAAUACAGCUGCCAUCCUAGUUAGAUUAGGGUGAGCAUUCGGUCGGUUCGGUUCAAAAUCGAACCGAACCGAAUAAACCGAAAUUUUAGUGUUUAUAAAAAUCGAAUCGAACUGAUUUUGGUCAGAAACCGAAUCGAACCGAACCGGUCUGAUUCGGUUCGAUUCGGUUCGGUUUGAUCGGUUUCGAUUUUUAAUAAUUUUUUUAUUUUUUACAAUUUAUUUUUAAUAUUUUAAAAUUUAAUUAAAAUAUUUUAAUUUUAAUAUGAUUUAAUUUCUCUAUAUUAUUAAAAAAUAUAUAUUAUUAUCACUAAUCGGUUCGGUUCGGUUUUUUCGGUUUUUAUCUGAUCAAAACCAAACCGAACCGAAAUAACUGAAAUUUCUGAAAUUAAAAAUCGAACCGAACCGAAAUGUAUAAAAAACCGAACUAAAUUUUCAAAUCGAUUCGGUUCGGUCGGUUUUUUCGAUUUGAACCAAAUACUGCUCACCAUUAAGUUAGACUAUUAAAUUACCACAUCCACUACUAAAUUUAAUAAUUUAUAAAUUAACUAAAAUUUUAUUAAAAUGUAAAAAUUAGACCAAUUAAAUUAAAAUUAAAAUAUAAAUAUGUAUAAACAUUAAGUCUUUAGACCAAUUAGCUUAAAUAUGUAUAACUAUUAUUUUCUCCAUUUUUUUAAUUAAAAAUUCUCACUAAAUUGAUAAAGUGAGAAGUUGCUAUUUUAAUAUUAAGAAAAAUUAAAAAAUCAUUUAAUUUUGAAAAUUCUUGAAAAAUAAACAAUUUUAAUUCAAAUAUUUUGAUUUAGAGAUCUGGAAUCUUUAUAGAGAAAUAUAUUAGAUAUCACACACCAUUCCUAAAUAGAGUUAAUAAAAGUAACAUUAUGCUCAAAAUAAAAUAAUUUCAGUGGAUAAAAUAGAAACCAAACAAUUCUGUUUAUGAAAUAUUUAAUGUGUAUGAUAAAACAAUCCAACUAUAUUACCGUUACAACUUUCCAAUAUUGAAUUAGUCGCCAAUCCCAAUGUAAACUUUUUUUUCUCCAAGACAUGAAUUUAUUGAUAAAAAGGUACAAGUCCAAUUUAAAUCAUAAACGAACAAAGUCCAAGAAUAUAUAUAUAUACAUAUAUAUAUAUAAAGUUCACCCUGAAAUUUUAGAACUCAAAAAUUAAGAAUUAUUAACUCGGUUGAAGACCUAGAUAAAGAAACUUCAUUAACGCUGAUUCUGAUUUGAGAACGUCGGCCGAUCGAACAAUGGACCACUAGGGUCCAAAAAAAACUACAAAGAAGAAAAAGCAUUAAGUACAUAUGGAAGCACCAUUGAAGACCAUCAAUAGAAAACCUUCAAACUGCCGGCUGUUCUAAGAACAAAAUAACUCAACACUAGAACUUAGAUCUAACAAUGCUGGGGAAGAGUCGUCGUAGAGAAACGAGGAUAAAACCUUUGGUUCGACAUGACUACCACACCCACGGUCAAGAGAGGCAAUAUGCAAUCCAACCGAAGGUAGGAGAAGAGAAAAAAAUAGCAAGCUCCUAACAAAUAGAUUAAGACCAAAGCUGGGGAGAGCUGGCGGAAAGAAACGAGGAGACCAUCCUCCGUACUAGAGCGACAACCUCACCCAAAACCACGGGACGCAACAUGCAACUCGAAAGAAAAGAUGAGCCAUUGCCUCGCCCCCACUCGCUGGAAAAAGACCAUUGGGCACCAUGAGUUGAGAGCUGACAAACCUGAAAAGGAAAAAAAAAAAAAACGAAUAACAUAAGAGAAGAACACACAAGCAGCCAAACCAAGAACCCUCCACCUUAAACACCACUGUAAAAACGAACAAAACAAGGGAUAUUUACAUUCCACUUGAUUGUGGAGAGGCCGGCCUACAGCCGGGCAAGAGGGACUUCCCCACCCAGAGGGGCAAGGAUGCCUCCGCAAGGCACGAUCACCGGUGAAACCCAAAAAAGGUUUAAAUCCUAAAGAAAGGAGAGAUUCUCUCUUUACCAGCAGAUUCAAACAAGCCUUAAUAACUUUAUGUGUAGUUGAGUACAUUGGUGGAUACAAAUGUUUAUAUUUAACGUAGAAUCUUAAUGAAAAGUGGUUUUGAAGUCGUCAUACAAUGGAAAACUAAUCCUAAGAUAUCUCUCCUAUGUUGAGCAGUCAGUACGGAUAGUAGAUAUGCAGAUCAGAAAGCUGAGGAACAAAAAAAUUGCGAUGGUGAAAGUUUUAUGAAAUCGCCACAAUAUGGAAGAGUACACCUGGGAGACCCGAGAGUCGAUACUUAAGCAGUAUCCCCAUCUCUUUUAAAGCAAGUUGUUAAAUGGUUUUAUGUGUCUUCUUGAGAUGUAUGUUUUGCUUACUUUGUUGAACAUUCGAGGACGAAUGUUUUUAAGGGAGGAAGAAUGUAAUACCCGGCUAAACUACAGCAUCAGAAUUCCAACAUUCUGACGGAAUCUCCGUCGAAAUCCGGGAUCUCAAAACUGGAAUCUUUAGAAGGGUAAAAUAGGAUUUUCAUAAAAUGAAUUUGAAACUUUUCUUGGUGUGUUUUUUUUUUUAAAAAAAAAAAGAGUUUUGUAAAGGUUUAAAAGUUUGGUUGUCGAACCUUCAAGUUCGGCUGCCGAAGGUGGCUCCUCUAGCCACCUGUAAAAAGCCUUCAGCCUGAAAACGUGAGAGCUCUAUCUCCAUUUUCGGGCAGAGGUAAGUCCAUGCCAUUUCCCAAACGUUUUUACUGAAAUUAUUUCAAAUCUCUUAAACAAUUCAUGAGUUUUUACUUCGUUUUUGAAGAUUUGAGUUUGGAUUUCAAGUUGUAACCUUUGGAGACCUCUGGAAAUCGAUUUCCCUCUUCUUCAAGUCUUGGUUGUUAUGCUUUCCGUGUUCUUCAAGAGGUGAGUUCAAUCUUGCUUUUCUUAUAUUUGCUGAAGGUUUUAAACCAGUAUUACAAGUUGUUAGGGCAUGCAUGAUUGAUUAUUCUAAAAUUUUAAAGUUUGAGUUAAUUUUGAUGAUGGAUGAUUUUCUCUUGGGAUUUUGUUGAUGCAUGUUGAGUUUAGAACAAUUUUUGAGGUCCUUUAUGAGUGUUAAGUGUGUGUGGUAGUCUUUAGGCUGUUGCAUGUAAGUUUCAGUUUGUUUCUUGGCUGUGAGCAUAGGGCAGACUCGGGUUCUGCCUUACUGGAGAAUCCAGGUUCAGCCGCCAAAAUAUGAUUUGACUGUCGAACUUGUCUGUGAAAGCAGCCAUUUGGCUGUCUAAUCUGCCUCCGAAGGUUUUGACCUUUGGAUUUGUGAGGAAUUUUUUGCCGCCAAACCUGCCGCCGAAAGUCUCAUGUUCAGCAUUUUUCAGCUUGUUUCCUACGUGUAUUCUUGUAUGUUCUUAGAGGUUUUCUUGGGGGUAGUUUAAGAGUUGUAAAAGUUAUAUUUGGUCCCUCACUUAAAUCCAUCUAUAUAAGAUCGGACUUGGGAGAUUGUAGAGGCUUGCAGUGAGAUAACUGCUUCAGUACUAGGCGUGCGUCAGACAGAGGUGAGUAGAACUAAACUGAUCUAUUAUUUUAAAGAAAUCAAACUUUUUAAGCAUGCUCAUGCAUCACGAAUGCCAUGUAUAUACGAUUAGAUUGUUUUGCAUUAGAGUUCACGAAUAUGAUGCAUUAUUUAAAUUAUUAUUAUUGUGGAUGGACGUAGGAUGACCCACUAGCCCUCAAGUAUGUUAUGAUAUGUUAUGACAGAUAUGGAAAGACUAGGGCUGCCCAUUCUACGCCUCUAGCAUUAUGUAAGGGAAAGACUAGGGCUGCCCAUUCUACGCCCCUGACACUAUGGACAUGUUAUGUUAUGUUUAAGAGGAAGUCUUAAGGAGCACCCGUUGUGGGCCGGGAACUAUUGGAAUCUGUAGAAGGUUAUUGAUGACAAGUCCAUCUUGAUGUAAAUUAUUUGUGUUGUAACGCAUUCAUAAGAUCAUAUGUUUUAUUGAACUGUUUUUUUGUGUUAUGCUUACUAGGCUCUUAUAGUUUAUCCCAUUUCCCCUAACCCCAAGUUUGCAGGAUCAGAGUUAGCUCGGAAAGUUGACUGAGUUGCUAGUAUAGCCUGUUAUGAUAGUAUAGCUAUGGACAUGUAUUAAUUUGUGAAAUACAAUUGUGUUUCGCCCGGGUUCUUCCUUGUAAUCCCUACUUCAUGAUCCUUUUAUGUAAAAGUUUUUAAGUAUAUGUUAUAUUUGAAUCGAGCUUGAGGCAUGUUACGUUGACCAUACUCGAGCAUUUGAUAAGGGCUCUAGUCUGAGUUUUAUGUUCUCAGAUAUGAUGCAUGCACAGGUAGAGUCUUGGUUCAUAUAAUGAUUUUGUUUUUGUUAUUUGUGUAAUCAUGUAUGGGAUUAUAUCAGGUGUAACAUAAUGUAUAGUAGACUUGCUACGGGUUCCAACAGCGAUCUUAAAUCGAUCCGAACCUUAGCAUCGAUAACGAUCCGGUACCCGGGUCAUUACAACUGGAUUCAAUCUUAGUUAUAUUUAAAACACAAGAAGUAUUGGAGCAAGGCAACCAUGAAUUAAAAAUAUUAAGAGUAGUAGAUUUAGCAACCGACGAUGAAACCUUAAAAGGAAAAAAUUGAUUCAUCAAAAACAACAUGUCGAGAAAUAACCAAUUUUUUUAUAAAUGGGUGAAAACACUUAUAUCCUUUAUGUUUCUCGCUACCCAACAAAAACAUACAAAACAGACUUAGAAUCAAAUUUAUAGUUCCUACUCUCCAAAAUAUAAGGAAAGCAUUUUGAACCAAAAACCCAAAGAGAUGCAUAAUCAGGAUGUUUGCCAUGCAAUUUAAAAUAAGGCGUGUCAAAACAAAUAGAAGAAGAUGGCAAGCGAUUAUGGAGAUAAACAACCGUUGAAGAUGCCUUAACCCACAAAGACAAACAUGACUGUGAAACAACAUAGUCAUACCUAAUUCUCUUAUAAUAAGAUACCUACGUUCGACCAUACCAGUUUGUUCAUGUGUAUAUGGACAAAAAAUCUGAUGAACAAUACCUGUAGUAAGAAAAUGUGAUGAUAACCUAGAAUUAACAAAUUUACCUCCUCCAUCUAAAUGAAAUAUUCUAAUCCUUUUAUCACACUAUCUUGAAACAUGCUGCACAAAGGCAACACAGGCUAUAAAGAAAUCAAAUUUUUUCUUCAAGGUAUUAUCCAUGUGUAUUUAGAAAAAUCGUCCACCAAACAUGCAUAAUAUUUAAAUUUGCCAACAAAAAUUAUAGGAGCAAGUCCCUAUAAAUCACACAGUGAAUCUUAUCAAACGCGCUAGUACUAGAAUGUUCAGACAACGAAAAAGAAAUUUGCUAAGUUUUCGCAACUGACAACUAUCAGAAAUUCAUAGGGCGUGAAAGACCAAUAACAUCAAUAAGUUUUUUUAUUCUUCAAAUACUGAAUUGCAGAAGCUUGUGGAUGUCUUAAUCGCUGGUGCCAAAUUGCAGCUGUUCCAGACCGAAACCGAUAAGGAAAAUUCACUUAUGGAACAUUAGGCAAAACAAAAAGAUUAUUCUUCCUUCUUCCUGUUAUUAGUCGUUCUCCUGUUUUUCGAUCCUUCACAUGAUAAUAAUAUUAGAAUACUCACAAUUAAUAGGUAAUUGAUCUCGCUUCCCUCUUUAUUUCGGUAUCCACCAACAAAUUUUAGCAAUAUGACCCAUUUUCCCAUAGUAUUGAAAAAUUUCGUUGCAAUACUGCUCGCGUUCUACUAAUGUCAUGCGAUGCUCACCUGGUGGUGGUGGUCGGUGUUGCUAAGUAGUCAGAUUAGAAGACCCUCCUUGCCUCUGGUUGCGCGGUUGUUGAGCUUGAAAUCCACGACCCAAAGAAGAGAAGGUGUUGCUGUGAUUUGGAGUCUUUUGCUGCUGACCGAAAAAUGCUAGGUGAGAUGAUAACUGUGAGAGUGUCGUUUCUGCUUGAGUAGAAAACCAAUUUCGAUGUUGAUCGAAAUUUUGCAAUUGGGAAAUUAACUUUGUAUAAGUGGGCCUUGGAGGCUUCAGCAUAGUUGUAGUGAAUCUCUCAUAUUACGGCCCAAGGCUUGUGAGAAGAGAGAAAACCUUCUCUUUGUCGGAAACUAGUUUUUCAAACAAACUCUUAGAAACUCGUAUGUGAUCACCAACAAUCUUUGUAUCAUCUUUACGAAGAUACGUAAGCUGCUGCCUCAGAGUAAAUUUGCAUUCUUGAGAAUCCUAUGCAUAAGCAUCCUUCUGAGCUUCCCAAACUACAAGUGUUGUAUCAAUCCCAAUGACAAGUCCUAACGCCUCUUUAGAAAGAGUACCAAUAAUCCAUCCUCAUAGAAGAGGAUAAAACUUUUUCCGAGUAGUGAAUUCUUUUGUUAUCUGUGGUUCUGAAAUAGUUUCAGUUGGUAUUGUAAAUUUGGGUGGAGCAGGUGUUUCAUUGGUGAGAUGACCAACUAAAUCUUGACUCUCAGUUACGCCUAAAACUUGUUCUCUCCAGAGGGUAAUUUGUUUGAGUAUGUUCCAAGAUUACAAACAUUCAGAGACAGAGCUCAUGAUGAAGAAAUGCUCUAAUACCAAAACGAACCGGUAUGGUCGAACAUUUCUUCUCACAUUAGCUUUCAGCUUUCAUUAAUGUGAGAAGAAAUGCUCAUUCAGAGACAGAGCUCAUGAGUAUGGCUCAUAUUGAUGUAACUCGGGUGAAAAGAUGGAAUAUGAGUUAAUUCCCCCGGUAUUUAUUAGCCGAUUGUCCAUUAUUAUUUAGCCGCUUAAUAUAUAUGUUUUUUUUUUUGAAAUAGGGGGUUGGGGGAGUCGAACCUUAGACCUUUCAAGGUUACAGGAUGCACUUUCCACCAGGCUAAGCCUUGGAGUGCCGCUUAAUAUAUAUGUUAGCAUGUCUCAUUCAAUUUGAUGCGAUAUAGAAAAAAGCUAUCGAAAUAAUUAGAGUAUGUAUAUUCAUAAACCCUAAUUCAAUAGAUUUAACUCUUUUGGAAAACUUUAUAUUUUUACUACUUCAACAACUUUAAUCUAUUCGAACAACACUCUAACUCUAUUAACUUUUCAAUUAUCAAUCUCUAAUCUAUUGAUUUUUUAUGAAAUUGAACUCUUAUUCAAGUUUUUUUAUUUUAUAAACCCACCAUAUUUCAAUUCAUCAAAUGAGUAAAGUUGAAAAUUCAAUUUUUUAAGAGGGUGAGGAUAAUUAUUUAAAAAAAAAAAAGGUUUAUAAAUAAAUUAUACUUUCAAAUUUUUUUUAAUCCUUUGCGUGGUAGUUAAUUGUUAUUACUAUUUUAUUGCACAAUAUACAAUGUGAAGACACCUAGGUGAUUUGCUUGUGCACAUACAGUAACAGAUGGGCCAAUUCAUGCAUAUAAGCUGGCAAAAUCGUACUUCCCAAUUCUAGCUUCACCAUAUCCAUUGUACAUAUUAUAGAUUAUUUAAUUUACCACAUUUAUAAUAAAAUCAUUAUUAUCACGUAUGCAUUUUCUAUUUAUAUGCUAUGUGUACAAGAAAAUAAAUUAAAGUGCUAGCAAAGUAUGAGAUUUACCUUCCAAAUCUGCAGAAGGAAGAGCCCACAUCAACGCCAUGAAAAUUCCCCCUUCUCAUUGCACACAUCUUGCUUUCCAUCUAAAUCAAAUUCAAACAUAAUAUACUCAUUAAGAAAUGAAAUUUAAAAUUAAUUGAUUAUCUUUCUGUCCUGUCCAGUGACUGCAGCAAGUUCAUUGCAAUCUCACAAGUGGAAAUAUCAGAUGCAUCCACAAAUUAAAUGAGCACCAUCACUUCUAUGAUACAAAGAGAAAGUUUUCAGGCAAGAUAUUAAACUUAGGAAUCUAAUUCUUGAUAGCAGUAACUUUUUAGCAUUAAAGAUCUGUCUGUUAAUUGAAUAUUUGCUCUUUUUGUUUUUUUAGUGCAGAAAUAAUCAAGAACUUUGGCUUGGGGAUCUGGUCUUUAAGCUUUCAAAGAGCUUGAUCUUUGAUGAGGAAGUCUUCUGGAGGAUCUGACUUGAAGAGGAAACUGAAGAAGUCCAGAUCAGUCAAGGCUGGAAGGUCUUCCAUUAUUUUAUCUGAUGAUUCAGACAAGUCACCUGAUCUUUUGAAAGCAACGAGUUGUUCUGAAAGCAAGGUACCUUUCAUGAAAAAUUGCUAUCAAAUGCUCGACUCAAGCGUGCAUAAAGCCACGUGUUCUUCAGUUCUUAAGGAUUCCAAGUUUCCUGACCAUCUUGAGCUUCAAUCAGGGCGAAGUGAAUCUGAAGGAAUUUCAGCCAUGAAAGUGUGCACAUAUAGUUAUUGUUCACUUCAUGGCCAUCGUCCCUCUUCUUCACCUCCAUUAAAACGCUUUAUAGCAAUGAGGAGGCGUUUUCUGAAGACCCAGAGAAGCAUAAGAUUGGAAAUCCAAUCCUUUCACAGAGAAAAACGUUGUAGUAAUACAAAGAAAGGAAUGAAGAAGGCAAGCAAAAUGGAGUAUCUCACAGACACUGUAGUUGUAGAACCAGCACUUGAGAGCAGAGCAAUCACUUCUAUCAGAAAAGUGGUGCCACCAGAAGAUGACUUAAAUGGGGAAGGCACUCAUGGCAGAGAUGAUAAAGAAACCAGAAAUUCCAAAAGUGUUGAUAAGAAUAAGCUUCUGUAUCUGAAAGAGAAACAACAGCUCAGUGAGUUGAUGAGGGACAAAAGUAAAGAACAUUGUACAGACAAAAAGGAAGAGGGAACUGAUGCAAAUUAUUCUGUUUUUGUAUCUGAAUUGCACGAUGAAUCGCCAGAAGCCACUGAGGGAGAAUUUACUCCACAUGAAGAAUCUAAGUUCGGUUCUGCUGAUGAUCAGUCAGUCGCUGGAACAGCGAUUCUAGAUCAGGAGCACCUCACAAAGCAGCCUGACAACAACGCAGGAGAAUCCAACAGUAGUAAAGCGGAGCAGAGAUCAAUUCUGGACCCAAAAGAACCAUGCCUGCAUUCUGCCAACAGUGCCACUGUCGAGGGAAAUAAACCUAAACCACCGAGCUGGAGCAAUCUGAAAAAGCUUAUCCUUCUUAAGAGAUUCAUCAAGGCAUUGGAAAAGGUUAAAAAAUUAAAUCCACGGGAGCCACAAAUCUUGCUUCUGAAUCCUGAGGAGGCAGAAAAGAUUCAUCUGAAGCAUCAAGACAUAGAAGACAGGAAAAAUGCUGAUGACUGGAUGCUUGAUUAUGCACUUCAACAGGUUGUUGCUAAAUUAACUCCAGCUAGAAAAAGAAAAGUGCAGUUGCUUGUAGAAGCUUUUGAGACGGUGAUUACUAACAUUGAAAGUUCAUAGUGAAAUGCUCUAUGCAGCAUGCAGCUUCUAUUACUAUAGAUGCAAGCAUCAAGCCUCAAGUUAGUUUGCAAGGUAAGAAUAAUUAUGUAAGUUGACAUAAGUACAAGUGCAUGGCAUCCAAAAAUAGGCUAACUGUAUAAAAUGGCCUAUUGAAUUUAAAUAUUUUUCCUAUAGUGAAGAACACAGUGAACCUUUUGAUCUCAUUUGAUGCAACUCUAGUUGAGUACACUAGCUAUGCUGAUCCCAAUUGACUUAUCGGAGACAUGCCCACCAUUAAGCGACUCUUCAAUGGUUAAGCAAUAACCCUAAGUUAGGUCCAGAAUUACAUUAGAGAAGCCUAUUGGCCCAACCCAUACACCUAGGCCAUUAAAAGGAAGCUUCAGGCCCAAGGAACAGAUACCUAUAAACUAGGAUCUAGCCUAAAAUUCUGGCCCAAGGCCCACAUGCACAACCCAGCCCAAUAAAACCUAGCUUGCUAAGGGGUAAGUAGAUUAUGUUCCUCUCGCCGCAAGGCCACAACACCGACGAGGAGGACACCAAUGUUGUUGAUGAACAAAAAAAAAAGAUCUCCAGAAGAAAGCAUAAGUGACAACACAUAGAAAAACCCAUCUCAUAAAGGAGCACAAAAGGCAAAAGACAGAAGCAUCGUAUCCAGCUUCGUUCGGGUCGUGAAAGGAUGCAGAGAAGAGCUCACCUAAUGUUCUUGCCUUUAAAGAUCAACCAUCCAACACUGCGAGGUAUAAACUAAAGAUCCCCAAGAUACUCUGAAUGAAGCUAAAGAUAGAACCAUCCACCAACCAAGAAAAGAUAGAAAGCCCAUUGGAAUACAACAGAUGAAAAAUGUGUAAAACCAAAAGAGCAGUUGCUUCUAGGGAAUGCCUCUUCUCUACUGGCACCAUACGGGAACAAAUGCCUUAGGUCGGUGAAGCUUUCCCUGCGUGAGGAAGAAAAAUAUAAAGGAAGAUAAGAAAAUACAGAUCUACCUUUAUCCCUCUCCUUAACACUCAAAACCGUGGAUACAACAAAAAAAAACCCAGUUAUUUAUUCACAACUAGGGGGAGAACAAACCCAUGCUUUGGGUGGAACACAACAAACUUCGGAAUUUCACCUGUUUAAGUUAUUUUAGUUAUUUUAGUGUAUGUUUGGUCGAAUUUCAUUUCUUAAAAUUUUGAAUAAUUUAAUUGAAUUUCAUAUUUUAUGUGUUUGGUUUGAGUAGAAAUUAGAAUUUAAUUCUUGCUUGAAAUUUUCAUUAUAAUUAAAACCAAUUCCUUCAAAAUUUUUAUGAAAUUUAAAAUGAAUUCCGCAAAAUUUAUAUAACAAUAUUUUGUGGACAAAAAUAUCAUAUUAUCAUUUUCUUUUUUCUUAUUUGACGGAAAGUCUCUUUAAGCCCCUUGACAAUUAACGUAUUGUUCAUUUAAGUCCUCAUUGAUUAUGAUGAGUCUCAUGUAAGUCUCUCACUAGUCUUAGAAUAUUCAUGUUAUAUUUAUUUUAGAAAGAUUUAUAAUUUAGUCUCUGAAUAUUGUCAUUAUUAACAAGUCAGUCCCUGUAUUUUUAAAAACCUAUUAAAACGUCUUUAUCUUUUAUUUUCGUCAACGAAAUAGUCAUUCCGUCCUCUUUUCCGUUAAAAUUAGAUAAAGGAGGAGAGAGAAAAUUUUUAAAAUGCAAUUUUACUCUCAAAUAAAAUCUCUUAUUUAAUUUUUGGAUAUUGCUAUUAUUAACAAGUCAGUCCCUAUAUUUUCAAAAAUCUAUUGAAACGUUUUUAUCUUUUUUAUAUCUAUUAAAACGUCCUUAUCGUUUCUUUCUGUCAAUGAAAUAGUCUCUAUCUUUUCUCAUAUCUAUUAAAAUAUCUUUAUCAUUUCUUUCUGUCAACGAAAUAGUCCCUCCUCAUCGUUUCUUUCCGUCAACGAAAUCGUCCCUCCCUAUAUUUUCAGAAAUCUAUUAAAACGUUCUUAUCUUUUCUCAUAUCUAUUAAAACGUUCUUAUCGUUUCUUUUUGUCAACGAAAUAGUCCCUAUCUUUUCUCACAUCUAUUAAAAUGUUCUUAUCGUUUCUUUCCGUCAACGAAAUAGUCCCUCCUCCUCAAAAAAGAAGAAAAAGGAGAAGAAGGAGAAGAAAAAGAAGCAAAAGAAAGAGAAGAAGAAGCAGAAGAUGAAGCAGAAGCAGAAGUAGAAGAACGAGGAAGAAUUGAUGAAGAAAAAAAUGAGGAGGAGGAGGAGAAAAAAAGAGAGGGUAAUUUGGUAUUUUACUAUAUUUUUAACGGCAAAAAUAAAUGGAAUGACUGUUUCAUUGACGAAAAGAAAAGAUAAUGACGUUUUAAUAGGUUUAUAAAAAUAGAUGGACUGACUUGUUAAUAAUGGUAAUAUUCAGAGAUUAAAUUAUAAAUCUCCAUUUAUUUUACCUAUAAUCUUAUGGAGAAGAUCUAAAAAGUCAAAAUAUUCAAGCUUCAUGCAAAUCGAGGGAUUUUGAUUUUAGUUGUUGGUAUUAGAUCUAUCUCCAAGUUUAGAAAAAUGCAAAGUAGUAUGAAAUGACAACUUCUCAUUUUAAAACUUCUAAGGUAUUAUAAACAAAAGCUAAAGCCAUUUAAUUUAAAUGGCUGAGACAUCUUUUAGAUAUCGUCUAGAAUUAAGAAUUGAAUUUUUCUAACUCCUCUUUCCCAUAGUUGUUCCGUAAUAAACUUUGUAAAAUGCUUUGAGCAUUAUUAAAAAAAAUAUAUAUAUCAUAAAUAAAAGAAAAUAAAUCCGCUCAAAUUAGAAACUGAGCUUCUUCGGGUUAUCAUGAUUCUUGCCAAUUUUCAUUAGGUUAAAUGGGUCACAGAGAAGCAUAGGGCAUUAGGAGAAAGGAAAAUUCAAUUUUAAGGGCUUACAUAAAUAUAAAAAUAUCAAAACAAUCAAAAUGUUGCCCAUAGCUUAAAUAAAAAUAAAAAUUAUUAAAUUAGUCAAAUUAAAAUUUCUAAAAUUUUAAUUAAAAAAUUACGAUAUUUCAUAUUAGUAAACGGUUGAUAAUUCAAUAGUCAAUAUUUCAAAUAAUUGUUAUAUUUUAUUUAUUUUUAGUAUUUUUCUAAAUUUAACAAUGAAAUUAGCAAUAAAAACUGUGUUAGAAAAAUUUUCACCUCUAAUCUUUUAUUAUAUAUAUAUAUAAUGAAAAGAAAGAGAAAAUAAUAGAAUUACUAAAAAUAUUAUUAAUUCUUUAAGAUAUUUAUAUUUUUAAUUUUAGUAUUUAUUUAAAUUAGAAAUCCUUAAUAUUCAUAUUAACAUUCAAUUCAAAAUAAAAUUUUAUAAAAAUAAUUAAAAGAUUAUGAAAUUCAUUAAAAAUGUGAUUUCUAAAGAAAUGGUCAAUUUAUUUUAAAAAAUAAAUACAAAUUAUAAAUUUAUAUUUCUUUCUGAUAAUAUUCUAAAAAAUUAAUAAUGAAAACCCGCUGCGUUUUUAGUUAUAUUUUUCUAGUUUUUAUUUUGGCCUAUUUUAUGUGGCCUAUAAUUUAUAUCUGAGAGGAAAAUAAAAAAGCUAUUUAUAGUGCACAUUAUAUUUUUAAAUUACUAUAAUGAUAAUGAAGACUAAAUUUAAUUAAUUAUAAAAUUAAUUUAUUUUAAAAUUUAUUAUUUAAAUUCUUCUAAUUAAUUUUUUUCUAUUAUAAUUCAAUUAAAAUAAAAAAAAUGUUAAUUCCACCUUCUAAAGAUGAAAAUUAAAAUAAUAAUUUUAAUAUAUGAUAUAAUAUUAAAUAUUAAAAAAAGAAAUAAUAAAACCCUUUUUUCUUUUAAAUUAAUUUGUAUAAAAUUGAUUAAAAAUAAAAAUAAAUAAACGCUACUUUCACCUUAUAAAAAUGAAAAACUAAAAUAAUGAUUUUAAUAUGUGAUGCAGUGCUAAAUAUUUUUUUAAAAAAAAAAUAAAAGUCUUUUUUUUAUUUUUUAAAUUGAUUUGUAUAAAAAUUGAUUAAAAAUAAAAAAAAAUAAAACUUUUGAAUAUUUAAAUCUAUUUCAUUUAUUGAGAAUUAUAUCACAUUUAACAUGAAAAUAAAGUUUAAUUUUAUAAUUUAUAUAAUUUUAUAACAUAGAAUUCAUAAAGAUAUUAUCACAUAAUUCAACAUUAUCAUAAAAUUUUAGUAUGGUUAAAAUAGGAAAAAAAAACAAUAUAAACUAAUAUAAAAAUUAGUAUUUAAUAAAAUUUUCAUCUCAUACAAAAAAAAUUAGGCCAAGUAAAAUACUUAGAUCAUAAUCUAAUUUGCCAAAACAAUUAAUUAAUAAUAGUUUAAAUACCAAAAUCAGAGAGAAUGGUUUAAAUAAUAAUUUAAUAACUAAAUAUAUUUUUACACAUUUAUAUUAUUUCAUAUUAAUUUCAUUCUAAAUAAUAUAGUGUGAGAAUUUCUUAUGAUGGGAAAAUUUUGUUUCAAGAGAAAGAGUGAAAAAAAAUCCUUAAAAAAUCAAAAGUUUUAAAUUCAAAAGAAUCAAUCUAAUAAAAUUUUGGAAGUUAUAUUAAUAGUAAUCAGAAUAAUCAGAGUUUGAAGCUUCCGUUUAUUUUACGGAAAAUAAUUUAUUUUUUAUAAAAAAAUUUUAUUUGCAACAAUAAAUUAAUUAUAAAAUACUUAUGACCAUAAUUUUAUAAUAAUAUCAUGCAAUAAUUAUAUAUUGCUAUUAUAAAUUUAUAAUAAUAAAUUUUUAUAUUUUUUACAAUAAAAACUUUUAUUUUUAAUUUUAGCAAGAAAGUGUAUGGAUAUAUCAAGAAAUUUUUAAUUAUUUAUAUUUUCAUUUUUUAAAUAAAAUUAGAUAAUAUUUUUCAAAUUUUUUUUCAUUAUUUACAUAGUUAAAUUUUUUUUAGUUUUUUAAGAUUUGUAAUUGAAAAUUAGUACAUUAAGAUGUAUUAUAUUAUAUAUGAAAAAAUUAUAUAAAAUUAUAUAAAAAAAAUUAUAAGUGUAAAAGGAAGUACAAUUCACGUAAAUAAAAAGUAGGCCAUAGCGCAUCAGGCUUUUUUUAGCCAGAUUGAUUCAGUAUCGCAAGUUCUGAUUCAGACAUAUGAAUAGGUUGGACCUAUCCUAAACCCAAGUCCGACAGAAAGUAAUUCAGUCUGGUAACGUGACGUGAAGAAAAAUAGUUGGUCCAGUCACUUCGCAGCCCUGAUCACAUGCGCUUUAAGGAAAUUAAAUGGUCGCCUAGUGUGAAAAUGAAACACUAACAUAUCUGUAUAUACGGACGUCAUUAGCCGAAAAAAAGAGAACGUGAAGGAGGAAGGAGAGGAGAGUUUCCGAACCAGGCCAAGCUAAGCUAACUCAAUUUAAGUUUUCAAACUGUAAAAUUUUAUUUUCUGAAUUUCAAAACAUCAUACUGAAAUUUUGAUAAACUAUUUUGCUGAUGUUAAAUACUAUUAAAAAUCAUAUAUAUAAGUUUGAAGAGUUAAAAUUUUUUUAAAUAAUGUUAAAAAUUAAAUUAAAAAUAUUAUUAUUUUUUAUUUUUAAUAUUUAUUAAUAAAAAUUUCAGAAAAUGUUAAAUUUAAUUCAAAAAUCAGUUUCCACAAUUUUCUCAUUAUUGAAAGGGAAAUAAUGUAUUUGACACAAAAGGUAACGUGGUUGAAUUUAACAAUGAUAAAUAAAUAUAUAAUUAAAAAAUAUUUUUUUUAGAACGAUUUAAUUUUUUUUCUUUGAUAAAAAAAUAUUUUUUAUUUACUAAUUUUUCAAAAUAUCUUAUACACAAAAAUGUAUAGAAAAAAUUUUCCUUAAAAAUACUUUUUAUGAAAUAAGCAGAGUUUGAAGUAUAAAUAUAAAAAUAACUAUAUUAACUAUUAAAUAAAAUUCUAGAAUAUUCAAAAAAGAAAUCAAUCAAAUUCUAGAAGAAAGAAACUUCUUUAAUAAUAGCAGACGAGAGGCUGCAGAUGGAUGAGUCGACAAAAGCAUAGGCAUAAAAAUCACAAGUAAAAUAUUUGAAAUCCAAACCCUAAUAGAAAAAGAAUUCCUCUUCCUAAACAAGAAACGAACUUAAAGCCCAAGCAAUGGCUCUCUAUAAAUACAAAUGCAUAGAAUUCACCACCUUUAUAUCCCAAGAGCAAACACUUACCAUCUAAUAAGAAAAUCCAUGGCUGGCCUUCAAUACCACUUCUUUCCUACAGAUUUCUACUACCCUCGUCCACCACCAUCAACCACCACCACCACCACCAAGCCAGCCGUUGUCCCCAUGCAGACGCAAAAAGAAGAUGAUAAGAAAAAACCCAACGCCAUGCAAGAGAAAGAGAAUAGCAGAAGCCUUCCUCAGCUCUCUUGUUCAAUUUCAGCACUCCCUUCUGCUCCUUCCACAAUCGUCAAGGGCCAGAGUAAACACAAAACUGUCUUGGAUAACAUCGCAAGUAAUUACUGGGAUUUUGGCAGUAAUUAGAAACUAAUAUACCUUAGUUUUUUAAUUAUUAGUUAAGUUUGUUAUGUUGUUUAGGCAUUGUAAUCAAAGUUUUCCUUUGUUAAGCUUCUUAAAUUUCUCAGUUUGUGAAGUUAACAGUAGACAUUGAAAAUCCACAAACUAAUGGAUUAUUGUGUAAUUUCACUCUUAUGCUUAUUCGAGAAGUUUAAUUUAGUUUCUUUUUAUUAUUUUUUAAAUUAAUUGAGAUAUUUUAAUUUGAACUCAAUUUAGAAAGGAAAUUAAAAAAUCAAGUUUCUUAAUUUUUGGGCUGAAAAGUCUCAUUCAAUUGGGAGUAAAAUGACAAAAUAAGUGUAACUUUUCAAAGAAGUAUUAAAAAAGCCCUUUUCUUUUUCUUUUUGCACUCUUAGACAACAAGACAAAUUUACUAGGAAGUGAAGCAUUAUGCUUUUCUUAUUCUAGAAACCAACUUUUUUUUUUUUUAUCUACAAAUGAUAAUUGCAUUACAUAACUGCAACUCGCAUUAAACUUUAUUAUAAAAAGUAGUGCAAAUUCAUCAACUGAUGCUACUAUCAAUUCAGUGGUAAUAAAUAUCCUAUAAAAUUUAAUUAUUAUUGAUCCAUAAAUUUUGAAGGAAUUUAAUUUUUAAUAAUACUAAAAUUUAAUGAAUUACACUUAUCUAAUUUUUCAGUAUUAAAAGUAAAGUAUUUAAAAAGUAUUAAAAAAUUAAAAGAACUCUUUAUAUAAAAACUCUUAUGGCAACAAAAAAAAUUAUGAAAAAUAUAACCCUUUUAAAAUUUUUAACUAUAAAUGAGACGAAUUAUGGAGAAAUCUUCAAUACUAUUUUGCUAAACACGUAAGGUUAAAAUUUUCAAAAUUUUUAAAUCUUAAUCCGUUCUAAAAUUUUAAUGGAUAUGAUUUAUGUCAAUUUACCUAAUAAAUUUUUCUUUUUCAUCCCAUCAAAAAUUUUAGAGUAGACUAUUAAAUUUUAUUGAAAACUAUUUGAAAUACUGAAUAAUAACUAUCAUGUUAGUGGAAAUAGCAAAUAAAAUCGAGCUAACAUUGUAGCAUGACCUGCCGGUCAAAACUAACUUAGUACGUUGAACUUAGUAAAUUAUACUUUUAUUUUUAUAAUUUAAAUAAACUUCUAAGAUUUGACAAAAUUCAUACAGUAGUCAUCAUUAAAAUUUUGGUAACAAAUUAAUUUCUAAAUUUGAUUUUAAUCUAACAAAAUAUUUCUUCUAUUAAUAAGAGAUACAAAUUACUGUUUGUUGACCAUUGACUACAGAUUUUAUGUUUUUUAACUACUAAAAUAUUCCUCUGAGUAGCCAAUAUUUUCUUUUUUAAUAAAAAGUUCUUUUGUUCUUUAUUUUAAUAAUAAAAAAUUGAGAAAUUACUAUUUUAAUUUUAAAAAAUUGAUGAACUUGUGGACUUUUUCUAUUAUUUUUUAUUUAUUAUCAUUAUAAAUAAUUUUAAUUUUAAAAUAUAAAAAUUAAUAUUUUAUAAAUACAAAAAUUUUUAUAUUUAUAAAAAUCAAUUUAUAUAGACUCCAACUAUAAUAUGUAAGUAUAAAAAUCAAUUUUUAAUUUUUGAUUAAGUAUAAAAAUUCAUCUUUAAUAAUUAAAUCUGUAAUAUUUAUACUUAUAUAGAAUAUAAAAUUUAAUUUUUAUACUUACAGAAUUUUAAUUUUAUAUUUUAAAAAUUAAAAUUAUUUAUUAUAAUAAUAAAUGAUAUAAUUUAAUAUUCAUCCAAAAUAUGUCAUGAGUCAUUACAUAUGAGUGAGUCACGUGAUAAGGUCUCACUGAGUUAUGGCACUCGAUUACGAAAGUCUUACUCGAAAGGAAAAAAAAAAAUCACAUCGUAACGAUCGAUGCUAGAACGACACAAGACUCACCUUCUCCUGAAUGCCGAUCGAGCCUCUCAUUACAUAAGUUAUCAUUAGAUUAUAGAAUUCAGUAGAUUUCUAUUACACCUAUAAUCAUAGUAUCUUUUAUCAACUAACCAAUAUCAAUAGAAUUUUCAAAAGAUUUACUAACAACUCGAUAUUCUUACGGUAUAAAUGCAAAAUAUAUAUAAAGUUUAAGGUAAAUAUUAAUACAUACUCAUUCUUAAAUUCAAGCUAUUUUCUUACACUCGUCCUUUUGUACAAAUUACUGAUUUAAGCGUCGGAUUAACUUUCCAUAUGUACCAACCACCUCACCUUCUUCUUUUGCAGAUUUACUAAUUAUCUUUUAAUAGGGAUAUAAAUGAAGCAAACCGUUUAUGAGCUAUUCGAGAUUUGACUCGAUAAAAGCUCGACCGAGCUCAACUUGAUUUCUAAACAAGUCAAACUCGAACUUAAUUUGUAGGCUCAUUUAGUAAAUGAGUCAAGUUUAAACUCUAUAGUAUUUGACUUGUUAAGAUUCGUGAGUCCGACUCAUCUUUUAGUUUAAAGCAAGCUCGCGAACAGACUCUUGAAUAGUUUAGUUAAGCAGUCUCGUUAAACAGGCUGAUAUUAAUAUAAUAAGAUAAAUAAAAUCAAACACUGCAUAUACUUUUAUAAGGCAAACCUAAAUUUUUUAAAGUUUAACUCUAUUUAAUUUAAUUACACUUUUAAAACUUCUAUAUAUUUGGAUCGUUAAGAUUUAAGAGCUCAUUUUUAUAAAUUUACGAACUAAUUUAUAUAUAUAUAUAUAUAUAUAUAUAACUAAAAUUAUUUAGUUUUAAACGUAUUAAUUAAAAUAAUACACAUUAUAUAUAUAAAUAAAUUAAAUUAUUUAUAAACUAUUCAAGACUAAAUUCAAUAAACAUUCGACUCAUCUAAACUCAUUUAUUAUGAAUUAAAUUUGAAUUUAUUAAUAAUCAAUUUGAGUUUGAAACGAGUACAGAUGGAGUUGAACUUAAACUCAAAAAAACUUUAACAAACUAAAUUUAAAAUUUUCAAAACUCAUAUCCUAUCGCCUCAGUUUAUUUAUGUCCCUAUCUUUUUAACUCAUUUUCAAUCACACUAACAAAUAAGAAAAAUAAUGAAUAAAAUCCACAAAUUCACUAAUUUUUAAAAUUUAAAAUAAUUAUUUCUUAAUUUUUUUAUUAUUAAAAUAAAAGAUAAAAAUAACUUUUAUUAUUAAAAGAAUUGACCACUGAGAAAGACAUUGAUCAUUAUAAAAUAUAAAAUCUAACUAAGCAAUUUAUAUUUUUUAUUAAUGGAAUGAUUAUUUUGUUAAAUGAUAAUUAAACUUAUAUAUUUUUGUUAAACUUUAAGGAGUUUUCUCUAAAUUAUUCUAUUUUUUAAAUUAAUUUUAAUUAAUUUUUUUCAAUUUAUUAUUUUUAAAAUCAUAUUAUAUAUAAGUUACAUUUUUCUAAUUAAAUUAAUAAAUUUUAUUAUUUUAUCAUUUAAUUUAUUAUAUUUGAAAUUAGAUUAUAAAUAAAUAUUAUUAUUUUUUAAUUAUAAUUUAGAGGAAACUUACCUUUGGAAAAUUAAUUUGCAGUAAAUACAUUUCAGAUAAUAAAUAAAUAAUAUUAUUUUUUAAUUAUAAUUUAGAGGAAACUUACCUUUUGUAAAAUUAAUUUGCACUAAAUACAUGCUUGAAGUAAAUUUUUAGAAAUAUACUUUCUAAAAAUAUAUUAUUUUGAACCAAAUAAAACCUAAAUUAAGAAUUGAAGCUGAAAAAUCAUGAAAUUAAUUUUUUUUGCUUUUUUUAUGUAAAUUGAUAUCAAGAAAUUCAGUUUAAAAAAUUUUAUUUUUUGUGCUAAGUCGAAUUAAAAUUAAAAUUUGUGAAUUAGUUUAGAUUAAAUAUUCCUAAUAAUAAAAUAUAAAGUUUUAAAAAUGAACAUUUAGUCAUAAACAAAUUCUAGAAGAAAGAAACUUCUUAAAGAAUAGCAAGUAUCGUAACCAAGAAAGAAGCUUCCUUUUUGUUUUUUCUUCUGGAAGACAGCAGGCAGAGAAGUCAACAAAAUCAUAAAAGUCAAAGUAAAAUACUUGAAAUCCAAAUCCUACUGCAAAACUACUUCCUCUCUGUAAACAAGAAACAUACUUGAAGCCCAAGCAAUGGCUAUGGCUUCCCUCUCUCUAUAAAUACAACAAAAAGGCAGAGAAAACCUAAUUUUAAUCAGUUGAUCAGUGAGCCAAGGAGCAGACAAAUAGAGAAUCCAUGGCUGGCCUUCAAUACUACUUCUUCCCUACAGAUUUCUACUAUCCUCGUCCACCAUCGUCUACCACCACCACCACCAGCAAGCCAGCAGUUGUUCACAUGCAGACGCAAAGAGAGGAUGGCAAGAAACAGACCAACGACAUGCAAGAGAAAGAGAAAAGCAGAAGUCUUCCUCAACUCUCUUCUUCAAUUUCAACAGUUCCUUCUUCUCCUUCCAUAAUCGUCAAAAGCCAGAUUAAACACAAUACUGUUUUGGAAAACAUCGCAAGUAAUUACUGGGAUUUUGGCAGUAAUUAGAAACUAUAUAAAUCUCUGCUCCACCAUUGCAAUGGAUUCCAUCCCAAUUGUAUAUGGAAUUAUAAUUUCUUAAUUACUUAAAUUAAUUAGUUAAGUUUGUUAUUGUUUAUGCAUUGUAGAUAAGUUUUCUUUUGUUUUAGAUUCUCAAAUCUCGACAGCCAUUUUGCAUCUCUCCGUUCGUUCCAAAACCUUGUUGCUGUUCUGCGGAUGGCUGAAGCACUUAGUCUUUGCGAAGUUCCAAACUGGCUCUGCUAGCUAGUCGGGUUUUCAGGAUUGCCAGGAACUUGUGACAUCUCGGAGACUAGUGGGUACCAUGGUUUUUCCUUUUAUCUUUUUCUUUUGUUUUCUAUUCUUUAAAUUCAACUGUUUAAUUCUUAUGUAUGAACAAUAAAUUUUAUAUUAGGAGUCUUAUAUAGUUUGAAUUUUAUUUUAUUUUAAUAUAUUUGAAUUGAUUUUUUGUAUCCGCGAUAAUUUGUUAUUUUUCUUAAUCUUUUUAAAUAGGAUUAAAUAUUUGAAUGAUCUUUACCAUUGAUUAAUAUCGGAUGAGAAAGUUCUAGAAGUAAGAAAUCCGUUGAUCAGUUGAUCAGGCAAAGAAACCUCAUUAAUAAUCAGUUGAUCAGGGAUUCCAAGAGCAAAGCAAUAUCAUCAAUACAAUCCAUGGCUGGCCUUCAGUACUACUUCUUCCCUACAGAUUUCUACUACCCUCUUCCACUAUCAUCCACCACCACCAGCAGCAGCAGCAGCAAGUCAGCAGUUGUUCACAUGCAGACGGAAAGACAAGAUGGCAAGAAACAGCACAGCAACGUGCAAGAGAAAGAGAACAGCAGAAGUCUUCCUUAACUCUCUUCUUCAAUUUCAACAGUUCCUUCUUCUUCUCCUUCCAUAAUCGUUAAAAGCCAGAUUAAACACAACGCUGUCUUGCAUAACAUUGCAAGUAAUUACUGGGAUUUUACCAGCAAUUAGAAUUCAUUGCAAUCGAGAAUUCAAUCCCACAUGAAUAGAGACUUUUCUUAAUUAUAUAUCUUUGUUAAUUAAUUAGUCAGAGUUUGUUCUUCUUGUUUAUGCAUUGUAUUAGAGGUUCUCCUUGGUUUAGUUUCUUAAUCGGCAAUUUUCCUUUAUCCAACUAAAUAGCAAGCUUUUCUUUUAUAGUAGAGAACUUAGGGAUUUUUCUUAUAAUUAUAUUGGGGAUUUUUCUAAUAAUUGUACUGUUAAAAUAUAAAAUUAAUAUAAAUAUUUGAACAAAUUAUAAAUUAUUUUAUUUUCAAACUUAGCUUUUAAAUAAAUAUAUUAUUAAAUUUAUUUAUAAUUUUAGAAUGAUUUUAUUUAUAUGUUUGUGAGUCUGCUCAUAAUAUUUUAUGAGUCAAAUAUUAUUAAAUUUAAAUUUAAUUAAAUUAAUUUUAAAUUUAAUUCAUUUAAAAAAUAAACUGAAUUGGAUAAAAUUUUUAUGUACGAAAAUUUUGAAUAGCUCAUAAUAAUAUAGUUAUUCAUGUAUCUAGGUUGAGCAAUUCAUUGAAUGGAUUGCAAUUAUUUUAAUUUAAAUGGUGGAUCAUCUCAAGACUUUCGUUCUUUUUUUCCCUCUAAAAUCAGAUCAUUUCAAGUUAUGAAUUUAUUUUAUUUACUCAUUAUAUUAUUAUUAAAAAAAAUAUUUCAUGUCAAAAAUUUGAAGAGUUUAAUUCAUUUUGGAUUAAAUUAAUAACUUUUAAAAAUAUUAUUAUUUAUUUAGUUUUUAAAAUUAAAAUUCAAAAUUCAUCGAAUUAAUUUAAUUAUAUAUUUAGAUAAUGUCUGAUUUAGCAUCAAGUAUUUAGUAAUCAUCAACUGAUAGAUAACUGAUAUGAGAACUAUGAUUACAUUAUAUUUAAGAUCAACUCUGCAAUUAAGGAUUUGCGGCUUACUAAUGGUUACUGUGAUUUUUCUAAAAAAUAGUUAUUUUUCUAAUUUGCUUACUAAUGGUUACUGUCAUCAGAACCUGGGUGGGUUCGAUUGCGGCUCAAGAAUGAAAAGGGCAGCCAUCAGAGUACAAGAACAGCUAUCACAAGAAGAAUGGAGAAUUGAGUUACUGUGGAGGCAGGUUGGAUGAGUCAAGAAGCAGGGGUUUUAGGUUGUAAAAUUUGCAAAAGUAUGUCGAAGGUGAAUAAGUGGAUAUUGGGUGGCCCGCUUGGUUUAGCAUAGUUUCCAACAAAACCAUUCAGGGAUGGGUUUCUGCUUAUAGCUAAUAAUUCAAUAAUCGCAAAUUGAAUAUCCAUCAUACACAAAUUGAUGGAUUAAUUAGAAUCUGUUUUUGAUUUGAGAACAAUUGCUGGAAAUAGCCAAUUAGUCCCUUUCAAAUGACUUAGCUAUCACGUGUAUAUGUCGACGUUCGUUUGGCCAUUGGCCGUGCAUGCCAAGCCGCCCCAGCAUCAGAGUCCAUCACAAGCUGCUUUAUUAGGGAGACCCAAUAUAAAUUAAUUAAGUGUGGUGCUUUCUUUCGUUAUCUUAUUUUUAAAUUUAUUUUUUUAUUUAAUUUUAAUUAAAUUUUAAUCCGAGUUCCAAAAUUAAUUUUAACAUUAUUAAUUAAUUUCUUUAUUUAGUCUAGAAAAGAUAUGCAUAUUCGAAUAUGCGUAAUUUUAAUUACUUUAAAUAAUUUUUUAAAUUAAAAAAUUAAACUCUUUCAUUUCAAAUAUAAAAAAUUGAUAAAAGAAAAUCAAUUAAAGCCGUCUCUUGACUCUCUUCCCUUCUCUAUGCAAUAAUUUUUCCUAUAUAACUGUGAAGUAGGAAGCACUACAUCCUCCAACCAAGAAAGCUCAGAACCUUCAUUACAGCUCUCUUGAUUUAAUUAGUUCUUGUCCUUGUAACUAAAUUUCUCCACCUCCAGACAGAGCUUCCAUGGCUGGUCUUCAACAAUACUACUUCUUCCCUACUGAUUUCUUCUACCCUCGUCCACAAUCAUCAGUUCAUGCAGAUACUGCUCAGAAAUCUGCUGUUUCCCUGCAGAUUCAGAAGCCAGAUAUCUCUAAAGAUCUUAAAAAUCCCACCAGCUUAAGCCUCGUUCUUUACACCAACAACCAUCCCCACAAGGCUUCUGCUGCCAUUAACAUAACCAAAAGCUCUUGAUUUAUUAUAUAUAUAAGCUGCAGGAGUCAAGAAGGAAGGAAGAAAGAAAGAAAGAUCAUCCAGAGACUGAAGCAAGCUUGUGCAUGGGUCAAAUCCUUCAUAUUAAACCCUGUUUGAUAUGUUUGUGCAUAUCUUGGUUUAGUUUGUAUAAGGAAUUUGCAGAUUUUUCUUUUCUUUUCUUUUUCUUUUUGAUUUUCUGUUCCUUUCUCUGAAAGUGGUAUUUAAGAAGUUUAUAUUGUUACUAUUAUUAUUUUCUCAUAAUACCAACAUGUAGCUCUUCAAGUCAUUGAUAGUGAUAACGUUUUGUAAAUAAGAUAUAUGGUAUACACUCUCUUGUUUUUUACUAUUUGAUUUAUAAAAUAAAUUACUAUUCGAAUAAAAGGGUUUAUUUUUUGAUAAAAUUUUAGAAAAUAUAGAAGAAAUUCAAAAAUUUAUUGAAGGGAAUAAAAGGAGUAGGGGUGUAAAUGAACCAAUUCGAGAUUCGGUUCAUUAAAAGUUUGACUGAGCUCAACUUGAUUUAUAAACAAAUCAAGUUCGAGCUUAAUUUUUAGCCUUAUUUGAUAAACGAGUCAAGUUUGAGCUCCAUAAUAUUAAAUUUGUUAAAACUUGUGAGCUCAAUUCAUUUCUGAAUUCAUGAGUAGGCUUGCGAAUAGGUUCGUGAACAAUCCCGUUAAGUAAGCUGAAAUUAUUAUCAUAAGAGAAAUAAAUUCAAAUCUUGCAUAUAUUUUCAUGAGUCAAAUUUAAAUUUUCUAAAAUUUAGCUUUAUAUAGUUUAGUUACACUCUUAAACUUGCAUAUAUUUGAAUUAUUAAGAUUUAAAAAUUUAUUUUUAUAAGUUUACGAGUUAAUUUGUAGAUAUAUUAUUUAAUUAAAAUUAUUUUAAUUUUAAACUUAUUAAUUUUAAACUAAAACUCAUUAUAGAUGUAGAUAAAUUAAACUAUUCGUAAACUAUUUGAGACUAAAUUUAAUAAAAACUCGACUAAAUUUGAUAAAAACUCGAUUCGUCUAAACUCGUUUACUAAACGAGUCAAGUUGAAACUUUUUAAUACUCAGCUCAAAGAUGAAAAUGAUUAAAACUCGAAUUCGACUCAGACUCAAACUCAGAAAAAUUUUUAAUAAACUAAAUUUAAAAUCUUCAAAACUCAAUUUGGCUCUAUUCGUUUACGCCUGAAAAUAGUAACUACGGAUGAAUAGUUUUCAAUUUGAUGAAUCUCUAAUGUAAGCCAGACAAAUUGGGUAUCAUAUAUAUAAUUUGAUGGAUGAAUUAGAAUUUGAUUUUGAAUUUAAGAUUAACGGCUAGAAAUAGCCAAUUAGUCCCUUUCAAAUGACAUUAGCCAUCACGUUCUAUUUUCCACGUUUGGCCAUAGGCCACGCUUGCCAAGCCGCCCUGGCAUCAGCGUCCAUCCAAAGCUGCUUUUAUUAGGAAAGUCCAAUUAAUGUAAUAGAAAACUUUUUAAAGUAAAAAUUAAAUCAUAUUAAUUAAAAAUAAAUUAAAUUAAAAUUUUAAAUUGAUUAGAUUCCAUCCAUUAUUUCGAUAUGAACAGAAUACUACAAAAUUUAUUAUUAUUUUUUUAAAACGGAUACCCUAUUGUUUUUUAAUUUUUACAUUUAUUUUAUUAUUUAAAUUUUGAAAUCUUAUAGUCUGAAUUCUGAAAUCGAAUUUAAUAGUGUUGCAUGGUAAAAAAAAAAUAGUAUUAUUAAAUUAUAAUUUAGUAAUAAAUUAUUUUUUUUUUAAAAUAGAAUAAGGUAAAAUCUCUUUGGAAAGGAAAUAUACUUACCUGCAACCCAACAAAAUCUUUUAUGUUUAAGAAAAAAACUGAUGAGUAAAACAAGUAUGUCGUAUUUUAAUUCUCCUUCUACUAUUUUUUUUUUCACCAAUUGAUUUUAAAAAAAUAAAUAAAUAUUUGCCUUAAUUUUAUUUUAUUGUAAAUAUUUUAAUUUUAGAUAAUUUAUAUUCUCUGACAAUCUAACCUUUCGACAUUUAAAAUUUUUUAUUUUAAUUAUUAAAUACAGUUAAAAAUCGAUAAUUAAUAAUUAUUCCUAACAUACAAUAUACAUUAAUAGAUUUAAUCUGAUAAAUAAAUUUAAAACAUUUCAUAUUCUAAUUGUUAAUUUUUAUUUUAAAAAAAAUUAAUAUCGAGUAUAUAUUAAUAAAAUUUUAUGUAAUAUUUUAUUAUUUAAACUUUAUCAUUUUAAAAAAUUUAUUAAUUAAUUUAUUUAUAUUAAAAGUAUUUUAAAAACAAUUUUUAUAAUAUUUAAAAAUUAAAAUUAAUUAAUAAAAAAUGUUAAAUAUAUUUUAAUAUAUUUUUUAAAAUAAAUUUAUCAAUAUUUUUAUAGUACUAAUAUUCUCUGUAUAAAAUAUAUGAGCAGCUUUCUCUUGGCCUCGUGACUAACGAAAUGGUGGCGAGUUAUGACACGAAAUCAAACAAGUCAGCACAUUUUUUGAAGCUUCACUUGCAACAGUCAACAUACAACAACGUAAUAUUCAUAUUGUUUGACUAAAUCAAUUUAGUAUUUCGUGUUUGCUGACGCCAUUUCAUAAAUUAUUUUAUAUUAAUAUUUUAAUUUUAUAAUUAUUUCUUUAUAUAAAGUUUGAGGCAGUAUGAGUUUACCUCCAUUGCCUGGGCGUCGUAGUUUAUAUGGCCCAAGAUAUUAGCUCUUUUGAGGCCCAAGACAAGAAAGACAAGUACAAAUCCACUAAAAUAGGGUCAAAACUGUCUAGAAUUGAAAGCCUAGAAAGAUAAAAACAAUAGAAAGCAAAAAUGAGCUAUAAAAUCUUAGAAAUUAUAUUUUAAUUUAUAAUUAAUUUUUUUUAAUUUAACAAUUUUGAUUAUAAUUGUAGUAAAUUAAAAAAAAUUAAUUUUUUUUAAAAUAAAAUUUAAAAAUUGACGAAAUAGAAUAUGAGAUUUUUCAGAUUUACUCAAAUGAACUUAUUCACAAGAUUAUGUUCGUAAAUGAAAAAAAAAAAUUUUUUUUAUCUCCAAAAUACCCUUUUCCUCGCUCCAAUCUCUUCCAAGAGAAAUUAAUGGAAGCCCUCAAACAAAGUCCCAAUUGCGUUGAUUGGCCUGACCUGAUGUAUUUACAACAGCAAAUUAACCAACUCUGAGAAACUCUUCUCCCUGAUUUUUUCCAUUCAUCAAUGAAGUUAUUCUCAGCAGUCUCUAGAAAUUGCAAAGCAUAAGAAGCUAAGAAAAAGAGGGUAGUUUAUUUAAAAUAGAUUUAAAAAUAGUUAAAUUUUAAAAAUAAAAAAAAUAUAUAUCUAUUAAUUACAAUAUAAAAUUGAUUUAAUACAUUUUUUAGGAGCAUUUUUAUCAAAUAUACAUAUUUUUUAAUUUUAAGCUUAAAUUAAAAGUUCUGAAUUUAAUCAAACAAAAAAACUCAUUUUGAACUUGUUUGGACAUGAGAAAAAAUUAUCUAAUUCGAGCUUGGUUCUCUUAAGUUCCAAUUUUGUUAUAGUAUUUUCAUGUUUGUUUCAAAUAAUACAGAUUUGAUGUUAGAUUAGUUUCUUUUAGCUUUUACAUUUAGAUUUGUCAAGUUGUUUGUGAUUUUUCUUCAAUAGGAUUUAUUGCCCAUAACAAAAGCAUUGAAUCCUUGUCAGCAUUUUGAACAUAGAAUUUUAGUUUUUCUCUAAAGAAGCAUUGAGCUGCAGAAUAAAUAAAGAAGCAAUUCAUAAUCUUAAUUAAAUACCAUAUACAUGAAACUCAUAACCGAAACAAAUUUUACAAUACGAUACAAUAAUUUUAUAGCUAUCGAUCAUCGAUUAGGAAGAAUAUAAUGAUUUAAUAGCUAUUGAUCAUAAUAAAACUAUUAUACGUACGACAAUUUAUAUCUAUCGAUCAUUGAUUAUGGAAAAUAUAAUGAUUUUAUAGCUAUCGAUCAUGGUGAAAUGAUCAAAUUGUUACGUAAAUUUCAUUAUAAUUAAUAGUUAAUAUCUAAUGAUUAUUAUGGGAUUGUAUUGAAUAACUUAUGGGUCUAGGGGCAUUUGGGACCUCCUCUUUUGGUCUUCCAGUUAUUGUAGCAAGGGCAGGAUUGCUUGUUUCCAUAAGUUCCAGAAGGCACACACAAGCACUUAGCACAGCACUUCUGGCAGAAGAACAUGCAUGGUUUCCUGUAUUGUGUCUUUGAGCAUCUUGUGGUGCAACGCGGUGCACACUCUGCAUCCAUCCAUCCCCAACCAAACUCCAUUAUUAUUUCACAUUUUUCAUUAACAUAAUUAAUUAUCUAUUUUUCCAAAAAACUGAUAAUAAUAUUUAAAUUUUAAAUUUAUUGUAAUGUUUCUGGAUGGUUGUUAAUUAAUUACCUUGAGGAUGAAGGCUUCCUUGAGUGGUGCCAUACUGAAUAAAACAGCAAAUGAAUAAAUCAAAAUCAUUGUAUUAAUUAGCAAACUGUUGUUUUAUAUAUUUACAAAAUAUAAAAAUAAAAAGAAUCUCACUGUGGGAAGAUUGCUGUUGGGUUGUGGCUCAGGAGUUGGAGCCUCAGAAAUGGAAGCCUGCAGAAAGACAUCAGCAAUGAGAAGAGGACAAUAGACCUUUCUUUGUAAUUAAAGAGGGUUUGAUUAUAAUUUCCAGAAAACUUUUGGCAGCUGAUAAGUUGAUAUUAAUAGGAAUAUAGUUCCUGUAAGAGAAGAGAGAACAAAAGAUAAUUGCCAACUUACGUUGUUCUCUGCUACAAAAAGAAGCAUCAAACAAAGAGCGAAAAUGGCAAUGCUUGCUUUCCUCAUAAUUGCGUAUACUUGGAAGCAACAGCAGAGAGAUAAGAAGCUCUGUGUGUGUCUGAGAGAGAGAGAGAGAGAGAAUGUACGGUUGACAAGGCAGUGAAGGGUAUUUAUAGCCAUUUUGAUAACCAUGAUAUUGUAGCUAAAAUUUGAUGGGUUUUUUAAUCAAUAAGAUGAAAAGUAAAUAAACUUCGUCAGUGAAUUAAUUAGGCUAACCAGGGAAAUAGGGCAAACCCCAGUUUAUGAAUUAGCAUAGCAGAUAUGGAGCAAUACAAUAAGGAGAUAAGCAGAUAGAGAAUUCUUCAUGAAGCAAGACGUGUCAUGAUGAAGAGCAAUAGCCAGUUUACUACGUACAAAAAAAGAGUGAGAGAAAGACAACCUCAUCUUCUUCAAAUUAUCCAAACUCCCAAAGAUUCUUUUUUACCACUUUCCUAAGUUGUUUCAUCAAUAGGUUUAAACUCAAAAACUUAUAUUCCAAAUGGUGAGAUUUCCCUUUUUCUCUCUUGAUCAAAGUUUCCAAUUCGAACUCUGCCUAUGAAAUAUUUUUAAAAACUUAGAAGAGAGCAUUUUGCUCAGUAAUGGACCUGUUCAAUUUCAGACACAUAACUCUAAUACUAUUAAGUGAAAACGAUUUUGUUGGUAUUUUUUGAAGAGAUUAUAUUUGAAUUGUCCUUUUAAUAAUAAUUGAAGGACAAAUUUAAAUCGAAAAUCUGCUCCUAAACUAUAUAACUAUGGCUAAAAAUACCAAAUUUCAAAUAAUUUAUUUAGAUUUUUUAAAUUUUUUAGUAAUAAUUUAUGAGGAAAAAUAAAAUUUAUCAUUUUUUUUUACGUUUAGAAACAAAUUUGUCCUUUUGGGUGAUAUUGUAAUCCAUGUGAAAAUGGGGAAGAUGAUGAUAGGUAUAGAAAGGCACCUCACAUGUGCAGUCACAUGUUGGUAAGUAGCUAUUACAGUCAUCACACCUAUCAUCCACAGAAGAAACAAAAAUAAAACAACUAACAAAACAGAAGUGAGACAUGAAGUAUGCUAUAAACACCACAAACUCAGCUGUCUUGAAGAGGAGGCUAAGGCAGCGUAGACACCUUUUUCUCUUCCCUUCCCUGUAUCAGUCAAUAAUAAUAUAUCAUAUUCUCAUUCCCGUGACUCUGUGCUUUUUGUUUUCUUUCUUCUUCUUUUUGUAAUUUUGUAUUCUUUGGGAAUGUAAGAGAGAGAGAGGAAAACGAAAGGGAAGAGAAAGGACAUGAUUCUGUGUUGGCCGCCCAUCUGGACCAUUAAGGGUUUAGUUGGUUAUGUUAGUUUGCUCUCGUGAACUUUGCUUUCUGUUUGUUUCUAGGGAAACUGGAUAAAUUUAUUGGGUUAGUGUUUCUGUGUGGAAUUUUUAUCGUAUUAAUUAUAGACAUAGAAUUAGGAGCGUCAUUUUAUGUGUUAUAUGAUGAAAAAUAAUUUCUUUAUAGUAAUUUUUACCAUAAAUAUCUUCUUCCAAUUUUUUUAAUUAAUAGAUGCAAAUAUUUUGCUUCUGUUUAUUUGCUAAAAUUUACUUUUAUUUAGAAAAUAUUCUUAGUGAAAAAAAUAUUUUUUAAUAAUAUAACUUAUUUUUUAUUAUUUAAUUAUAAUUUAAAAAAUAAAAUGUAGUAAUUAAUUAAUAUAUAUAUAUUAGUAAUAAGAUUUUUAAAGUUUAGAAAAUAAUUUUUUUUUAAAAAAAUCAUUCUUAUAAAAAUGACUUAAUAUUUUUUUAAUUAUAUAAAAAAAUAUUUUCUAAAAAAAAUAUUUUCUGUACGUUUAUUUUUUAACACUUAUGCCCCUAGAUUUUCUUAGAAGAAAAGUGUUUAAAUUUUGUAUCUUAAUUUUAUGAAAUUUUUUUUUAAAAAAAACUUUAUUAAACUUUUAAAAAAUUACUAUUUUGAUGAAUAGACCUGAGGAAUCAUACUGUGUUGAGUUUUAAAAAUUAUAAUAAAUUAUGUGUUAAUUUUGAUAUAUUUAAAAACAUAAAAUUAAUUUUCUCUUUUUUGAAAAGAUUUGAAAUUUCAUGGUAUGCUGUAUUUGUCCGCAGAAACUACUUAAGUAUGGAAAAUGUAAAAUAACUUAUUUCUUAUUUAUAAAAAUAAAUAAUAUUAAUAAAUUUAUAUAUAAUAGUGGUAAUAAUGUUAGUAAAAAAAUGAUUUUUUUAAAGGAGUAAAUAUUUUUUAAAAUAUAAUUAUAUUUUAUUUUUAAUUAAAAUUGUGUUCAUUAAUUAAUUUUUUUGAAAGCACUAAAUAUUAAAAAAAUAAUAAAAUAUUUUUGUGUAUACAUGAUAAACAAGUCCUAAUGUGAGAAGGUCCUCCCUUUCCAAUGAUGGAGCACAAAAAUAGUAACAACUUAAACACAAUCGGGAAAAGAUAGAAUAAUUACUCCCAAAAGAAGAUGAAGAGCAGAAAUCCAAAUUAAAGUUUCAAAGACAACAAAACUACAUAGUCUAUAAUGAUCUUUUUCCGGUGCCUAAGCUAGGAAUGAGGGUACCACGCUAUAAGCACGUGUACUUUUACCUUCGUUUAAAAUUAAAAAUUUUAUAAAAAUUUAAUUAAAUUUAUUUUUAAAAUUUUAAAUACUAAAAUUUUAUUUUAUACAAAAUAUCAUAAUAAUUAUCUGAAUCCUUUUACUAUAAAUCGCUAAUUAAUGAUCAAUUAAUAAAAAUACAUUAAAUUUUAAAAUUAAUCUUUAAAAGAAACUUAUCAAUUUGAAAAAUACAUUAAAAAUUUUUUAAAAAUCAACUAAUUAAUUUUUUUAUUAAUUUUAAUCAAUGAAUAUUUUAAAAAAUCUAUAAAAAAAUUAGUUAGUAAAAUUUCUUUUAAAUUUUAAAAAUAUUUUAAUAUAUUUUUUAAAAUUACAAGACCUGACUACUGAUAAAUUUUCUUACUAUAUAAACUAGAUAAUAAAUACAUAGUUUAGAUAGUAAAUACAUAGUGAUUAAAAUUGAGAGGAACUAAAUAGUAAAUUUUUUACAAUUUAAAAGAUAUUUUAAUAUAUUUUUUAAAAAUGUGAAACUAAUGACUAAAUAAUAAUUUUCACUUGUAAAUAUCAAAUUAUCAAACCACUUCUACGAGUUACCAAGUGAAUAUGAAGCGCCAAAGAAGAAAUAUCUGUUUCAACAAGCAUAUUAAAAAAGCAUCUCUUAUUUAAUCACAAACAAAUUAUAAUUAUUUGGCUUGUAAUGUUUUUUCGACUUCUAACAAAACCUAGAAAAAUAUGAGCAACACCUUCAAAAGAGAAAAAAAAAAACUACAGGUUGAAGUAAUUACAACUCAGCGAGAUACUAUGCAAGAAUUUUGUAACAAAAAGUAAGAAUACAGUUUGAAGAAUCCAAAGUUUUGGUUGUUGAGACUUCACCUCUUAAAAUUCAAGAUUUAAUUAACUGAAAUUAAAAAUUAAUAAAGUAAAUUCAAAAUUUACUCCUCUUUUCCUUUAAAACAAUUCAGAAUCAGACAAACAAUUGGUAAUUUGCAGAUACUACAAGGUAAAGCCAGCCUUCCAAGAUGAGCCACUGUAUAAUUCAUCUAAUCUUUGCCUACAAUUCAGGUAAUAAAUUCAUAAAGAGCUAAAAAAUGCCUACUGUAAUUUUUUUUCCAUGGUAAUUUCUAAUUCUGCUACUGAAAUGGGUGGCAAAAAAGGCAAGAUCGAAAGAAGGGUUCUCUAAUUCUGUUUUGGCUACAAGAAAAUUUUGGCUGGUUCAACAAACAAUCAAAUAGACAAGCCAAGGUGUUUACAGCCUGAAAACAUCUGCGUAGACCAAUAACAACCCAUCAGAACUCAUCUGCCAUGAGAGAUAGGUCUGUAGAACUUUCUGAUGCAGUAAAAAAUAUGUAAUUUAAAAAAAAAAAAAAAGAGUUCGGAAGAAUUAAAUCAAUGGGUGUGAGUCAGGUUGGGACAUGCAUGCAAGAAUCGCAUUGUAACAGAGGCACCAAUAUUCUCUGCUUGGGAUAACCAUCCAUGGCAUUGCUGAAGGCAGGCCAGUCCCCAAAGUAGAUGCAGUUCUGAAAAUGAUAAGUAAAAUGUGCGUGGGAGAGAUAAAUCUAAAAUCCCAGGGACCACACACUACGACAAAUAAAGGCAGUGCACAAAAAGAUAACUCACUUUUUACCGGUAAGAGCUCCAUAAGCUGAUGUGGUGACGAAACCAGAAACCCCAGAGAAAAUCUUCUUGUAGUGAGGCAAGACUACUUGUCCUGUGAUAUAUAUCUCGUUACAGUUGGCCAAAAAUCAAUGAAUCAAAACACAAUGAUGAGAACAAGUUACCAAAUAUAUUUUUGAUUCAUGAAAUUUCCUUUCAUACAAUAUAUAAUUUGUCCCCAACACUUGUAAUCAAAUGCAAGGCACGCUAAGAUCAAUUGAAGUUGUCAUAGAAAAAAAAAAGGCAGCUACUUGACAAUUUCACUAGACUAUCGAUUAGUGGGCAAGCUAAAGAAACUCGAGGGCUAUGCAAAAUCUUCAGGGUUCGAUAUACUCAGAGGGGAAAUAUUGAAAGAAAAUGGGAAACAAUAGAAAUUGUUUAGUUCCUCAUCAUAACCGACAAUCCGUAGCAAUUCAUUAAUAUAGUCAUGUGUGAGUUCUCUAGUUCCCCCAAAGAAGGUAAGUCUAACUUUCUCUUAAACGAUACAGGAAAAUUAUGAUGCCCCAAAAUGAAAAACAGAGUGAGGAUUCCAAAAGCAUAUUCAUUAUCUUGUUACAGAUUACCGAAUUCUCUCAGAGCUUUGUUCCAGACACUGGACAUGUCAUACUAACUAACAAAAUAGUGAUGCCCAUAUUUGUCUGAGAUUUGAAUUAUGACUUGAAAUCCAAAUAUUGUGAAUUGAGAAUCGAAUAAAUCAUACAACCAAGUGAGCCACAGUUCUGUGUCCAACACAAUUGGAACUCAAAAUUGAAGAUUAAAGCCAGAAAUAAGGUAGAGGAAGAUUUCAUGCAUGAAUCUGUUUGAUUGCUAUAAAUAAACAAAAGUGUUAAUUUCAUUGAUUCUCGUGGGAGGCUAUGUUAAGAUCCUUCAAUAAGAAACAGGAGGAUAGAGGAUUAAUUUGAGUUUUUAAACCAGUCAGGUCCUACUAGACCUGGAUGGACCCAACAGGAAGGAACUGAUGUAUCAAUUCAACAUACAUUGGAUUGAUGCUCACCAGUCAGGGUCAAUCAAUUCACAUCAGCAAGGGGGUGAACAAUAACAGUAUAGAUGCCAUCUUCAAAAGAAUAACUAAAAUAUCCACAGUUUAGCCUGAGACUUGCAUGGCUUUGUUUAAUCACUCCACACACGCAACUAAAAAGAUAAUUCCCAGUCCUAUCCGUACGCAGUUGAAAGCACAAAAAUUGAUGAACAAUUGCUUGAGGCCUCACCUAUGUUCAAGAAGUUGCUAUGGAGAAUUGAGACCAGAAAACCAGAUCUCUCUUUGCCUGCAUCCUUUUGCUGUGAAUUCUCAGAAGAUGAACCGACUCCAUGAAGACAUGAAAACUCCUGAUAACUACCAUGACAAGAUACAAUUUCAAACCAUAUCCCAGAGGGAAACCUUCUCUGCCUCAACAACCUAAGUAAAAUUUUAAUAUAAGGUGUACCAUGAAUCAUUGAUAUGGUAAUUUCAAUCAACACACAAAUAAAGGUGAUGGCCGUGUUCAAAAUGGUGAAGAAAAUAUAGAAAACAGAAGUUGUUGGCAACAACAGUAAAAGGGGUGUAAACAGAAGGGAUCCAACUACGUGCUGCUUUACAGUGUAGUUAUAGCUAUCUAAUCUCUGGCGAAGAGGAUUCCACUUCCGACCCCUGUCAACAGAUAGACAACUCAGUGAACAACUUGAACUAAAGAAAGAACAAGAUUAUAUUAAUUUGCAAUAAAGGUUAAAUUAAUUUGCAAUAAAAGUUUCCUGAUUAGAUUGUGUAAACAUCUAGCAUGUAAUCAGAGGUCCAAAAAUAUAUAUAGGUUAUUUCAUUUUACCACCAACCAAAUCAAAAAAUCUACAUUUCUUUCAUCACUUCACCAUAAUCUUUCUUGUAUAGAGACUCAUUCACCCUUCUUCCAAACCUCAACCAUCAGUAGCCUUAGCCAACAGCAUUCUUUCAUCAUAAAGUAGGUCAAGUUCUUGUUACAAAUUGGAAGGAACUUUGAAAAAGUGUAAUAGCGAAUGAUUUCCAAAUAAAAUAAUCAAACCUUCACAUGAUUUCUUCACAUAGAAAUUAAGACGUCUUAAAAAUUCAAAACAUGAUGCCUUUAACAAUAUAACAAUUUAGCUCAAUUGACUUGGACUUUUUUUUUUUUUUACCCACAAUUGACUUGGCCUUUAAAGGCCUUCCAUAAGACCUUGGGUUCAAAUCUGCCUACCAGCACUCAAAAAUAAAUUUAAUGUGGCAGCUCUCAUUGACUGCGUCAACCCAGCAGGUCACACAGGUCAAUGAAAGAAACAAUUGACUGGGCACAAUUUUUUAGCAGGCUGGUUCCUUAUCCUGUUCAAUUAUGAUCCCAGACCACUUUGAUGUCCAGUUAUAGGUCAACCAAACAGGCUGUUCCGAAUUUAAUAACAUUCUAUUGAACUCAUUGUUGCUUUGGCUUUUUCCCCUCAAUGUUUUCACAUUUGUUUAAUAUAUGUUAUCAUGAGCACUACACACGACCUCAGUUGGGGAUUUAGGGAUCAACUGAUAAAUUUCAUGGAGUUGGAGGCCUUAAUUGAAUCCAACUAAAGAUCAGAGCUGGACCUCACUCCCUCCUAUAGUUGAGCAGAUAAAUUGGACUUUUGGCCUAUGUAAAAUAAAAAAGACAAAAAAGAAAAACAAUAAAGUGCACUCUAAUCUUUCUUGCAUAAUAUCAAUUUAUAUAGUAAACCUAAUCACCAUCUAAUUCUAAAUUCAAGGACCUCAAUCUAAUAUAACUAAAAAAAUUACAGCAUUUGCUCCGCAGUGCACCUGAACCCACCGACUCAUCUAUGCCCACCAAUUCUCCCAAAUACACAAAGGACAAAGGUUUACCUGAAAAGUCGCCACAGAGCAGCUAAUGCCUGGAUCUGCUGUGAAUACAAGAGGGACAUUGCAAAGUGAAGUGAUGACACAUGUAAUGUUGCCAGUGCAACCAUGUCUAUGAUCAAAGCAGCGAGAAUAGUAGCCCCAAAAAGAAUUCCCAGUAGAGCAAGUCCUUUGAUGAAAUAAAUAAAAAGGAAACCGACAAAGAUCCAGAGGGUAGACCAAAUUUGUAUCACGUUAAGAGAAACCAUGCCAAGAACUCCGGCAAGCUCUGUAUUCAAUUUGAAACCUGCUGGCACUCCCAUCAACCACACACAACCUGAACGUAACAAUUCAUUCGUAAUGUCACUGGCAAAGGUUGAAACCCAUAAGCAAGCAGAGUCAGCAUUAUAUAACAGCAGCAGGCCUAGCAAGUUUCCAAAAAGCAGAUCAACAGCAAAACUUGACCACAUAGAAUGCCUAAGUAAUGCAGCUUUCUCUGCAUAUUCCACACAUGAUCGAUACCUAAAUAAAAUUUAAAAAAUAAAAUCAAGAAUAAGAAUGCUAGGAAGAAAUUAGUAACUUUGAGAAAAACUCGGCAAACCAGAAGAAGAGUAUAAACAAUAUCACAAAUGGGCAAAAAGAUGACAAAAAAGCUUAAAUAGAUUACGCGAUUAACUCCCCAUGCAAGUCAAGCAGGAAAUGGAUAUGCAGUCAGCAUUUAAACCAAGGCUUGAAAUCUCUAUUUGAAUGAAGUAAACUGUAAAUUCCAAAAAAAAAAAUUCUUUUGUUCUCAUUAAAUAGAAAAGUCCAUUAAAAUUCUAGUAAAGAAGAUACAAGGAUAUUCCAAUUUCAGUAAAAAAAAACAAAAAGAAAAAAGAAAGCUUUUUCUAAAAUGGAAAAACUUAAUAUGUGAAAAAAAAAAAUUCUCCAGUCACCUAAGGCCAUUGUCUUGAAGAAAAAUAGGCCAAUAUAAGAUCUGACAAAAACGGAUUCGGCUAUUUGUCCACGUAGUGCUGAAUAUCCCUGCUAAUGAGAUGAACACCUGUGUUUUGGAUCCAAAACUUGAAAACCUAUACAACAACUGAAUAGUGAUAUAGAAUAGAGUGGAAAUUGACGCCACAGAAAUAGCCAAUACAUGCCACAUGAAAGCAAGACACCUGAAACGGCACAAGAAAGGGCAUCAAGAAUUGCCGAGAAAGGCACAAUAAGGCUAAACAAGAGAGUUAGUUGAUAAUACACGUGAAUAAUGGAAAAACCAGCAUAAGAUCUCUUAGAGUUCAUGCGUUUCUCAAUCACUGCUUUAGCAGCAGCAGCACUGUUGAUUGCCAAAAUGAUUGUAUCCUGCACCAGAAAAAAAAAAUGUCAACUUAAGGAGUAUGCAAAUAGUCUCAUAGCAAAAGAAGAACCUAAGGAACUACACUACCAAGUCAAAUAGAGGCUGGCUCCUGUCAAGUUCAUCAACCCACUCGGGUUUCUUCAGAGGACCCUUCACUUGCUCAGAAGAAAUCCAAGAACUUAGUGAGAAAUGGUGCAUACCAUACACAGGAGUUUCAUAAACUAUCACCUAUAUUUGGUCAAACAUCAAAAAAUGGUAGAAGAUUAAAUAGCACUAAUAAAUAUGACUGAGAUGAAACCAUGCAGCAUACAAAUAAUUAUGACUUACAUACGUGUACAUUGAAUUGCGGUACUACUUGCCCAUUCCAGUGAAUGUGAUGCAAUUUUGGAAGCCAACAAAUAUCUCUACCAUAUUGUUCACCAGAAUCAUAAACCAGAUUGAUCCAGCAACUGCCUUCAGCAGAAGCUUCACAACUUUGUUCAACUAAUUCGUCAAUUUUAUGGCAUGUGCAGCUCCUCCCUCCAUAAUUUUCUAUGAAUACAUCCUGCCUGUUUGCUGUUGACAAGAUGCUAUUCUUGGAGGGCUUUCUCCAAUUAUCUUCUUCCAGCCCAACAUUCAAUAAUUUUCCAUCCCCACCGAGGUAUGCAGCACCCUGACCUAGCAAAGAAAACAUUGAUUUCUCCUGUAGCAAUAUAGGCAUGUUCUCAUUUGUAUCACAGAGGAUCUCCUGUCCAAAACAAUAAUCCAAACCAUAAGAUAGACUCAACAAAUCGAAAUCUUUCAUAUAGCUAAUUUAAAUUCGAACAAGUACAUAAUGACAUUAUAAUUAGGUCAAAAACAUUCUGGCAUAUAUUUGCUUAUAACAAAGACACUAAUAAGCAAAAAUUAUGUACAAAAUCAGUCCAAACUCGAUCAUAACUAGGAACACGACAAACUAAAACCCAGAUACUACAAUCCUCAAAGUUGAAACCAUAGAUUGGCAAAUGAGUAAAAACACAACAAAGUAAAAUAUAAGGCAUACUUCAAUUAUUAACUAUGCAAAAUUCCAAUGCAGAGAGCAGAUACAAAUAUUUGCAUCCAUAAAUCGCCACUCUCUCAUCCCCAUAUGGCUAACAAAAUAAAUUAAGGGCUCUAUUAUUGACAAUAAUCUCACAUUUCAAGUAAAGGCUUAUACCUUGAUACCAGAUUGCCAAUGGAAAAACGAGACGUCAUUGCAAGUGAAAGCUACCACGAUAUCAAUAGAAGCUGAAGAGCAAGAGAUGAACCAACCAAACAAGAAAUGACUAGAAGAGAGUUCACUUGAAGCAAGGUACUUUGGCCACCAAAUCCUACACUUCGUUCUCAUUUUUCUUCCCUUUUGGUUAGAUUCACCUCAUAAUUCCAGUAGAUUCCUAGCAAAUGGCCUCGAAAUAAUCCUCCACAAUCAUCUUUAAUUCACUGCAGACUCGAAAUUGCUUCUGCAGUCGCAAUUCAGAUUCAAACAAACUGUUCACAACAAAACCCUAGCUCCGUAGAAGAUAUAGGAACUGACACUUCGGAUGGACAAAUUAUAAAGAAAAGCAUGAACAAAUUAUUUAUAGCUGAGAGAAGUUACCAGCAGAAAAAUCGCUGCCAUUGCUGGAACAGGCUUGCUGUGGAGGCUACAACUGCUGACGUCGACAAGAGCUUCUAAGAGAAGGGCAAGUGUACGAAAGAAGAAAAACGAUGCGUUUUGGCGCAGCAGUUGUAGGGGCCAGAUCCGUACUAAUUAUACCAAAUUAAUAACCAAGCCCAUAAGCCUUGGUCAGUACGAAGUCUCUAAAAUUAUCAAGCCCAGCUCCACUUUUUUUUGGUAGGUAUUUAGAGGAUGGAAAGGAGACUUUAAACCCUGUUUACUAGGAAAUUUUCGUGCCAACUCAUUUAGUGGUUUAUCCUUGUAUAAAAAGUAAAAUAAAAAAAAAAAAUAUUUAUACGAAUAGACUUUAACUUAUUGGCACAAGUUUACGAUUGGAUACAAAUUUCACUCUGUGAUCCCUUUGUGACUCGAUACUCUCACAUUUUACUCUUCCUUAAACCUAAUUUCUUCUUUUCCCUUCCCCUUUCCUAUGGAGGACGAUCCGCGUCAAUUGACUAUCAAUGAAAAAGAAGAUGUUAUUAUCUCUAUUAAGAGUUUCAGAAAUAUUUCGAUCGUCACUUAUGAUUUCUGUAUGGUGGGGAUAUUUCUCACAUACAAUCCAAUCAAUUUUCAGAAUAUGCAGACCUCUUUGGUAGAUUUAUGGCGGCAACUCUUGGACAGUUAUUGCAUUGAAGGAUUUGAUUUCUAGUUACAAGCUGGACAUUUUAUUUUUAAUGGUAACAAAAGCUCUUAGUUCUUAUAUGCAAUUUUUUUGUAAUUUUUUAUAUUUUGAUGGUUGCUUCUCAAUAAAUAGACAAGAAUUGGGAAGAAACCUUUCAUUAAUGUGAAAGAGUCAUGGAUUUAUUUCUGUGGUUGACUUUUUUUCAAAUUUUAUUGAUUCGAAAGAUAAUAUUCAAAGAAGGUUUACUAAUUAUUAUGGAUUUUCGAAAUUGUAACGACGACGUCAGUCUUGGAACCUUAUUCGAGCUUUAUCUCGUAGAAGCUCUCUUCCGUGGUUUUGUUCGGGAGACUUUAAUGAUUUAUGCUCGAAAGAUGAGAAAGAAUGGGGAAUAUCUUUGCCAAAUUAUCUUAUGCAGGAAUUUAGAUGGGCACUUGAAGAGCAUUUUUGCCAAAUUAUCUUAUACAGAAAUUUGAUUUUGAAUAAUUAUAAAUUUUUGUUAGACUCUAGAACUAAUAUUUCUGUUAGAUGGGUUCGUCGUAAUACUAUUCUAACUGCUCAUAGAGAAUCUAUCAUGUAUAAUUGUUUCUCUGUUUGAAAUUAUAUAUCUUUUUAUUUGAUGAAAUUUUAUUAAUACAAUAAGUAGUUUUGCUUUAAAAAAAAAAAGACUUUAACUUAUUAACUUUGAAGUCGUUUUCAAUACCAUAAGACUUCGAGUUUAAUUUUUAAUAUGAGCUAAUUAUAUAAAAAAAAUUUAUAUAUAUAUGCCUAUGAGUAUGGUGACAACAAAUUAAAUUUUUCUCUAAAACUAUAUAGAUUGAUAAAAAAAAAAAAAAAAAUCUCUUCUCUCUAAAAGAACUACCCACUUCCCUUAGUCAUAGUAGGAGUCGAAACUAUACCAUCUCGUCAACUCGAAAAAGUUCAUGCACUCUUCACCUUUGAAAUUAAGAAAAUAUCAAAUUUCAUAUUUCAAUUCAAAUAUAUACUUAAUUAAUUACCAUUAAAAAGUGAAAUAACCUAAAUAACUCCAAAUAGAUUAAAAAUUUAUUUGAUUUAACUGUUGGAUACAACUAAUAGCUGAUAAUUGACGAUUUAUAACUAAUGUUCAUAACUGAUAACAAAUAGUUGAUUGCUUGUAAUUGAAAUAUUCGAAAGAUUUAGUAAACUAUAUUUAUUUGUUGAUACUUAUAUAUAAAAUAAAAUGACUGAUAAAAUUAUAUAUUAUAUAAUGUAUUUAUUAUUAAAAUACACAAAAUUAACAAUAUACAAACUCUAAGACAUGAUUGUUAAUAAAAUAAAACUAAUGUAGUUAUUUUUAUAAUAUUUAUAUUUAUUUUGCAAGUGUAAAAAAUUUAUUAAUAUAUUGUCUGGUCUAAUUUGGGUAUAAUAGUUUUGACAAAUUUGAAUAUUCUGUUUGAUGUUUUAUGAUUUUUAAAAUGGAUCUCUUACUUGAAUUUUGCUCUAAUUUUGAGAUUUUUAUUGAUAGAGUAUGAAUUUGAGAUUGAAAAAUAUCCAAGCAUUUGGUUUGUUAAAUGGGUAUUAAGACUAUUAAGAAAAAGGUAGAUAAUUAAAUAAGAAAAGGUGGGAAAGAGAAGUAUUAAGAAGAAACCACGGACCUCUAUAUCAGUUUUUGGCUACAUAGAUUAAGACAUGAAUUUUCCUAUUCCAAGCAAAAUAUUAACUAGCUACUUUGAGAUGACCUACAGACGAUGCUGCCACAGGACUAUAUACCUCCUAAAUAGACAUGUGUUCUAAAUUUUAGAAGUGAGCAUUCGGUCGAUUCGAUUUAAAAUCGAAUCGAAUUAAAUAAAUCAAGAAUUAAAAUUUUAAUAUUUAUAAAAAUCAAAUAUAAUACGUAAUAUAAAUAAUAAAAUGUAUCAAAUUAAAUUAGAUAAUCAAUUCGUAACAUAAUACGAUUAUUAUUGUGUGAUAAAUAAAUUGACAUAAUUUUAAUACCAAUACCAAUAAAUUUAACUCUUAACUUCUAAUUUUUCUCUAUAUGUUUGCAUUGUGGUAUCUAAAUUUUUUUAGGAAUAAUAAUUUUAUCAAAUUUAAUAUUAACGUUAUUUUUACCAUUAAUUAUGGAAAUAGUAGAGCAAAAUUUUAAAUUUAAUAUUCCUAUGGAAUUAAAAUUUAUAUUUAUUAUUAAUUACAAUAAUUUAUAACAAAUAUUUUCUGAUAAAUAGUAAUUAAAAAAUUUAAAACCUUAAUUAAUUAAAAAAAUCUUUAGACACAAUUGGAUUAUUUAUACUUUAAGAAGAUGUUAUAAAUCUUACAGCUUGAGAGGAGACCCCGUAUUUCUUCUAUACUGUUGUGCAUCUUAAUUAUCUUUGCAUUGUCUAUUUUGUUUUAUUAAAAAAAAUUGCUACUUAAUUUUCAUAAUAGGAGAAAAUUCCUUAAUUAGUUUUCUAAUUUUAAAAAAUAUAUUAAAAUAUUUUUAAUAUUUUAAAAAAUUCUACUACUUAGUCUUUCUAUUAAAUUUGUCUUUAAAUAUUUUAUUACUUAAUCUUUAUAAUUAUAAAAAAUUUAUUAGUUGAUCCUUUAAAUUUUUAAAAAGUUUAUUAAUUAAUCUCUUCGACUUUUUUAUAAUAUUUAACGAUUAAAACUAAUAGAAUGAUUAACUAGUAGACUCUUUAAAAUGUUAGAGACAUUUUAAGGCAUUUUUCAAAAUUGAGGGAUCAAUUAGUGAGUUUUUUCAUAUCAUAAAGACUAAAUAGUAAUUUUUUCUUAAAAAAUUUAUUUUAUAAAAAAUAAUUUCUGAAAAAUAUUUCUGUAAAAAAUAUAUUUUAUAAAAAUUAAUUUAUUUUGAUUGUAAUGUUAAAAAAGAAAAAAAUAUUAAUAAUGUUUCACUUGAUAUUGAAGUCUAAAUAAGAUAAGUGGGAUGGAUAAGUAUAUGAUUUAUGAGAAAGUAUUGAAUAUUAAUUAUUAUUUAAUAAAAGUUAUAUAAAUUUUAUUAAUUGUAAUAAUUACAUUAUUAAUAAAUAAAUGUGGACCUAGCACUCCGAGACUUAGUCUGGUGGAAAGUGCAUCCUUAUAGCCUUGAGUGGUCUAAGGUUUGACUCCCUCAACCCCCUAUUUCAAAAAAAAAAAUGUGGACCUAUAUUUCUAAUCAUGUGAGGCACUUCCUUCACAACAUUAUAAGAAUAUUUAAAUAAAUAAUAUAACACUAAUGAUUUUGAUAACAUAUUAUUCUUCAAACGAUACUAAGAAAUAAAUAGAUAAAUAACCUCAUAAUGAAAGAGAAAAGGUAAUCGAGUGUAUUUUUUGUUUGUUUUCUUUUGGUUUUGUUUUUCCCUCAAUGAUGGUUUUUCCAUUGCCUUGUCGGUGUAGAGUUUUGUUUUAUGUUGUGUUUUUUGUCAGAUCACCGAGGUUUUGUUGUUGAGGGAGCUUUCUUCGCGAUAUGUUUUUCUAGGUGAGGAUCUAUAUUUUUAUUCCAAGGAGGUCUUGCAUGUUGUCGCUAAUGACAUCUCGCAGUUACCACCACUAUGUCCAGUGAUCCAUGCACUCCUAGACGCGAGAUCGCCGAGAGCAUUAUCGUCUUUCCUUCUACUGAUGUGCGUUCUAUUAUUGCUUACUUGGAUUUCAUUUUAGAGCCUGUUUUAGAUUGGAGAACAUAUGCAGUCUUGCAGGUGGCUAUCUUGCUAGUAGGAAGCUUUUGUUAGGAUUUUUAUUUAGUACUUAGUCAAUAAAAUCCCUAUUUCUAUGGGAUACUCUCAUUUGUUUUUAUUUGUUUGUUCACGUUUCUAGAAUUUGUUGGGCUCUAUAACUUAUUUUUACCUUUUUUGUUAUGUAAGACUAUAUAUAUAUAGCUAAGUUUCUUCAAGUCAAUAACACACAUCAGAUUUCUCUCAUAUUUCUUCCUCUUUUCUUAAGUCUUUUUUAUUUUAAUAUUUGGUAUCAGAGCCUCAUCACCGGAUUAGAAGUAGCAGUCUUCUUGAAUUUUUUUUUUUAUUGUUUUAAACAUGACAACAUAAUCUUUCUUUGUUCAACCAACAAUAUUGAAGUUGGAUGGGCACUAUGAUCAUUGGGUAAUGCUCAUGGAAAACUUCCUACGCUCAAAGGAGUAUUGAAAUCUAAUAGAGAAUGAAAUUCCAAUAAAAGCGAAAGUUGUGAUUCUGAAGACGCACAGAAGAAGAACAUUGAUGACCAAAAAUUGAAAGACCUAAAAGCAAAAAAUUUUCUAUUUCAAGCAUUAGAUCGGUCAAUCUUGGAGACAAUUCUCAACUAGGAUAUAACAAAGGAUAUAUGGGACUCCUUAAAGGGUACUACACAAGUUAAGUGGGCACAGUUGCAAGCUCUUCGUAAAGAGUUUUAAAUUCUCCAUAUGAAAGCAGGAGAAACUGCGAAUGAAUAUAUUGCCUGGACUCUUGCCAUUGCUAAUAAGAUGAAAGCAAAUGAUGAAGACAAAGGAGAUGUGGUUGUCGAAAAAAUUUAUGAAACCUAUGACUCUCAAGUUUAAUUAUGUUGUUUGUUUAAUUGAAGAUUCCAAGGAUACAAGAACAUUGACUAUUGAUAAGUUGCAAAGCAAUUUGCUUGUACAUAAACAACACAUGAUCUCUCAGAUUGAAGAAGAGCAAACCUUAAAGAUUUCUCAUGAAGAUCAAUCCGGAGGAAGAGCUUGAGGUAAUGGACAAGGUCAUGGAAGAGGUAGAGGUAGACUAAAUUUUGAUAAAUCAACAGUAGAAUGCUAUCAUUGUCAUAAACUUGAGCAUUUUGAAUGGGAGUGUUCACAAAAGGAAAAGGAGGAAAAUUUUGCUAAGAACCCAAGAAGAGAUGUUGUUAAUGGCAUAUGCAAAGAUAAGUAUUGCAAAAAAUGAAGAUACAUGGUUUCUUGACUAAGGUUGCAAUAAUCAUAUGUGUGAAAAGAUGGCAUAUUUCUUCAACUUUGAUGAAAGUUUUAGAGAUUCUGUGAAGCUGGAAGACAAUUCUAGCUUUGAUUGUUAAAGGCAAGGCAAUCUAAGGCUGCUAAUGCAUGAAAUAUUACAAAUAAUCAUAGAUGUAUUUUAUGUACGGAGCAGAAGAACAAUUUGCUAAGUAUUGGGUAGCUACAAGAAAAAGGUCUUGCCAUUUUAUUUCAGCAUAAUAAAUGCAAGCUAGGUGUACCAUCCCGACAAAGGCUUAAUUAUGGAUAUAACAAUGUCUUCUAAUCAAAUGUUUAUUUUAAACACUCUAUCUCAAUCUAUAACAUUUGCUUGUUUUAGCACAAUUACAGACAUAUAAUGCAACUCUAGCAUUGUUGUUGUGGACACCUAAGCUUUAAAGGCUUACAACUUCUUUAGCAAAAAGACAUGGUGCAUGGUUUAACUCAGAUCAAGUCUCCGUUUAAACUAUGUAAAGACUGUCUGGUGGGUAAAUAGCAACAUGGCCCAUUUCUAAAGAAAAGCACUUGGAGAGCUUUACAAAUUUUAUAAUUAAUCCACGCUGAUAUUUGUGGACCAAUCAAGCCUAUUUCUAAUAGCAAUAAGAGGUAUUUACUCAUUUCCAUUGAUGACUUCAACAGAAAAUUAUGGGUUUAUUUUUCAAUAGAAAAGUCAAAAGAUUUUAUUAUUUUUAAAAGAUUUAAGGCAAAUGUUGAAAAAGAAACAAAUUCUUUUAUUAAAGUCCUUCGCACAGAUAGAGGAGGGAAAUUUGCAUUACAAAAAUUCAUUAAUUUUUGUGAAGAAAAUGGUAUAAAAAGGUAAUUGAUAGUUGCAUAUACGCUACAACAUAACGGACUUGCAGAGCGAAAGAGUAGAACUAUUAUGAAUAUGGUUUGCAGUAUGCUUUUAGAGAAUAAAAUUCCAAAACUUUUUAAUCAGAAACUGUUAAUUAGACAGCACAUGUCUUGAAUCAAAGUCCUGCUAUGGAAUGGAGUUAAACCCUUAAUUGAGUACUUUAGAUUUUUUUUUGUUGUGUUUCUCAUGUUCAUGUUCCUAAUAAUAGAAGAACCAAGUUGGAUAGCAAGAGCUUGUGUUGUGUUUGGCUAGGAGUUAGCGAAGAAUCAAAGGCUUAUCGCCUUUAUGAUCCAAUUUCACAAUGGAUCAUUAUAAGUAGGGAUGUCGUAUUUGAAGAAGACAAGUGGGAUUUAAAGCAUGAAGAAGCCAUUGUGUGUGAUUUAGAAUAGGGAGACAAUGAAGAGGAGGAAGAUAUUGAAGAGGAACUAGAUCUUAUGGUCAAUAUUAGCAAAGAAAUUGAACCUGAUCUUAAUGAUGCAGAGGUAAAUAUGUCUCCUAAUUCGUUUUCUUCUGAUUCUUUACCUUUCAAUCAAUUUUGUGAUUCCAAUCAAGGAAGGACUAGGGUCCCACCACUUUGGAUGAGAGAUUACGAAAUAGGUGAAAGGCUUUUUGACAAAAAGACUAAUAUCAUCAUGUUUGCAAAUAUUGAUUCUAAUCCUAUUCAUUUUGAAGAUACCAUAAAAAAAAAAUGAAAAAUGGAGACAGGCUAUGGAUGUGAAGAUGGAAGUGCUUUAUAAAGAAAAUGGUACAUGGGAAUUGAUGGAUUUGUCAAAAGGGGAAAAAAUAAUUGGAGUUAAGUAGGUUCAUAAGACUAAAUUUGAUGAAAAUGGUAAAGCAAAUAAACAUAAAGCUAGGUUGGAAAUGAAAGGAUAUGCCCAACAACAUAGGAUGGAUUACAAUGAAGUAUUUGCUCAUGUGGCACGCAUGGAGACGAUUCGACUUGUAAUAGCCAUUGCAGCUCAAAAAGGGGUGUCUAUGUAGUAGUUAGAUGUAAAAUCUGCAUUUUUACAUGGUGAGUUGAAUGAAAAUGUAUUCAUGGAACAACUUUGUGGUUAUAUGUAGAAAGGAGAAGAGUAGAAGGUUAUAUACCACAAAAGGCACUUUAUGAGCUUAAACAAGCAUUGCGAGCCUAGUACAGUCGUAUAAAAGCGUACUUUCUAAAAGAAGGUUUUAAUAAGUGUGAUUAUGAAUAUACUUAUUCGUUAAAAUAAAGAAGGAUGGUAAAGUAUUGAUUGUCAAUUUGUUUGUUGAUGAUCUUAUUUUUAUCAGAAAUGAUAAAUUAAUAAUUGCAUAUUUUAAAGAUUAUAUGAAACAUGAGUUUAAUAUGACAGACCUUAAAAAAAUGAGAUAUUUUCUUGGUCUAGAAAUUUUACAAAGCUAAAAUGAAAAUAUGCCUUUGGAGAUUUUGCGAAAGUUUGGGAUGGAUAAAAGUAAUUCUAUUCAUAAUCCCAUUGACCCUGGUUUGAAGCUUGUGAAAGAUGAAGGUGGAUUUAAGGUGGACAAGACUUACUAUAAGCAAAUUGUGGGUAGUCUCAUGUAUUUCAUAACAACUCAACCAGAUAUAAUGUUUGUGGUAAUGGAAAAUCCUACUCAAGUUCAUUUACAAACUACAAAAAGGUAUUGAGAUAUUUGAAAGAAAUAAUUGAAUUUGGGAUUUUUUACAAGAAGCAAGGAGAUUAUGAACCGAUUGCUUAUACAAACAGUGAUUAUGCAGAAGAUUUGAAAGACAGAAAAAGUACUUCAGGCUAUUUGUUUCUUUUGAGCUCAGGAGUAGUGAAACAACCAGUGGUAAGUCUAUCUACUAUAAGACUGAAUUUAUUACAGCCGUUUCAUGUACAUGCUAAGCUAUCUGGUUGAAACGGGUUUUGGGAAAGCUGAAUCCAAAACAAGACAAAACAACUAUUAUUUGUUGUGAUAGUAGUUUUGCCAUCAAGCUUUCAAAAAAUCCAAUAAUGCAUGAAUAGAUUAAGUAUAUAGAUGUGCGUUUUCAUUUCUUAAAAAAGCUUACUAAAAUAGGUGCCGUGGAGCUGGUGCAUUGUACUACACGAGCAAUUGGUUGUAUCAUGACUAAACCAUUCAAAAUGGAUGUUUUUCUUGAAAUUGUAAGAAGUUUUAGAAGCGUGUUCCAAAUUAACGAUAAAUUGAUAGUCUAGAGCAUUUAAUUUAAGAGAAUAAUCGUUAGAAUUUUACUUAGUACUGGGUCAAUAAAGUUUUUAUUUCUAUGAGAUACUCCCAUUUGUUUUUAUUUACUUUUAUUUCUAUGGGAUAAUCUGGUCAAUAAAAUCCAUGAGAUAAUAAAAUGGGGGAAAUAUAAUUUUAUAAUAAAUAGAAUAUUAAAAUUAACUUUAUAGGAUGACUAUUUAAAAGCUUAUAAAUGAAAAUAAUAUAUUUAUAUACACUUAUUUCACCCAUACGUUUGUUAGAGAUAUUUAUUUUUUUAAUAUUUUUUUCUAAAUUCAUUAAAAAUUUUAAUUAAAUUUAAUUGAGUCCAAAAAAUCAACAAACUAAACUUUUAAUAUUAAAUAUCUAAUUAAUAAAAAAUUAUUUUUAUUCACUAUAGAUAAAAGGGUAGUAAUUAGAUGUAUUAACAAGAAAUGCCAGCGACAUUCCUUUUGUUUUUUUAACAUUUUCCAUUUGUUUUAAUGAAAAAUAUAAAAAUUAAUAAUUAAUAAAAAAAUAAUUAAUAUAAUAAAUAUUUUGCAUCCUGUGUUAUUACUAUUAAAUGUAUGAUUAAGGCUUUUGCUUUACUGGAUAAGCAAAUGCAACGUGUCACCGUCAUCAUAUAUUUUUUGCCUUACCGACCAACAAAGCAUGUGCCUAACGCAGACAAUCGGGGUCGGCUCACCUAAUGCGGGACCACAUUAUUUGGGUGUGUCAUCAUCUGGAUUCUACCAUCCUGGCCGUUUACUAUAAAAUUAUAGGUCCCUCGUAUUUGCGGUGAUUAAUCCAAAAUUUAAUGGAAAAGUCAAUUCUAUCUCACAUGGAUGGACCCCACUUGAUUAACCAACGGAUCCGUUUAUAUUCCAGCCCUUACUUUAAAGAGUACUAUCAUAAGGGUAACAAUAGAUAAUUAUUAUUGAAUAAAUUAACUAUAGUUUAUUUAAUUAUAAAAUAUAACGUGUAAAAAUUUUAUAAAAUUAAAUAGUUCAUUUUUAUUUUCAAAAUUUUCAAAUAAAACGUUUUUUUUUAAUUUAUCAGUAAAUAAAUAUAAUUUCAUACUCUUUUGAAAAAUAAAUUUAAUUGAAAUUUAAUUAAUAUAAUUUUUUAAUUUAACCUUUUAAUAUAUUUAUAUUUAACAUUUUUUUUACACCAUUCACCUGAAAUAGUAUUAUAUUCCUCACGAUAUUGUCGUGCAUAAAUAUCUCAUCAUUAGGCCUUGACUCACCAAGACAAUACAUCACAUCACAGCAGAUCAUAUCCUUAUCACUUCACAGGCUUUAAAUUUAAUUUAAUAAUAUAAUGUUAAAAAAUAAAAGUUCUAGUCUCUAGCUUUAAGAUAAGAACGCGUAUCUGACCGGACACCGGCUGCACGAACCCGCAGGCCGUACAGUUGAAUUUCCUUCAAAUCAAGGGGCUGCUUUGGCUCUUUUCGAACCUCAGCCUCGUAAGUCCCGAACCGCCUUGCCUCCGAACCUCCUCCCUAUAAAUAUGCUCCUGUCUCAUUUCGCGUACGUAUCGCUCGCUCACUGGUCCCAAUCAACGCUCCGUAAUCACCGCAAUACGCUUACGUAUUAAAGGUAUCAAAGUUCAAAUCCGAACCUUCUUCGUUAUGCAACGAUGCCGUUUUGCUUUUCUGGUUUCUCUCACUUUUUUUUUGGUUGUUGUUUGGCAUCCGUUUGACUGUUUGAUUUGAAUCGAGUUCUUGGAAAAUAGUUCUUGUUGUUGUUUGGUUGCUGAGAAAGUUUGAGAAGAUGGAGGAAAAUGAAGUGAAAUUUUGUCUCUGAUAAUGUUAUGGAGGUUAAAUAAGACGUGAUUGAAUUCUCUCCUUUCUUAAUUUUCUUUUGUUUAGUUUUGUUUCUUUGAUUUUCUUAGCUAUGCAACUGAGCUUGCUCGUCUUGAUUGGUUUAUGUUUAUGAUCUGGUGUCUGUAUGAGAUUUCAUUGUGCGAUUAUGUUUCUUUUUCUCCUGUUCCGGCAAUUACUGUUAUAACAGCUUUACGCUAUUUGAUGAAACUCUGUUUGAUUAUUGACAUGGCUAUGGAGAUCACUAUUACUAAUUUGAUUGAGUGCUAUUUUUCGAUGAUAGGACCAUUUUGCUUUGAUGUAACCUUAUCAUGUAGAAACAAUUGGAAAGAAUUCUUAUAAUGGAUUCAAAAUUAUCAAGAUCUGUUUUGUUAACUUCUAAACUAUUCUUGUUUUGUAUAUUUGGUAUCGUAUGACUUGAUCUUUUGUAAUAUUUGAAAAGAUUAUUGACAUGGUGUUUUGUUUAACUUCUAAACUAUUUUUGUUUUGUAUAUUUGGUAUCGUAUGAAUUGAUCUUUUGUAAUAUUGGAAAAGAUAUUUACAUGGUGUUUUAUUUGGUUCUGUGAUGGAUUAAGAAAACUGUGUAAAAUCAAUGCAUCUCAGUCUUCCUUUCAUAUUUUGAUUUGGGUCUGUGAUUGAUAAAGAUUAUCUGAGCCUAUAAUGUGUUUAGCCGUUGUAGUGUUAUGGGUAAAUUAUAGCUAUCUAUCCUUCAGUGUUCGAACGGAAUUAUAGAUGAUUUAUUAGUUGAGGAAAAAAAGAACAUAUAUCUUUAUUGUAAUGUUAGAGAAAAGGUCCUUACAGAUUUUGUGGUGAAUCCUAAUUAUGGAAAAAGAAAUACAUAGUGAAUGGUUUCUGAUGUAAUCAUUUCUGUGUGCAGAUUAAAAAGGUAAAACAAGAAUCGGUCGAGACAGAUGGCACUAGUUUCCGGUGGAAGGUCGACAUUAAACCCUGAUGCCCCUCUCUUUGUCCCUGCUGCCUAUCGCCAAGUGGAGGAUUUCUCCCCGGAAUGGUGGCAACUGGUCACAACUUCUACGUGGUACAGGGAUUACUGGCUGAGCCAACAUCAGGAUGAGGAAGGCUUCUAUGACAAUGCAGAGGAUGAUGCCGGCUUUGAUGGCAGUACUGAUGUAGCUAAUUUACUGCCAGAUGCAUUUGAAUUUGAUGCUGGUGAAGAUUUCUCUAGUUUCGAAGUUCAAUUUCAGGAGUUUGUGGAAUCUUAUGACACUGAAGUAGAAAACAAAUCACCUCCUUCCAAUGGGAUGCUACAAAAUGGUAUGGUUCAGUCUGUUGUAUAAAAAUCUCGAAACUGUAACAAAAUGCUAAGGGGUUCUGUUACUAUUAUACUACCUCGUAGCAGGAGUAAUUGUGAUAUCAUAUUGAGAAUUUGCAGUCUACUGGUCCAAUACGUCAGUCACUCUCGAUGAAAAUGGACUUGAUGUUUGUUUUGGGUAUUAUAGGAUUUCAGAUGGAAGCCGAAGCACCCAAAAGGGACGUAAGCUUGUUGAAAACUUUGGAGGAAACAGUUCCAGCAGCCAUAAAUGUUAAUCCAAAUUGAUGGGUCGACAGCCUUCUGAAAGGAGCAGUUUAUUCCUGCAUCUGAGUAGACAGACUUGUGUAGUUUCUGCUUUCUGUAAGUUCUGUAUGGAGCAAGGUUUGCACCCUGCCACUCCUUGUUCAUUCUCACGUCUUCUUUGUUUCAGUUAACCAAUGUAACCUUCCAGAAAAUGUAUUAAAGAAAAAAGGAAAUUUAAAAUUUUAGCAAGUGAGGAAAAGUAUAUAUGUUAUUUCUUUUGCUUUGAAUUUACUAAUUACCAUAUAUUAUUGAUGUUUCCUGAUCCAAGGAUUUAACCCACCAAUGGAUCAAAAUGUGAGGUAGGCGUGAAAUAUUCUUAUGGGAUGGAGGGGUAUAUAUUUAAUAAAUUUAAAUUUAUUAUAAUUAUAUUAAAUUGAUUUAGUAAAAAUAUAAUUUUAAUUUAUAAUUUAAAUUUAUUAAAUUUUAUUUAACUAGAUCAUAAAAAAAUUCAUUAUUAUUUUUUUUUAAGAAUAAGGAAGCUACAUAUAACCGUGUACUAAAAAUGAAUUCACAUUUAAUUUAUUCUCAUUUGAAAAAAGAAAAAAGAGAAAAUUAUGAGGGCAAAAAUCCCUGUUAGUUCGUCACUGACUACAGGUUAAUCAAUCCAUAUUUUUAAGAAGUCAACCUUCUUGUUGACUAGUUAUUAGGCCUAUUUGGCAAGUUAGACCGAAAAUGGGAGAUAAUGAAAAGUCUCUUUCAAGCGGGGAAGUCCAAGAACAUGCAUCCACUCGCUGGACUCGGAGAGACCGAACCAAAUGAGUAGGAUUGUAUGCAAAUAUCAUUAAAUUAAACAAUUAUAUGUUUAAUUAAAGCAGGAUGAGAAUAGUAUCAAUUAUGAUUAUACAUCUAAUUAAAGCAAAACGAGAAUAAUAUCAAUUAUGAAAAUGGAUUAAUUAAAAUCUUUAGACUUAACAUAAUAAAUUUAAUUAAUUAUUAUAUUUUAAUCGUUUAAAUAAUUAUGAUAUCAUUCUUAAAUUUUAAUUGGAUUAUAAAUUUUUAAAAGAUUUGAAUUAUUUUGUUCAAUAAAUUAAAAAGUUAAAAUUUUAAAUAUAGAUUCAUAAAAAUAUUUAAAUUAUUUUAAUUAAUAAAUUAAAAAAUAAUAAAAAAGACAAAUAAGAUGACAAGAUAGUAAUUUUAAAUUUUGAUAAAAUUAAUUUAGACUCAUAAAUUUAAUUAUUUAAAAUUAAAAUUUUAGAAUAUAAAUAUAAAUCGAUCAAAAUAUUUAAAUUGUUUGAAUUAAUUAACCUUUAAUGAAGCAUUUACUCUUCCGUCUAAAAAAAAAAUAUGCUAUUUACUUUUUUUUAUAUAGAUUAAAAACAUAUAAUUAAUAUAGUUAAAAGCAAUAAAUUUUUGAUUAUCUUUCUUAAUAUAUCCUCCACUUAUAUAUUAUUACAUCAUUAAAUUAUUCUUAAAAUUAAGAAAGUUUAUUUUCAAUUCAUAUUAUAUAGAAGUAUAUUAUAAAAUUAAUUAAUAAAUAACUAAUUUAAAAAAGGAAAAUGAUCUAUAAUUUGGAAUGAAUAAAAAAAAAUAAAUCUAUCUUUAUAGAAAGUAAGGAGUAAGAUUGACGGUCUUAAUAAUUAUGGAUUAUAGUGAAAUUUAAAUAAAACUCAAUAUAAUUAAUAAUUAUAAUAAAAUUAUUAAAUAUAAAAUAAUUGUAUUGUAAAAUUUUUCAAACUCUCUGAGGCCAAGAACGCUCUCUUGCAGUUGUAAUGUAAAGAACUUGAAGCAGAAGAUCAGAUCUUGUGGUGAGAGUACAAGUAAAUUGAUCUACCAUCUAAUGGCUGAAUUGGCCUUGCAUUUGCCUUAAAGCCCUGCGAAAGAAACACAAAUUCACAUAAUUAAAGAACAUAAACUAACAUAAAAUCAAAUUAUUCGUUGGAUUUGAUUUAUUUUAUCACAUUUAUCCUUUAUUUGAAAUAAAAAAUUAAUUUUUUAUUUUAAAUAAUAAUAAAAAAUCAAUUUUUUAUAAAUUAUUCAUGAUUUAAAAAAAAAAACUGCAAAUAAUAAUUUAAAAUCACUUACAUCAUGAACAGCAUCUCUUAGUGCUUUAACUUGCUCCCUUGAAGCAGUUCUUACCUAUUUAUGCAUAUGAAAGCAAAGAUGUUCAUUUAAUAUUUUUGUUGGUAAAACUUCAGCAUUAAUGGUAUUGAAAAAUUAUUUAAAACCAAUUACACUAAAAAAAACAAAUAAUAUAAAUAAAAAUACCUUCUUGCCAAUUGUCCAAAUCACUCCUUCCGUGCAAGGAGGUACUGUAAGAGAACCAAUAUACCUAAAAUAUUUUCUGCUCCCAAAUUUAAUUUCUCCUGGAUUAACCAUCCCCAAAUCUCUCUCUUCCUUCCCCACUGAUUUUAUGUGAUGAAGUAUCUGCAAGCAAUUAUUUAAAUUAAUAAUUAAUUAUGGAAUUAGAGUUGCAAUUUUGCAUUUGCAUGUAUAUAUUAAAGAAUCUUACAAACGCGGAACAAGAUAAUUUAACUUUUUUCUUU
rnacentral:lncRNA from 1 species